rnacentral:lncRNA from 1 species
AAACAAGCAAACGGAGUUACACAUCUAUUGGCUACAGAGGGAUUAAAGAGAGAUGAAGAAACUUAUCUUGUUGGUGCGGUUCCUUCAUACGCGAAAGUAGCAGCGGAAGACGACCGUCAACAGUUGGGCUCACUUUGUCCAGCAGGUCGAAGAUCCACUGCUUAGAAAGAAGAUAAAAUGGGAUUUUACUGUGGGCAAGCAGAUUGAAGAAUAGAUGGACUACUGGGUUUCUUAGUUUCGGCGGAGAAUAAAUCGGAUAUAUUAUUAACUUUAAAUUUAAUUGUUAAAUUGGGCUCGAGCUUGAACACAUAUGAAUUUAAUCAAAUUCAAGUUGAAUGUUAAAUAUGAAAUUUAUUUUUAUUUAUCCAAAAAGCAGAAAUGUUUACAAAUAUCUAUAGUAUACAUUUGUAAUUCCCCAUGCUAUAAAAAGUUCUUAUUGCCUUGAUCUCUCAGAUUCACAUUAACCUCUACCAGCCUCAUUCCCACUAACUCCUUUACUAUUCCCAAGUAAUAUAAAGCGUAAUAAAAAGUAGAUAUCUCAAUUGAGUGGGCUGAAUCUAUAUAGAUGUUAAUUCAAUUUAGAUUUGAGUUAUUUUCUAUUUGAGUUAAAUUUUUAUGUAAUAGUUCAAAUUGAUUCGAAAUUAAGUCAUUUUAGAUAUGAAAUUUAAACUUUUUAGGUUUAAUUAUUAUGGGUUAUGAAAUUUUUAGAUGAUUAUGAAUUAUUUUGGGUUUGACGAAAAUAUUACAUAAAUGUCAUUCCUAGAAUUAGCUUCAUGGUGAAUUGAAGGUCACAAUCUGGAUUUGUUCAUAUUUUAAGGUUAUUGGUAUUCUCCUCACCUAAUAUACUAAACAACCUAUAGUGUAAAGAGUGUAUUUGAUGGUUACCAAAUUAACUAUAAAUAUGAUUAAGGCAAGAACACCUAUCGAGCAAUAGUAUAGUUAUGGUGAGUAGGAAAUAUCAUAUCCAUGAGGACUAAAAGUACUAGUAAUUACUGUUUUUCUAUUAUUUAGCUGACAAAUUGGAGUGAUUGUUUUUAAUCUAAAAUUACUGAACUAAUCCAACUAAGAACGCAACAGAGAAUGAAAUAAGAAAAAUAAUCGAAGAUUACCAAUGAGAUAGACAAUACCCAGGAAAGAAUCCACCUAGACUUCACCUAUUAUUCUAAAUCUGAAUUAAAUGAUUUAUUCACUUGUGUCUUGAUCCGUAGAAAUCCCUAAUUUAUGUUAAUAAAUAUUUUAAGAGUAAGAACAACUGACUCUAGGUUGAUUACUUGAAAUCUCUUUCUAAUUAAAAUCCCUAUUGUCGCAUUAACCCGGUCUAUGGAUUCCCCUAUUAGAUUUGACUCUAAUCCGAUAGAUUUAUGUCGUCCUAUUUCUAGGAUUGCAUGCAACUCCACUCAAUUAUGCUAGAUCUACUCUUAAACAGGGACUUUUGCUCCACUGAAAUAAGCACAUUAAACAUGAAUUAAUAUCCUAAAACUAUUAAAACAUGAAAUAAGCAUACAUAAUUGAGAACAAGAAUAAAAUAUUUAUCGCGUAAAAACAAAAAUUAAAUAAUAACAUUCAUCAUAGGUUUCAUCCUCCCUAGGUAUCUAGGGAGUUUAGUUCAUAAUCCUGAAUAAAAACAUCUCAGAGUUAGGAUAACAACAAGACAUAAAGAAACUCAAUAAAACUUCGAGGGAAAUUAAAUGGAGAUCUUCAAUCUUGAAGAAGAUCCACUUCUGAGUUGAUUCCCAUGGCGUUCUUCGAGUCUUUUCUUCAAUCUUCCCUGAGUGCCCCCUUAAAUCUUCUUCUAAUUGGUAUUUAUAGACUUUAGAAUGCUCAGAAUGCUUAAAAAUUGGGUUUUUCUGCGUAUUUAGAAAGCAGGGUGCGAUAUUGACACAGGCUAGCACAUGGGCAUGUGGCCAGCCCAUAUGGAAAUGCCUAGGCUAUGUGGAUCCUAGAAACAACUCUAUUUGUUUGAUUUUUCGCUCUCAAAUGCUCUCCUAAAUAUAGAAACAUGAAUUUAAAGAAUUAGGAGCAUAAAAUUCACUAAUUUACAUAAUUAAUCAUCCAAAAAAACAUUAAGAAUGAGAUUAAAAUAUGUUACUUUUAUAACUUAUCAGUAUUCGAAAUUAUAUUCUAAUUAAGAUACCCCUACCUAUCAACAUUCAGAAAGAUAAUCAAUGGAUUGGAGUUGCUUCUUGCUGCAUUUUUGACAAUAAUGCUUCAGGACAUUCUAUCGAUUGUGGAGGAUUUAUUUUUCAAGGUAGAAAUUAUCGAUAGCUUGGUUUGAGAUGCUUGUUCUUGGGUAAAGGAAUAAUGAAAGGUCACCUUUUGCUUCAUUAUUGGUCGCGUGAUAAACUAUAUCCAAUUUCCUUGGGAUAAAUAUAGUGACUGUGAAUUCAAUAAUUUAUUGUCAAUAGACUGCUUAGAUCAAAAUUGUGAUGAGCCUGAGAUGUGUUUCAUAGAUGCAUAUGAUUGAAAUUUGCAAGUGAAGAAGUGUGGUGUUAGAAUAGUGUAUUGGUGUGUUGUUAAAAACACUAAAAAUAAUCUAUCCCUAUAAUGAAAAGAAUAGUAUAAGGGAAGUAGGGUGAAAUCCUCAGGGACUGGAUUGCUACAACUUCUUGUUCCUCGAAAUCCUGGGCACAGUCGUGCCCGAGAAAAAGCGGUGUACAUAAUCCUUCUCAUGAUAGAAUAAACCAGUUAGUUAUAGUGGAAAAGGAUGCCUAUGACCACCAGCUCCACUUAGAUUUUAGACUUAUGAUUUAGAGGAACCUGACUCUAGCCAACCGUCACUUUCGUGGGACCAUCUUACACUAGAUCAUUGUUUCUCAAUGACGAAUGCCACCAUUUCGUCUCUUGGGCUCAACAACCUCUGACGCAGUAAGUUAACAAACCGGCUGUACAACUCUCCUAAAAUAUACAAAGCUGCUGCCUUUGCACAAGAUAAAAAGGUCACUUUUGGAAGGUCAUGGACGGAAGCGUUAAUCCCGUAAUACAGAGAAAUGAUGAAUACUCGUUGAGAAUGCUAAGUGCGAGUUCUAAGCCUCAUGAACCCUUUUUUGGAGAAUCUCAACAAUCUUUGGCCAGAUGAAUUUAAUGGCUCAUGCUUUUCGGGAAAAAGAAAUAAGUUUAAUGGAAUGGAAUUUAAUUGGGAAAUAAAACUAAAGGAACAAAAAGGCUAGAGAGCCUUAGAGGGAAAUGAGUGUUUUACAAGAAUUGAUGAUUGAAUAAUUAUGUCACUCCAUCCCCUAUUUAUAGUACAUAGAAAACCUAGUUUGUUCCUAUUUAAACUCUAAAAGAUAAAUAAAGAUAAAAGUUGAAAUUAGAUCUAAAUAAUAAUCCUAAUAAAAUUCAAAUUUAAAUAGAGUCUUAUGUUUAUAAAUCUCUUUUUUGAAUUUUUGCCCCCAAAUCUUUCACAGUUUGUAUUUUCGACACCACUUCUUUCCUAUUUUGCAUGCUAACCCAUUUUGUCUUUAAAUUCAGGCUUUUUGUCCCUAAAUUUCCUUUUGUCUUUAAUUUAGUCCCUACAAGAUGAAAAACCUUUCCUUUUAUCUUCAAUUUAGUCCCUACAAGACGAAAAAUCAUAAACAGCCCAAAUUAGUAGGAUCAUGCUUAAAAUAUAUAUGUAAUUAAUACAUUAAAAUAUGCCACUCAAUCUUCUCCAAUUUUUGAACCAACGAUUGACCAGUAGGUAGCAAUUCUCACAUAAAACGAAAACAUAACGUCUAUAAGGAAGCGGAAGAAGAAGGGCUCCAACCAAAAUGAAUGCAAAAAAAAAUUAAUUUUAUAAUGGGCCAACUUUGUCCUAUUAGUUUUUUUUACACAUCUAUGUAAACUUAUUUGCUUAUGAGAUAUAAUCACUUAUUUGCUUAUGAGAUAUAAUCAUUCUUAUAUAUAAAAAAAUUUUAAAUUUUUUUAUUUAUACUCAUAUUAAACAUGAGCUCAUAUUCUAUGCAUAUCCCAAAUGUUGAUAACAUAGUAUUUUUUUAGACCAUUUAAAAUUCUUCUUUAUUUUUAUGAUUUUUCUAUUUUUAAAAAAUUUAUGUAUUUUAAUAUUAUAUAAUUUUUUAAAUUAUGAUUGACUUUUUUUGGGUAAACUACAAAUAUAGUCACUUUUGUUUCACUCAGAUUAUAUUUUAGUCACUUAUGUUUGAAAUGUUAUGUUUUAGUCACUUGCGUAUCGUUUUGUUACGAAGUGGUCACUCUACCAUUAAGUUCCGUUACCUCCCUAACGGCAAUCCUACGUGGCAGUCCAAAUGGGUUUUAAAUCCUAACUUGGAUGUCUAAUUGGUACGACAAUAGAUUUUUAUUUAAAUAAAUUUAAUUAAUUGAAAAUUUUAAAUUAAUUACAUGUUGAACUGGAAAAGAAAAAUCAUUCAUCUCUUUUUUCUUUUUAGUUUUCUUUUUCAUUUUAACUGAAAAAAUUAUUCUCAUCCUAGUUGAAAAUCCAAGUUGUCAUUUAAAACUCAUUUGGACUGCCACGUAGGAUUGUCAUUAGGGAGAUAACGGAACUUAAUGGAAGAGUGACUACUUCGUAACAAAACGAUAACGUAAGUGACUAAAACGUAGCAUUUCAAACAUAAGUGACUAAAAUGUAAUUUGCGGCAAACAAAAGUGACUAUUUUUAUAGUUUACUUUUUUUGAAUUUUAGAGUUUAGGUUAAUUUUGUGAACUCUUUCUUGGAAUCUUCAUGGAGAGAACAUCUAUCAUCUCCCAAUUUCCACACCUACGCGCUUGAGGGAAAUGAGGUUGUUGUUUUGGGAGGUUGAAAGGUGAGGGGGAGCUGUUUGGGAUGGUGGUCGGUAAUGGAAGAUGAGAGUGAUGAAGCCCGGGUGUAUUGGUGAUGUUGGUGGUGAAGAUGGGAGCCUCGAGUGAUAGACAGAGAAUGGUGAAAAGGCCCCUGGGUUAGCUUAGAGAUGAAAUUUUCUGCUACUGUUGCCUCCAAACACAGAAUUGCUAACCUACCCCGCUUGAAUUUUGUAGAUUGAUUUUAUAACAGAAACCAGUGGAGCAUGUUGUGUGUGGUGGUUGCAGUGUAACCUGUCCCAAGCUACUAGAAACACAUUAGGAUCUGUUUGUAAAGUUAAUAAAAAUUUUGGGACUUUUAUUCAAAAUUUGAUCUAUUUCUCUCCUUCAUGCUCAUAUACUAUACUAUAUUGAAAAUAUAUUAAAGAGAUUUGACAAGGAUUGUACAUUAGGUGAUGCUUAUAUCAUUAAAAGGGACAAGAAACUAAUAGCAUUCCGUUAUCCACUGCUUAUAAAGAAAUACUAAUAUAAUAAAAUUUAUGCUAAAAUCAAUUUAAUGUUUUUUAAUCGGAUUUGUAGUCGAAUUGAAUAGGUUAUUAGUUUGUUGGUCCAAUGAUUAAAAAUUAUUAAAAUUUAAAAAAGUUAAAGUAGAGUUUGUUGGUCGAAUUGAAUCGGUUCGUAUCAAUUUUCAAUCUAAUCAAUUCAAAAUCACUCUAUGAACCAAUACUCUGUCGGCUCCUGAUCUAAUCGAUCGAUCAAUCCGAUUCAAAAAAGACUGAAUCAAUAGAUAAAAGAUGAGAAUAAUUCUUAAACACAACCUGCAAAUUAUGAGAUUAAUUAUAUCUCAAAUUGAUCCAACAUAAAACAGAUAAAAAGAAAAGGUUUCAACAACUCUUCCAAUACAUAUUAUGCUUUAAUGAUCCCACACCAUGUUAAUGAGUUGCGUACUGCACCUUCCUCGAUGGGCAAGCAUAUUUCCCACAUGGGAUUCUCACAAGGAAUCACAGCUUCUUUACUGCAACAACAUGGAAAAAAAAAACUUGAUGGAAAUAAUUUAAGAUCAAAAUUAAACACCAAUAUAUACACACAUAGAAAAUAAAGAGAAACUUAGAGCUAACAUAUAUAUACACACAGACAUACACAUACAUACAUUCGGUAUUUCCAGCGUUUUGUCCAGUUCUUCUUCUCUUCUACUUCUUGCAUGUAAAAGUAAUAUUCCCAUGCCGAUCACCGGUCCCUGUACAACAAAACUUUAAAAGCAAUGAACUAUAUACAUAUACGUUAGUUUUUUGAUUGGAAAUGAGACCCUUUCAUUUCUCUUUUCACACACUCGCAUUGAACAACAAUGGAGGGGAAAUAGAGUAAGAAUUAGUUCAUUGAUCCUUGUUUUAGCUUAUUUCAAGAUGGAUGAUUGAAAUUUGAUUAUGAUAAGAAUAUAAAAACAAACUUGAGGUUUUUUUUUUUAUGUUUUUUUAUUGCUUUCGAAGUAUUGUUCUCAACAGCCCAUAUAUAAGUUGAAAGUGAUCAACUUUAAAGGGUCCCAAAACCUGAUCAAUACCCCAGACUUUAAAAUUGUAGAUGUCCAUCCAUCAUUCGGAAUGCUUAAGAGGCUUAAACUUUUGAAUUUCAAAGACUGCAGAAGUCUUAGUAGUCUUCCAACCAGAAUUGAAGUGAAAUCCCUUGAAACAUUGGUUCUUUCGUGUUGCUCAAAUCUUCAAAGGUUUCCAGUUAUCGACGGGAAAAUGAAAUGUUUAAAAACUCUUAAUCUUUCUGGUUAUUAUAGAGUUUAAAAUUUACCAGAGAAUUUGCAGCAAGCGAAGUUUUUAGAAGAGCUCGAUUUAAGUGAAACAGCCAUAGCAGAGCCACCAUACUUCACUUUUCAAUCUAAAAAUCUUAAAUUCAGUGGGUUUGGCCCGAGAACAUCAAUCCAUUAACAUUGCUAAUUAUGAAAUACGUAAAAUACAAAUCGUCCAACAUUUUUAAUUAUUACUUAUAAUUAAAGUAGACUCCACUUUGCCAACUCUCACCUUCUUGGAAACAACAUCCAUCGCUCAUCUUUGACCCCUAUGCUCAUAUACUUACUUUUCUAUUUUCUGAUUUUGAACACCAGAUUGAUAUAUUCUUCUCCUUUCAUCCAUCCUCAUGUAUAUAGACAAUUAUAUGAUUAUGUAACUGAAAGCAAUACACAAACCGUCCAACACUUUACUCAUUACUUAGAAUUAUUGCAGGCUCCAUUUUGUCAACACCCACCUUCUUAGAUUCUUCCUGGAAAGAGCAUGCAUCACCCAAUGUCCACACCUACUCGUAUUCAUUUCGAAAAUUCAAAGGUUAUAGAGAAAUUGCUUAGAAACGUCCCUUAUUCUUCCCUGGAAUUUUCAUCUGUUUUUCUCAAUCUUCACUCUCAUAUACUUAUUGUUUCUAGUUUCUUUCUGGCGUAUUGAGCGAUCAAUUUUCUGAUUUUUAACACUACAUCCACAUAUAUAUUUUUCUUCUCAAACAUCGUCAUGUUGUCAUUACCUUCAACUUCCUCAUACAUUUCCAGAAAGAAAUAUGAUGUUUUCUUGAGUUUUAGAGGUGAAGAUACUCGCAAAAACUUCACCGAUCAUCUCUAUGCUGCUCUAAAGAGGAGUGGGAUCGUCACUUUCAGGGAUGAUCCAAAGCUGGAGGCCGGCGAAGAGAUCGCGCCAGAACUCUUUAAAGCAAUUCAGCAAUCAAGGUGCUCGGUAAUCGUUUUUUCACAAACUUAUGCCUUUUCAAGUUGGUGCUUGGAGGAGCUUGCUGAGAUUCUUCAACAACAUAACAACGACGGCCAUAAAGUGUUUCCAAUUUUUUACGAUGUUGAUCCAUCUGAUUUAAGAAAACAAAAAGGGAAAGUGGAAGAAGCCUUUGACAGACAUGAAGAGAGAUACAAAGAAGAAAGUGAGAAGAUCCAAAGGUGGCGAAAUGCUUUAAUUCAAGUGGCUGCAAUCAAGGGANNNNNNNNNNNNNNNNNNNNNNNNNNNNNNNNNNNNNNNNNNNNNNNNNNNNNNNNNNNNNNNNNNNNNNNNNNNNNNNNNNNNNNNNNNNNNNNNNNNNACUUUUUUUUUUUUUUCUAAUCCUAUGUGUUAAUUCAAAAGUGUCAUAUUUCAAUAAAAGAGCAAACUUUGUAUUCUGGCUACGCAACAGAUCUUGCUUUCUUAUUCUUGGUUCUUGUUUGCUUCCAAACUAUAUUAUGUUUGAUGAUUCAUUGAAAAAGAAAGUGCAUUCGAAACAUAUCAACAAAAUUUUACUCAAAACAUUAAAAUUUAUUUUUUUUAGGCAUGAAUCAGAAUUUAUUAGAGACAUUGUUAAGAAGAUAUCAGCAAAACUAUGUCAGACAUAUCCAGUUACUCAUAGCGACUUGGUUGGUAUUAGUGAACGCUUGGAGGAUUUUUAUUUGAAAAUAAACAUUGGGGAAGAUGAUGUCCGCUUUAUCGGAAUUUGCGGAAUGGGUGGCAUCGGUAAAACGACACUCGCAAGAGUUGCUUACACUCAAAUGUCACCUCAUUUUGAAGGUAAAAGCUUUAUUGCUGAUAUUCGAGAAGUUUCAGACAAAUGCGGACUAGUUUCUUUACAGAAACAACUUCUUUCACAGAUCUUUCAUGGUGAAUGCUUCAACUUUUUCGAUGUUCAUGAAGGGAGUGACAUAAUUAGCCAUAGGUUGUCUCACAAAAAGGUUCUUGUUGUUCUUGAUAAUGUUGAUAACAUACAACACUUAAAAUGCUUGGUUGGAAGGCACGAUUGGUUCGGAUUAGGAAGUAGAAUCGUUGUAACAACAAGAGAAGAACAUUUGCUUCGAUCUUGGCCAGUUGAUGAUAUGUAUGAGCCCACAACAUUGAAUCCCAAAGAUGCGCUUCAACUUUUCAGUCUGAAAGCUUUUCAUAGUGAUACAGUGCAGAAAGAUGAUUUCAUUGAGCUUUCUAAACAUGUUGUAAAUUAUGCUGGUGGGCUCCCUUUAGCUCUUGAAGUUUUGGGUUCCUUUCUGUGCGGUAGAGAUGCGACUCAAUGGAGAAGUGCGAUUGAAAGACUUAAAAGAGAUUCUAAUAAAGAAAUUCUGGAUAAACUUCGAAUCAGUUUUGAUGGAUUGGAAGAAAGGGAGAAGAAUAUAUUUUUAGAUAUAGCAUGCUUCUUCAAUGGGGAGAAGAAAGAUUUUGUAAUCAAAGUAUUGGAUGGUUGUGAGUUUUUUCCUGAUAUUGGAAUUGAUGUUCUUGUUAAAAAAUCUCUCGUAAAAGUCAAUAAACACAACAAAAAUUUGAAGAUGCAUGACUUGUUGCAAGAAAUGGGAAGAACAAUUGUUAAAGAAAAAUGUGUUGAUGAACCUGGAAAACGUUGUAGAUUGUGGGAGGAAAGGGACGUCCAUCAUGUCCUAACAAAAAACACUGUAAGUCAUUUAACAAAAGUUACAUACUAUUUCUUUUCUAUCCUACAUUAUUCACCAUUUAUUUUAUUUUCUUAUUGUCUGUUCUUGAUUUGUUAGGCUACAGAAAUGAUUGAAGGCAUAAUCAUCGAUAAUAAAAUGUAAGAAGACACACAUAAACUUAUAUCUAUGUGUACUGUAAAUAAUUAUUAUUUUUAAAUAUGAUAAAAAAACCUACAGCAAAACUUUUGACAUUCAAUAUUUCAAUGUUUAAUUAUGAAAUUUAUCUAGCAACAUAUUUACUUUUUCAAAAGAGAAAUGUAUGUAUCUUUUUUGAAAAUUAAUGGUAUAUAUUUAAUGUACUAAAAGUGUAUAUCAACGAAUUAGAUUAUAACACGUCAUCAAAAUUUUUUAAUGAAAAUGGUUUCAUUUUUUAAUUAUGUGUCAUUGUUUGAUUCAUUAACUUGUAAAUUAUGCAUUGUUUGUGGACCAAAUAUAAAUCAACAUAUUAAUUCAAUUUUUUAGGAUUAGGUAAUUUAACAUCGGAUGUGAUUGUUAGAUAUAAGUAUCACUUUAAUAUGAGUAUAUUUAAAAAAACUAAAAAUUAUUUUUUUCACGUAUUUAAAAGGUUCUUAAAGGAUCAUAUCUUAAUACUCAUAUACGAAUGUGCAUUAGAUAUAAGUAUUGGAUACGAGUACUUAAAAAACCAACAUCAAUGAAACAUUUCUUUUAAAUAUUGAAUGUUUUCGUAUAUUUUGAAGCUCAUUUUUGUUUUGCUCAUGGAUAUUAGGGAAUCGAACAAGAUGCUCAAUUUGAGUGUGGAUACCUUCUUGAAGAUGAAAAAAUUGAGAUUGCUCAAAGUGCUUUGCCUUUCGAAUUGUAAUGAUCUCAAAUAUCUUUCAAAUGAACUACGACUUUUGGAUUGGACAGGAUACCUUUUAAGAUACUUGCCUUCAAGCUUUCAACCGGACAACCUUGUCGCACUUCUUUUGCCAUAUAGUCACAUUCAACAACUAUGGAAGGGAAAUAGAGUAAGAAUUAACUCAUCUUAUCCUUGUGUUUUAACUUAUUUUAAUAUAAAUUAUUAAACUUUGAUUAAGGUAAAACAAAAAAACAAAAAUGAGCAUUAUUACGUUUUCUCAUUUGUUUCUAAUUUAUUAUGGUCUUCAACAGCCCUUGUUUAACUUGAAAAUAAUGAACCUCAGAGGGUCUCAAAACCUGAUCAAGACACCAGACUUCACAACAGCAUCAAAUCUUGAAGUUUUGAUUUUGGAAGGUUGUACCAAAUUAGUGGAUGUUCAUCCAUCAAUCGGGGUGCUUAAGAGCCUUAAACUUUUGAAUUUAAGAGAUUGCAAAAGUCUUAGGACUCUUCCAACAAAAAUUGGAAUGGAAUCUCUUGAAACAUUCAUUCUUUCGGGUUGCUCAAGUCUUGUAAGGUUUCCGGAGAUUGAUGGGAAAAUGGAACGUCUAAAAACUCUAGAUCUUUUCGGUUGUUAUAGAGUGGAAAACUUAUCGGAGAAUUUGCAGCAAGCAAAGUUUUUGGAAGAGCUCGACUUAAGUGAAACAGCCAUAACAGAACCACCAUCCUUCAUUUUUCAAUUUAAAAAUCUUAAAGUUCUGUCUUUCAAUGGGCGCAAGGGACCAUCAUAUAAGUUGCUACCAAAUUUGCCUUCUCUUUUCAAGGUAAUCCAAGGAAGAAGGACGAAUCCCAUGGCUCGGAUGUUGCCUUUGUUGUCAAGUUUGAGUUCUUUAAGAGAGCUAAAACUAAGGGACUGCAAUCUCCGUGAAGGAGAUAUUCCACGUGAUAUUUCUGGUCUAUCCUGUUUGGAAAAACUUGAUCUUAGUGGUAACAAUUUCAUCNNNNNNNNNNNNNNNNNNNNNNNNNNNNNNNNNNNNNNNNNNNNNNNNNNNNNNNNNNNNNNNNNNNNNNNNNNNNNNNNNNNNNNNNNNNNNNNNNNNNNNNNNNNNNNNNNNNNNNNNNNNNNNNNNNNNNNNAGUGGUAACAAUUUCAUCAGCAUACCUGCAUCUCUUACUGGACUCUCAAAGCUUCAUGUUCUUGACUUGUCAAAUUGCAACGUGUGCACUCUUGGUGAAGCAGAUAUUCAUAGUGAUCUUUCUGGUCUAUCCUCUUUAAUAAGUCUUGAUCUUAGUGGUAAUAAUUUCAUUACCAUUCCUUUGGCUCUUACUCAACUUUCCAGGCUCAGAUUGCUUACAAUGUCAGGUUGCAAGAUGCUUAAAUCGUUGCCUGAGCUACCAACAACUAUAGCAGUUGUGACUAUAGAUGGUUGUUCUUCACUUGAAGUAGUUGCAAGUCCAUCAAAAGUAUGCAAUUUAGCGGGUUGUGGUGACAUUCGUGCCAUUAACUGCUUCAAAUUGGCUGAGAAAAUCAAUGCAUUAACACUGCUGAAAGAACAUAUUAAGGUCGAUUAAUCUAAUUUUUCUACCUUAGAAAAUCUCAUACUUGAGAAUUUAUGGUUUUAGUUACCAAACGACUUGUGUUUUAUUUUGCAGGGGGUUCGAUAUCCAAGAGAUUGGUUUGAUAGUUGCAUCUUUGAUAUUAUGAUGCCCGGAAGUGAAAUCCCAGAAUGGUUUAGCCAACAAAAAAGUGACAAAUCAAUUAAGAUACCCGUUCCGAAAGAUAGUCAAUGGAUUGGAGUUGCUUGUUGCUGCAUUUUUGUCAAUAAUGAUGCUUCAAGGCAUAUCGAGGCUAUCGGAUGUAAUGCAUCUAUUUUUCGAGGUAGAAAUUGUCGACCAAUUGAUCGGAGAAACCGGUGGGUAGGUCGAUACCUUGACAAGCCCAUAAUGAAAGAUCACCUUUUUCUUCGUUAUUUUCCGCGUGAUGAAUUAUAUCUUUCCUUGGCGGAUAAAUAUGGUGACUGUGAAACCAAUAAUUUAUGGACAACAGAUUGCUUAGAUCAAAUAGGCGAUGAGCUUAAGUUGUCUUUCAAUGCCGAAUUUGGACCAAAUUGCCGUUGUGUUAAGGUGAAGAAGUGUGGUGUUAGAAUAGUGUAUGAGAAAGAUUUGGAAGAGAUAAAAGAGUUGCAGUGCCAUACCACUCAAUCUUCUCCAAAUUUUGAACACAUCCACCGACACUCUGCUCAAAACCAUGGAUCAGUAGGUAGCACUUCUCACAUGAAACGAAAACGUAAUAUCUAUGAGGAAACGGAGGAAGAAGAGCCGCAACCAAAACGGAUGCAAAAUAUUUUCAAUUUUGUAAAGGGGCAAUCAAGAAAGAAGCAUUAACUGUGGUAAACUACUUAACCAACUUCGUCCUAUUAAUUUUCUUUUACACAUCUUAUAUUUCAUUUAAACAAUUAUUCUAGACUUGUUUUGCAUAUGAGAUAUGAUCCUUCCAUUAUAUGCCAAAACAUUUUAAAAAAUUUUAUUCAUAUUCAUAUUCAUAUUCAACAUAUACAUAUCUCAAAUGUUGAUAACAUUAUUUUUUAUACCAUUUAAAGUUUUAGUCACUUAUCGAAUGUGUAUAUUUUGAUUGGUUUCACCUUUUUUUUAUUAAAAUUUUAUUUCCACUAUAUAUAUUCACUUACAUCUAUAUUUUAUUUAUAGGUUGAAGAUGAAGCAAAUUAAAACAAAAUUGUGAGACAAAAAUGGAGACGAAGCAAGUAAUGAUAAAUGAGAGUCCUUUAAUAAGGAUCGAUCAUAAUUUCAACUGAGUUAAAAAUCAUUUUAUUUUUAUUGGAGACCAACUUAUAUGUUCAAUUUAAUCAGUCAAAACUGUUUUUAUAUAUUUAAAAGAUUAAAUAUAAAUCCUUAAAGGUACUUAAAUAGAUUUAAUCCAUUCUAAUAAAGUAUCAUUUAUAUUUCACGACUUGAAAUACAAAUAAUAUUAUUCCAACUCCUCAGUUUAUAUUUUUUUAUAAAAUAUUUAUGUUUAGACAUUUAUUUUUAAUAUUUAUUCAAAUAUGAAUAUAAAGUAUGCACUAAUAUUCAAUUAGAAAAUCUUUUGUACGUGAGUGUUAAACAGUUGUUACGAUGGUUAGUUUGAUAGGUUGUUACAAAAUCUGUUAAGCAGUUCAUUAGACAGUUGGUUAUCAUAUUUGUAUAAAACCUCAUCAGUGUAUUCAUUCAACAAGAUAGCAUAAGACUAAAGAAUUCUUUUAUACUUCACUUUUCUGUUUAUACAUAUUUCGAGUAGUAUCUUAUAUGGUAUCAGUCACCUAGUCCUGGUACGUGCUUCCGUUGUUGUGUUAUGGCACCAUCAGCCGAUUGUAACUUUGCUGAUCCUAUGAGUCCGACGUUUUCUGGUCAACGCUUGGUCCAAUCUUUCCCCCGUCAUGACACGGUGAAACUAGAGGGAGAAAACUUUGUUCAAUGGCAGCAACAUAUCCGAUUGAUAAUAGAGGGAUAUGAGCUGCAAGGUUUCUUGGAAGGUACGCUGUCUGCUUUGUCUCGAUUUAUUGCGUCUCCAGAAGGUGCUCUUAUUCUGAAUCCAGAAGUGGCUACAUUCAAUCAACAGGAUAAGCUAUUAGCUUCUUGGCUCCUAAGUACGAUUAGUUCGUCACUUUUGUCAUGUUUUACCUCUACUCAAUCUGCGUGUGACAUCUAGAGCACCGCAAAUCGUCUUUUUGCUGCGUCAACUAGUGUGAAAAUUUCUCGCAUCAAGCAUGAUCUUCAUUCUACAAAGAAGGGUGAGUUAACUGUCACAGAAUAUAUUGCGAAGAUAGAAAAUACCUGUGCCUUACUUACAGCUCUGGAUCGGUGGUGUCAGAAGCUAAAAAGGUGGAAGUCAUUUUGGCUGGGCUCUCAUCGGAUUUUGAUAUCGUACUAACCUUGGCUUUGUUCUUGACGGAGCCUCUUCCCUUUCUGCGUUUGGUCGAGGUUCUCAUGGAAUUUGAAAGUAAACAGCUGCAAGUGGCGCGUGAGGUUCCCAUCCAUGCUCAUCCUGUUGAAACGCGUAAUGUUGCUGCGAUCGUUGAUUCUGUUUCACGUGAUGUGCGUGGAGGCCGUGUGACAGUAGGUUUGCAAGAGCGUGGCUUCUGUUCGCUCAUGCAGUGCCAAAUCUGUAAUAGGUUCGAUCACAUGGUGCAGCAAUGCUUCUAUCGCUUUAAUUGGUCUUACGAUAGUCUGAAUGCUUCUACCACGGUGAGGUUUUCACCGUCUACGCAUAAUAGACAACAAGGUUUUGGAUCUGGUGACCUUUUGAGAGACUGGUCGUCUUUUCAAAGUCGGAGUGAAUAUCCACCACAACUGCAAGCUACGAAUUUUGGUGAAACUGGCUAUUGGUUGAGUUUGCAGAAGACACAAAUGGACAGUGGUUUGGAUCUGUUGGCCCGUUUGAUUUCUUUGAAAGGCGUGUUGGGCAUGCUGUGGGCCAGUGUUCUGUACAACACAUUGGGCUGCCUUCCUCGGUUGCACACAGGCCCCAUUAUGCAGGCCAGAUUCGUGGGUAGUGUCUUGGACCAAAUGCUGGUCAGGUUUUUAGGUCGGUUCAUGGGUAGAAGACUAGUCAGGUUUUUGGGCAGAAUACUGGGCAUUAUUUUGGGUCAACUAAUAGUAAGUGUUUUAGUCCUAUUAGCGGGAGCAUGAUGUGCAACAAUUUGGGCUGCAUGCAGGCCAGUCUGUUGGGCCUCUUAGUAGGUAGAUUAAUGGGCUGAAUAGUGGACAGGUUGAUGCUAUUCAAAAACUUGGGCCUAAUGCUAAUUUUGUUGGUGUUGAAAGCUCUAUGCAAAAUAAUGCUCCUGUUCCGUAGCGAACAAAACCACGAGUACGUGUUUUUUAUUUUAAUUUCUCUCAGUGUGUUGGGCUACCCCGAAUUCUUGAUUUUCUUGCUUCUGAUUUUUCGGAUGCCACACAGUAUGAUUCCAACUUUGAUAAUAUAUACUAACUCGUGUGUUCCUGUGCCAAUAGGAACCUCAUCAUAGUAUCCAGAUUCAAGGGCAACUCAUCAUGUAUGUCAGAAUGCAUCUGAUUUAAAUGCAUCUAAUUAGGAGCAUUUGAUUCAUUUUGAUAAUGACAUCCUAAUCAUUUAGGCAUAAACAAGAGUUCAUGGGUUAUGCGUCCCUAGAGAACAGGUCAGUGAAACUACAAAUCUCAUCUCCCUGAAGUUGCAGUGGAGCAGACUAAAGAUAAUGAAUCUUAUUUCCCUGAAGUUGCGGUGGAACAGAUUGAAGCUAUAAGUUACAGAUCCUAUCUCUCUGAAGUUACUGUAGAGUAGAUCAUAUCAAACCUUAUCUCCCUGCAGUUGCAGUGGAACAAAUUAAAGACCGGCUACAAAUCUUAUCUCCCUGAAGUUGCAGUAGAGCAGAUUUAAGCCACAAACCUUCCCCUUUGAAAUUGCCGUGGGGCAGGUUGAAAAUACAAGCCUUACUUCCCUGAAGUUGCAGUGGAGCAGACUGAAGCUAUUAAUCCUAUCUCCCGGAAGUUGCAGUGGAGCGGAUUAAAACGAUGAAUCCUAUACCUUUAAAGUUGUAGAGGGUUUGAUUAAAUUUGAUCAUAUCAAACCUUAUCUCCCUGAGGUCGCAGUGGAGUAGUGGAGUAGACUAAAACCAAAACCUCGUCCUCUUAAAGUUGUUGCGAAGAAGAUUGAAGCUACAAGAAGUGCAGUGGAGUGGAUUGAAGCGAUAGGACACAGUGGAUUGGAAUAAGGCUACUUGAAGAAGAGAAGAGUCAAAAGAAGUCGGGACUUGGUGAGACCAGGCAAAAUUGGUCUUCCUUAGUCUUUGCUCUAUUCUCGUUACACGACAACGAGCAAAGAGGGGUAGCUUUACAGCCCAUUUUGCAUUGCCCAGUACCCAAAUAAACCAAAUUACCCACAUCUACCCAAAACCCAAUUACAACCUGGGGCCCAAACCAAAAGACUCAGCCCAAUACCCCUAACCUAACCAAAUCCAACACAGCCCAAAUGGCCCAAUGCAAAAAAAAAGGUGGGAGUCUGAAAACCCUAGCCCUAGGUGCGUCGCACCUAGGGUCUUCUAACCCUUGACCUACCAACCGCCACCACCGCAUGUCUGUCACCGCCGUUGUCAUGUCGACCGGCGCCUAUCAAUCACCUACAGGAGAAAAAUAAACACACAAGCAGUAAAAUAAUAGAAAAAAUGGAAACAAAUCGGCUAUAAAAGUCGAGCACCACUUCUAUAUAUAUAUUCAUUUUUUUUACGACUGGUUAAUGAAAAAGCAGAGCAAAAGCUUUUAAAAAAGGUUCACUCCAGUUUAACUGCUUCUAUUUUUUUUCUGUUAUUGUAUUUUUUCUUUAUUUUUUAUUUUUUUAUGUUUGUUUAUUUUUACGACCCUUUUUAACAAAAACGAAACAAAAUGAGAAAAGGUAAGAUACCUGUUUGCUUCGAAAACCGGCGCCGGAGCCCAUCUUCGACGUCACCGGAGUCGAACAGGGGAGGUUUUUUUCUUUUUCUCUCGGUCCCACGGUUGAUAAGGCCUAGCCUUCAGGGACGCCGUGAAGUGAGGGCUGAAAAGCCCGUUUCGCGCGACUCCAGGCACUGGCCAUGGAGACAGCGCGGCAGUGGCCAGAACUUAAGGGCCGGACAUGUGAGAGAGAGAGAGAAGGAAGUUUUGAAUUUUUUUUUUAAAAAACUUUGUAAAAAUGAUUUUUUUAGAAAAAAAUUUAAGUUAAAUAAUGAUACUUAUACAACGUCGUUUUGACAUUAGGGGGCAGGUGCCAAAACGACGUCGUUUUGACAUUAGGGGGCAGGUGCCAAAACGACGUCGUUUUGGCCCUGACACGUGACCUGACCUGUUGGCCUUCAGGAUUCGCGUGUUUCUGCUGUGAAGGGGCUAUUUGCGCAUGUGGUCCUUCUACUUUUGUGAGGCUUUGCAAUUUAGUCCUAAAAUUUUUUUCUUUACAUUUUGCGGUAUAAUUUCAUUUUUGUUUCUUUUCGGUCCAAACGGAAACGGUGCACUCUAAAGGACUGGGAAUAAUCUCCCAUAUAGUCCUCGCCCUUUUCCAGCGCAUUUCAGUUGGCCCUUUCGUUUUUUAUUUGUAAUUUAUACCUUUAAAGUCGAUUCAAAUUUCGAUCCAGUCCCUUUUAUAUUUAUUUAUCCAUUUUUUUAUAAUUUACACUCCAAAGUUUAUUUUAACCUCAAUUUGAUUCUUUAUCCUUUUAAUUUCAAGCUUUAUUUAUUUAUUUAUUCUUUUCGUUCUGUUUUAUUUAUUUAUUUAUGCAUUCAUGUAUUUAUCAAUUUCCUUACUUUUCUUGUGUUUAGAAUUUAUAUUGUUAUUUAUUCCUUUAUUGAUACAUUUCAUUAUUAUUAUCAUUAUUAUUAGUGUUUAAUUCAUUUUUAUAUUUCUAGUAUUAGAAUAGUAAUUAAUAUGGUCAUUGUUAUUAUUAUUUGGUGAUUAUUAUUAUAAUUACGUCAUGAUUAUUAUUGUAUUUUAUAAUUUAUUAUUUACCCUUUAAAUAUUCUACUAAUAUAGUUAUUUUAUGUUAUUUCAUUAUUAUUGUACUAUACAUUGUAUGAAAUAAUUGUUUGCCUUCACACAAUAUUUGCAUAAAUUAAACUUACAUAUUGUUAUAUUACAUUAAUUCUUACUUAAAUUCAAAAAAGGAAAAUUUUUAAAAUAAGACAACAUUCUGUAUUUAGAAACUCAAGAAAGUCGUACCCUAACUUAUGGGGUUUCGACUUUCUCGAAAAAUUCCAACACACGAAUCAUUUCAAACAAAGUUUUUAAAUGUUCUCGGGAAUUAAUAAAAGAUCGUGUUCUAAAUCACGGGACAUGAUCUCUUUUUUAAACCCGAGAUAAUCGAACUCUUUCAAAAUAAAUAAAUUUUUCGGCUUUCAUUCUCGUAUCGGGAAUUUUAGACAUUGUGUCCUAACUUACUGGACGUAAUUCUUCUUCUCGAUUAACUUGGAAAUAUGCUUCUCCUUUUAAAUUUUUCAAAAUUUUGAUAAAAGGAUCGUAUUAUUUUUCUUUUUUUUUUUAACUCUUCAAAAUUUUCAAUUUUCGACGCUAAGACACUAAUUAAUCAGCUAGAUACCAAUUUUGGGCGUUACGAAGGUGUUAAUCCCUCGUCGUACGUAACCGAUUCCUGAACCCAUUUUCUUUUUUUUAUCGUGGACCAAAAUCAUUGUUUUUUCAAAUCGUUUAUUAAAAUAACUAUUUUUCGAGGUGGCCCGAUCACACCUCAUCAAAAAAGAUUAGUGGUGACUCCCACAUUCGUUUUCAUUUUUUAAAACCCGAGUUGACCCCAUUUUAUCAAAAAAAAAUGGUGUCAACAAUGAUAAGAAUAUAAAAACAAAAUUGAGGUUUGGUUUUAUGUUUUUUUAUUGCUUUUUAAGUAUGGUUUUCAACAGCCAAUAUAUUAGUUGAAAGUGAUCAACUUUAAAGGGUCCCAAAACCUGAUCAAUACCCUAGACUUUAAAAUUGUAGAUGUCCAUCCAUCAUUUGGAGUGCUUAAGAGGCUUAAACUUUUGAAUUUCAAAGACUGCAAAAGUUUUAGGAGUCUUCCAACCAGAAUUGAAGUGAAAUCCCUUGAAACAUUGAUUCUUUCGUGUUGCUCAAACCUUCAAAGAUUUCCAGAUAUCGAUGGGAAAAUGAAAUGUUUACAAACUCUUAAUCUUUCUGGUUAUUAUAGAGUUGAAAAUUUACCAGAAAAUCUGCAGCAAGCGAAGUUUUUAGAAGAGCUCGAUUUAAGUGAAACAGCCAUAACAGAGCCACCAUACUUCACUUUUCAAUCUAAAAAUCUUAAAUUUAGUGGGUUUGGCCUGCCCUACAGGCAUUGAUUGCCUUAGAGCCACUGACUGCUACAGAUUGGCUGAGAAUAUCAAUCCAUUAACAUUGCUAAUUAUUAAAUACGUAAAAUACAAACCGUCCAACAUUUUUAAUUAUUACUUGUAAUUAAAGUAGACUCCACUUUGCCAACUAUCACCUUCUUGGAAACAACAUCCAUCGCUCAUCUUUGACCCCUAAUUUCCACCCCUAUGCUCAUAUACUUACUUUUUCUAGUUUCUUUGUGGAUAUUGGGCGAUCUAUUUUCUGAUUUGGAACACCAGAUUGAGAAAUCCUUCUCCUUUCAUACAUCCUCAUGUUAUCGUUCCAUUCAACUUCUUCCUCCAUUUCUGAAAAGAAAUAUGAUGUUUUCUUGAGUUUUAGAGGUGAAGAUACUCGCAACAACUUCACGGAUCAUCUUUAUGAUGCUCUAACUAAUAGAAAAGUCAACAAUAUUCAUUAUAUGUCUAACUAAUAACAUUAUAAAAAUAUAUGAUUAAAUUAGGUUAGAAAUUAAAUCUUAAAUUUAGGCAUAAUAAAAAAACUAAAAUUGAAAUUCUAACAUUUUCUUAUAAUGUAAAAGAAAAAAAAUCCUAUACAUUAAAUUAAUAAAUUGUAUUCAUACAUAAAAUGUUAUGAUAGUGAGUAAAUAUAAGUUAUUUUAGUCUGCACCUAAUGAACAUUUUAAAUGCUUCAAAUAGAACUUAAUCAUAUAAAAGGCAAAAUGUGAGGGACCGAAUUUAAAAUAACGCAUUGUACGUCCUCCCUGGACAGGUGUCUCCAAAUACUCCUUUAAUAUAUAGUUAUAUGGACAAUUAUAUGAUUAUGUAAAUGAAAGUAAAAGACAAACCGUCCAACACUUUACUUAUUACUUAGAAUUAUUGUAGGCUCCAUUUUGUCAACACCCACCUUCUUGGAUUCUUCCUGGAAAGAACAUGCAUCACCCAAUGUCCAUACCUACUCGUAUUCAUUUCGAAAAUUCAAAGGUUAUAGAGAAAUUGCUUAGAAACGUCCUUUAUUCUUCCCUGGAAUUUUCACCUGUUUUUUUCAAUCUUCACUCUCAUAUACUUAUUGUUUCUAGUUUCUUUCUGGCGUGUUGAGCGAUCAAUUUUCUGAUUUUGAACACUAAAUCCACAUAUAUUUUUCUUCUCAAACACUGUCAUGUUGUCAUUACCUUCAACUUCCUCAUACAUUUCUAGAAAGAAAUAUGAUGUUUUCUUGAGUUUUAGAGGUGAAGAUACUCGCAAAAACUUCACCGAUCAUCUCUAUGCUGCUCUAAAGAGGAGUGGGAUCGUCACUUUCAGGGAUGAUCCAAAGCUGGAGGCCGGCGAAGAGAUCGCGCCAGAACUCUUCAAAGCAAUUCAGCAAUCAUGGUGCUCGGUAAUCGUUUUUUCACAAACUUAUGCCUUUUCAAGUUGGUGCUUGGAGGAGCUUGCUGAGAUUGUUCAACAAACAACGACGGCCAUAAAGUGUUUCCAAUUUUUUACGAUGUUGAUCCAUCUGAUUUAAGAAAACAAAAAGGGAAAGUGGAAGAAGCCUUUGCCAGACAUGAAGAGAGAUACAAAGCAGAAAGUGAGAAGAUCCAAAGGUGGCGAAAUGCUUUAAUUCGAGUGGCUGCAGUCAAGGGAUGGCAUUUAAAUAACAGGUAAUUCUUUCUUUUCUUCUCUAUUUUCUAGUUUUUUGGAUAUGUAUACUUUUUUCUUUUUUUCUAAUCCUAUGUGUUUAAUUGAAAAGUGUUUCAAUAAGAGAGAAAAUUUUGUCUUCUGGCUCCGCAACAGAUCUUGCUUUCUUAUUCUUGGUUCUUGUUUUCUUCCAAACUAUUUUAUGUUUCAUGAUUCAUUGAAAAAGAAAGUGCAUUCGAAACAUAUCACUGAAAACAUUAAAAUUUCUUCUUUUUAGGCAUGAAUCUGAAUUUAUUGGAGACAUUGUUAAGAAGAUAUCAGCAAAACUAUGUCGGACAUAUCCAGUUACUCAUAGCGACUUGGUUGGUAUUAGUGAACGCUUGGAGGAUUUGUAUUUGAAAAUAAACAUUGGGGAAGAUGAUGUCCGCGUUAUAGGAAUUUGCGGAAUGGGUGGCAUCGGUAAAACGACACUCGCAAGAGUUGCUUACACUCAAAUGUCACCUCAUUUUGAAGGUAAAAGUUUUAUUGCUGAUAUUCGAGAAGUUUCAGACAAAUGCGGACUAGUUUCUUUACAGAAACAACUUCUUUCACAGAUCUUUCAUGGUGAAUGCUUCAACUUUUUCGAUGUUCAUGAAGGGAGUGACAUAAUUAGCCAUAGGUUGUCUCACAAAAAGGUUCUUGUUGUUCUUGAUAAUGUUGAUAACAUACAACACUUAAAAUGCUUGGUUGGAAGGCACGAUUGGUUCGGAUUAGGAAGUAGAAUCGUUGUAACAACAAGAGAAGAACAUUUGCUUCGAUCUUGGCCAGUUGAUGAUAUGUAUGAGCCCACAACAUUAAAUCCCAAAGAUGCGCUUCAACUUUUCAGUCUGAAAGCUUUUCAUAGUGAUACAGUGCAGAAAGAUGAUUUUAUUGAGCUUUCUAAACAUGUUGUAAAUUAUGCUGGUGGACUCCCUUUAGCUCUUGAAGUUUUUGGUUCCUUUUUGUGCGGUAGAGAUGCGACUCAAUGGAGAAGUGCGAUUGAAAGACUUAAAAGAGAUUCUAAUAAAGAAAUUCUCGAUAAACUUCGAAUCAGUUUCGAUGGACUGGAAGAAAGGGAGAAGAAUAUAUUUUUAGAUAUAGCAUGCUUCUUCAAUGGGGAGGAGAAAAAUUUUGUGAUUAAAGUAUUAGAUGGUUGUGAGUUUUUUCCUGAUAUCGGAAUUGAUGUUCUCGUUAAAAAAUCUCUCCUAAAAGUCGAUGAACACAACAAAUAUUUGAAGAUGCAUGACUUGUUGCAAAAAAUGGGAAGAACAAUUGUUAAAGAAAAAUGUGUUGAUGAACCUGAAAAACGUUGCAGAUUGUGGGAGGAAAGGGACGUCCAUCAUGUCCUAACAAAAAACACUGUAAGUCAUUCAACAAAAGUUACAUACUAUUUCUUUUUUAUCCUACAUUAUUCACUAUUUAUUUUAUUUUCUUAUUGUCUAUUCUUGAUUUUUUUAGGCUACAAAAAUGAUUGAAGGCAUAAUCAUCGAUAAUAAAAGGUAAGAAGACACACAUAAACUUAUAUGUGUAUAUUAAAAAAAAAUUAAAAAUUAUUUUUUUCAUGUAUUUAAAAGGUUCUUAAAGGAUCAUAUCUUCAUACCCAUAUACGAAUGUGCAUUAGAUAUAAGUAUUGGAUACGAGUACUUAAAAAACAAUAUCAAUGCAACAUUUCUUUUAGAUAUUGAAUGUUUUUAUAUAUUUUGAAGCUCAUUUUUGUUUUGCUCAUGGAUAUUAGGGAAUCGAUCAAGAUGCUCAAUUUGAGUGUGGAUACCUUCUUGAAGAUGAAAAAACUGAGAUUGCUCAAAGUGCUUUGCCUUUCAAAUUGUAAUGAUCUCAAAUAUCUUUCUAAUGAACUACGACUUUUAGAUUGGACAGGAUACCCUUUAAGAUACUUGCCUUCAAGCUUUCAACCGGACAACCUUGUCGCACUUCUUUUACCAUAUAGUCACAUUCAACAACUAUGGAAGGGAAAUAGAGUAAGAAUUAACUCAUCUUAUCCUUGUGUUUUAGCUUAUUUUAAUAAAAAUUAUUAAACUUUGAUUAAGGUAAAACAGAAAAAAAAAAAAAUUGAGCAUUAUUAUGUUUUCUCAUUUGUUUCUAAUUUAUUAUGGUCUUCAACAGCCCUUGUUUAACUUGAAAAUAAUGAACCUCAGAGGGUCUCAAAACCUGAUCAAGACACCAAACUUCACAACCGCAUCAAAUCUUGAAGUUUUGAUUUUGGAAGGUUGUACCAAAUUAGUGGACGUUCAUCCAUCAAUCCAGGUGCUUAAGAGCCUUAAACUUUUGAAUUUAAGAGAUUGCAAAAGUCUUGGGACUCUUCCAACCAAAAUUGGAAUGGAAUCUCUUGAAACAUUAAUUCUUUCGGGUUGCUCAAGUCUUGUAAGGUAUCCGGAGAUUGAUGGGAAAAUGGAACGUCUAAAAACUCUAGAUCUUUCCGGUUGUUAUAGAGUGGAAAAUUUGCCGGAGAAUUUACAGCAAGCAAAGUUUUUGGAAGAGCUCGACUUGAGUGAAACAGCCAUAACAGAACCACCAUCCUUCAUUUUUCAAUUUAAAAAUCUUAAAGUUCUGUCUUUCAAUGGGCGCAAGGGACCAUCAUAUAAGUUACUACCAAAUUUGCCUUCUCUUUUCAAGGUGGAAGAAUGACGAAUCCCAUGGCUCGGAUGUUGCCCUUGUUGUCAGGUUUGAGUUCUUUAAGACAGCUAAAACUAAGGGACUGCAAUCUUUGUGGAGGAGAUCUUCCACGUGAUAUUUCUGGUCUAUCCUGUUUGAAAGAACUUGAUCUUAGUGNNNNNNNNNNNNNNNNNNNNNNNNNNNNNNNNNNNNNNNNNNNNNNNNNNNNNNNNNNNNNNNNNNNNNNNNNNNNNNNNNNNNNNNNNNNNNNNNNNNNCUACUCUCGAAGCUUGCAAAUCUUAAAUUGUCAAAUUGCAACAUGUGCACUGUUGGUGAAGCAGAUAGUCAUAGUGAUAUUUCUUGUUUAUCAUCUUUGAGAAGUCUUAAUCUUAGUGGUAACAAUUUCAUCACCAUUCCUUUGGCUCUUACUCAACAUUCCGGGCUGCAACGGCUUGUAUUGUCAGACUGCAAGAUGCUUAAAUUGUUGCCUGCGCUAUCAACAAAUAAACGAGUGCGGAUAGAUGGUUGUUCUUCACUUGAAGUAGUUGCAAGUCCAUCAAAAGUAUGCAAUUUAGUGGGUUGUGACAUUACUGCCAUUAACUGCUUCAAAUUGGCUGAGAAAAUCAAUGCAUUAACACUGCUGAAAGAACAUAUUAAGGUCUAUUAAUCUAUUUUUUCUCCCUUACAAAAUCUCAUACUUCAGAAUUUAUGGUUUUAGUUACCAGACGACUUGUGUUUUAUUUUGCAGGCGGUUCGAUAUCCAAGAGAUUGUUUUCAUGGUGGCAUCGUUGAUAUUAUGAUGCCCGGAAGUGAAAUUCCAGAAUGGUUUAGCCAACAAAAAAGUGAUUUUUCAAUUAAGAUACCCCUACCUAUCAACCUUUGGAAAGAUAGUCAAUGGAUUGGAGUUGCUUGUUGCUGCAUUUUUGUCAAUAAUGAUGCUUCAAGGAACGAGUGUAUCCACUGUGAUGGAUCUAUUUUUCGAGGUAAAAAUUGUCGACCAAUCUGUCAGAGAAACCGGUGGGUAGGUCAACGCUUUGACAAGCCCAUAAUGAAAGAUCACCUUUUUCUUCGUUAUUUUCCGCGUGAUCAAUCAUAUCCAUUUUCCUUGGAGGAUAAAUAUGGUGACUGUGAAACCAAUAAUUUAUGGACAACAGAUUGCUUAGAUCAACCAUGCGAUGAGCUUGAGUUGUCUUUCAGUGCCGAAUUUGGAGAAGGUGAACCUUAUGUUAAGGUAAAGAAGUGUGGUGUUAGAAUAGUGUACAAGAAAGAUUUGGAAGAAAUGAAAGAGUUGCAGUGCCAUACCACUCCAUCUUCUCCAAAAUUUGAACACAUCCACCAACACUCUGUUCACAACCAUGGAUCAGUAGGUAGCAGUUCUCACAUAAAACGGAAACGUAAUAUCUAUGAGGAAACGGAGGAAGAAGAGCCGCAACCAAAACGGAUGCAAAAUUUUUUCAAUUUUGUAAUGGGCCAAUCAAGAUAGAAGCAUUAACUGUGGUAAACUACUUAACCAACCUUGUCCCAUUAAUUUUUUUUUGCGAAUGUGAUAUAUCCUUCAUACUCAUAUUCAACAUGUACAUAUCUCAAAUGUUUUAUACCAUUUAAAAUUUUAGUCACUUAAUUCAUUCCUUUUUACAUAAUCUAAAUGUGUACAUUUUGAUUGGUUUCACAGUUUUUCUAUUAAAAUUUUAUUUCCACUAUAUAUAUAUAUUCGCUUACAGCUAUAUUUUAUUUAUAGGUUGAAGAUGAGGCAAAUUAAAACAAAAUUGUGAGACAAAAAUGGAGACGAAGCAAGCAAUGAUAAAAUGAGAAUCCUUUAAUAAGGAUCGAUCAUAAUUUCAAUUGAGUUAAAAUUUAUUUUAUUUUUAUUGGAGACCAACUUAUGUGUUCAAUUUAAUCAGUCAAAACUAUUUUUAUAUAUUUGAAAGAUUAAAAAUAAAUCCUAGAGGUACUUAAAUAGAUUUAAUCCCUUCUAAUAAAGUAUCAUUUAAAUUUCAUGGCUUGAAGUACAAAUAAUAUUAUUCCAACUCCUCAGUUUAUAUUUUCUUUAUAAAAUAUUUAUGUUUAGACAUUUAUUUUUAAUAUUUAUUCAAAUAUGAAUAUAAAGUAUGCACUAAUAUCACUACAGGAAAAUAGACUUUUAGCGGCGUUUUUUUGGCCUUUAGCAGCGCUUAUAAGCGCCACUAAAACUAUUUGCGGUGCUUUCACAAGCGCUGGGAAAAAUGCCGCUAUUGACAAUGCUGGAAAACUUUACGGCGCUUUUAGUGAAAAAGCCACUAUAAUUCUUGACCUUUAGCGACGCUUUAUUACAAAUGCCGCUAUAAGUCUUGGCCUUUAGCGGCGCUUUUUUUACAAACGCCGCUAGAAGUCUUGGCCUUUAGCGACGUUUGACAAUCCAUAAAUACCGAUAGAAAAUAAAUAGGCACUCAAAACAAGUAUAUGUUCGAGCAUCAUUGACCAACUCCUUAUUAAGUCUUGGCCUUUAGUGGCGCUUUUUUUACAAACGCCGCUAAUUUAGGUAUAUUUGCGAGCCUACAUUUUUCACCAAUUCCAACCCUUCCUGCAUAAAAUUCAACCAAAAACAGCAAAUAUUUUUGCGAAAAUCCAACCAAAAAUAGCAAAUCUAAAUUAUACAAAAGAUAUAUGAUAUAUUUUAUAAAUGAAAUAUAAUUUAAAAUAUUCUUACAAUAAUGUUAAAAGUUAGAAUAAAACAAAUGUCUAAGAUGGUGGCAUUUGCAAAUGCUGGAACAUCUUCAUCAUAGUCUGAAGCUGUUGCUGGAGUUCAUCGUACUUUCUAUUUUGCUCUGCCUCCCUCGUUGUUGCCGUCGCCUCCCUCACUGCUGCCGCCGCCUCCCUCGCUGCUGCAUCUGCUUUAAGUUGAGCAAUUUGCUCAACUGUGCUAGCUUGCAUCUCAGUCAUCUGAGUUAUCUGCUCUCUUAACCUUUGAACUUCAGCUUUAGCUCGACUCCCGGAAGGCAUGUAGUGCUGCGAGCUGGAUCCAAAAUAUUGGGUCGGGGUAACACCAGAUCCUUGAAAUCGAACCUGACCAUAUCUUUCAGGACCUAAAACUUCAUUCUGUUAUCGAUGUCCUCAAAAUUAACAGAACUAUCAGUCGAAGCAAUCCUUCAUACUCCGCUUUCUUAUCUUUUAGUUUCUCCUAAAAAAUAAAUUAAAGAGUUAGAAACGAAAUAUAUAAUAAAAAGGAAUACAACAUAAGUUAACAUUAUUUAAAACUACUAACGACGAAUUAAACCAUUAUAAUUAAACAUUAUAAAUAUUUAUAAUAAAUAAAAAUUUAUUAAGUAAAUAUACCAUAAUUUCUCCAGCUUCGGAUGUCAUCAGAGAUCCAUCUUUCUUCCUAUGAGUAAUGUUAAAAAGUUGAAGGCGUCCAACUUUUUGACCAGAUGAGGCUUCCUACAAUAUAGUAUAAAAAAUAUUAUUUAAUAGUAGAAACUGAUUAAUAAUUGACAGAAUUAAUAAAUUCAUAAUACCUCGGCCUCAGCUACACAAGCAAAACUUCUCGACCCUGCCGUGUGCGUGAAUUUUUGUUUUUGCCUGCUAGCUAUUCCAACUCGCUCACAGUCCUACAUAAUGAAAUUAUUAAUAUGUAUAUAGUAAAUACUAUAAACUAAAAAGUUUAUAAGAGUUUGGAAGUAGGUAAUAUCUCUCAUUUCUUUGAAUUCUAAAAUCUAACUGCAUCUUCCCAUUGGUACCCCAGCAUUCCCGGCGGGACAUUUCGUAAUUUUUCUUCAAGGCUUAUGUCUUUCUUAAAAUAUUCUUUUUUCAAACUGCUCUUAUGGUCUUUCUAUUUUUUACCCAAUGCCUUCUUGAUAUAGGCAUCGGAGACUUGUAAAGCAAAUCUCUCCUAAAAAACAAAAGUUUAGAAAGUAAAUAUAAAAGAAACUUAAAACAAAGUAUAUAAAUUACAUUCACGUUUUGUUACCUUAAUAUUAUUGAGAGCUUGAUUUUUGUUGCUAUCAGGCAUGUGAUGCCAUGAUUCAUAGUUGAUGGGCAACAUAUUGGCAUUUCGUGCUAUCAUGCUCAAAUAGCCUGCUAAAAGUCGAGCUUUUGAUCCAACAGGCUAACCAUGACUGUUUCUACCUACUUUGACAUGCUCGACAGGAUUUAAAUCUUAUAAAUCUUUAAGUAGCGUGCGUCCCCGACCUUUACGUGUCCCACCACUUUCAGCUAGAAAAUAAUAUAUUAUAUAUAUUGAAAUUGAGAAAUACGGGCAAUAAUAAAAGUCAACACGCAUGUAAAAUAAACUUAACAUUACUUUGAAAUUCUACAGGCUCGUCAACUGUCUCCGGCACAUUCGAAGAUCCAAUAGCUGUCUACUGUUCACUAUUUCCUUCUUCGGAAUCCCAUGGCUCGGAUGUUGCCUUUGUUGUCAGGUUUGAGUUCUUUAAGACAGCUAAAACUAAGGGACUGCAAUCUUUGUGGAGGAGAUCUUCCACGUGAUAUUUCUGGUCUAUCCUGUUUGAAAGAACUUGAUCUUAGUGGUAACAAUUUCAUCAGCAUACCUGCAUCUCUUACUCUACUCUCGAAGCUUGCAAAUCUUAAAUUGUCAAAUUGCAACAUGUGCACUGUUGGUGAAGCAGAUAGUCAUAGUGAUAUUUCUUGUUUAUCAUCUUUGAGAAGUCUUAAUCUUAGUGGUAACAAUUUCAUCACCAUUCCUUUGGCUCUUACUCAACAUUUCGGGCUGCAACGGCUUGUAUUGUCAGACUGCAAGAUGCUUAAAUUGUUGCCUGCGCUAUCAACAAAUAAACGAGUGCGGAUAGAUGGUUGUUCUUCACUUGAAGUAGUUGCAAGUCCAUCAAAAGUAUGCAAUUUAGUGGGUUGUGACAUUACUGCCAUUAACUGCUUCAAAUUGGCUGAGAAAAUCAAUGCAUUAACACUGCUGAAAGAACAUAUUAAGGUCUAUUAAUCUAUUUUUUCUCCCUUACAAAAUCUCAUACUUGAGAAUUUAUGGUUUUAGUUACCAGACGACUUGUGUUUUAUUUUGCAGGCGGUUCGAUAUCCAAGAGAUUAUUUUCAUGGUGGCAUCGUUGAUAUUAUGAUGCCCGGAAGUGAAAUUCCAGAAUGGUUUAGCCAACAAAAAAGUGACUUUUCAAUUAAGAUACUAUUGGUGCAAAGAGGCAGCAGCAGACUGUUUUGGUCUUGCUUGGAUAGCAAGCCUCGAGCCUUGCUGAAGAAACAAACUCAGAAACAAAGCAGAAAAUGAAACUAGGUAGUGAAGAACAAGAAGGAGAGAGAGAGAGAUUGAAUGAAAGUGAGCUGAUAUUUUUCAUUAAUCCACCAACAAGGCAUUAAGCUAUUACAUACAUUAGUCAACAAGUAAAACAAACAAGUAAUCACUUAAUCAAUUACCUAACACCACUAAUUUUGCAUUGAAACUUACAAGAUUAGCUUGUACAACUUGCAUUGCUGAUUUUUCAAUCAAUCAACACCAAAACAUUUACCUACUUAGUUCAACAUGAACUAAAUUACAAAAUAAUCAAAAAGCAACCAAAAACACCAAGUGGAUAGGCAACAUUAAGCUUCAGGCUUUAGUUUCUGCAGACCAAGGCUCGAAUGCCUACAACGUAUUCUUCUGCAUGGCCACCUUUGCAUGGGAAGCUGGUUGCAUGGGAACUAACUUUAACACUCCUCCUUAGUUUCUAUGCUGGUUACGCCUAGCUUCCCUUUUAAUUUUAUAAACCUUGACACAUUGAGUGCCUUGGUAAAAAUGUCUGCAAUUUGCUCCUCCGAAUUGCAAUGAACCAGCUCGAUUUCAUGAGCUUGUUCCAUCUCCCUUAUAACAUGUAAUUUAAUAUUGAAGUGCUUGGUUCUGCCAUGGAAGAUGGGAUUCUUUGCAAUUGCAACAGCAGAUUUGUUGUCACAGUAAAUCUCUGUUGCUUCUUCUUGGUUUUGGUUUAAAUCAGCCAAGAUUUUUCUAAGCCAUAUGGCUUGAUUCACAGCAGAUGCAGCAGCAACAUAUUCAGCUUCUGCUGUUGAUUGUGCCACCAGACUUUGUUUCUUAGAACUCCAGCAAAACAUGCCUGAGCCAAGACUAAAUGAGUAUCCAGAUGUGCUCCUCAUAUCAUCACUCGAUCCAGCCCAAUCACUAUCGACAUAUCCUACUAACUUCAUGUUUUCAACCCUUUUGAACAUUACACCAUGAUUGAUGGUGCCUUUGAUGUACCUCAGCACCCUUUUUGUUGCUUGAAAGUGCAGAUCUUUGCAGCAAUUCGUGUAUCUGGAUAGCACACUAACUGCAAACAUAAUGUCGGGCCUUGUUGCAGUCAAAUACAAUAGACUACCAAUGAGACUCUUGUACAUAGUCUCACAAACUGGUUCACCAGUUUCAUACCUUGAUAGCUUCAUUCCAACAGCCAUUGGUGUGCUUGUUGGCUUGCAAUUCUUCAUUGAGAACUUGUUUAAGACCUUCAUAGCAAAAGAACUCUGGCUGAGAAAGAUUCCAGUUGCAUUUUGUCCUACUUCCAUUCCUAGAAAGUAAUUCAUUCUGCCUAGAUCAGACAUCUCGAACAUUUCCAUCAUUUUCUUCUUGAAAUCAUGCAGCAUGUUUUUGUCUCCUCCAGUUACUAACAAAUCAUCAACAUAGAGUGACAAGAUAAGCGGAGUCUCAGCUUGAUUUUUCUUCACAUACAAAGUUGGUUCACUGGCACUUCUCUCGAAUUCCAAACUGAGCAAGUAGGAAUCGAUUCGAGCAUACCAGGCUCGAGGAGCUUGUUUCAGCCCAUACAAGGCCUUUUUUAACCUGUAGACCAUGUGUUCUUUACCAGUGACUACAAACCCUUGAGGCUGCUCAAUGUAGAUCUCUUCUUCUAGGAAGCCAUUGAGGAAUGCAGACUUCACAUCCAGUUGAUGAAUGGUCCACUGAUUUUGAGCAGCCAAAGCAACUAUCAUUCUGACAGUGUCAAGUCUGGCUACUGGUGCAAAGGUCUCCAAAUAGUCCAAACCAUACCUUUGGCUAAAACCUUUAACUACAAGCCUGGCUUUCAGCUUGUUAAGACUGCCAUCUGCAUUUUGUUUAGCUCGAUAGACCCACUUCACUCCAAUGGCCUUCUUUCCAGUAGGCUUAUCAACCAACUCCCAUGUUUGGUUCUUCUGUAUCAUGUUGAUUUCAUCAACCAUAACUUGCUUCCAGCCUUCAUCAGACUCGGCCUCUUCAAAACUGGUUGGUUCUGCUAUAGCAAUCUGUGCUCUUUCAUAAAUUUCAUCCAAGGGCCUUGUUCCUCUCACAGGCACAUCAUCAACAUCCAUUUCAGGACCAAGGUGCUUGAAUUCAGCUUGAUUAGGCACCAGGUCCUCUGAAACUGCCUCUGGUUCAUUCUUUUCCCAAUUCCAGCAUGCCUUUUCAUCAAAGACAACAUCUCUGCUUACCUGAACUUUGCAUGUCAAGGGAUCCAGAACCCUAUAGCCCUUUUUGUCUGAGCUAUAGCCCACUAGGAUACCUGGUUGAGCCCUUUUUGAGAGCUUGUCCCUCUUUGCUGCUGGUAUUUGUGCAUAGCACAGGCAACCAAACACCUUCAGGUGUGCCAAUGAAGGUUUGAAGCCAAACCAUGCCUCAAAAGGUGUCUUGUGUGCAAGGGCCUUGGUGAGAAGCCUAUUUUGCAGAUAAACGGCAGUGUUUACUGCCUCAGCCCACAUGGUCUUGGGCAGUUUCUUCUCAAACAGGAGACAUCUGGCCAUAUCCAUCAGACUUCUGUUCUUCCUUUCAGAUACCCCAUUCUGCUGAGGUGUGUAGACAUUUGUAAGCUGGUGUUUGAUGCCAGCAUCAUUGCAAAUGGCCUGGAACUGAGCUGAAGUGUACUCAGUGCCAUUGUCUGACCUUAUAGAUUUCAUCUUGCAGCCUGUUUCUGUUUCUACAGCAGUUUUAAACUUCACAAACACUUGAGCUGCCUCAGACUUGUGUUUCAAGAAGAAAGUCCAGCAAAACCUUGUAAAAUCAUCAAUGAAGAGGAUGAAAUACCUAUUUUUGCUGAGUGAUUCAGUCCUCAUAGGUCCACAUACAUCAGAGUGCACCAGCUGUAAUCUUUCAGUGGCUCUCCAUGCUGAGUUUGUUGGGAAUGGCAGUCUUGCCUGUUUUCCCAUCUGGCACACUUCACACACAUCAUCAUGCUCCACUGAGCUGGUGAAGUUCUCUGCCAAGCCUUCUUUGGCCAUUUGAGCCAUUGAUCUGAAGUUGGCAUGCCCGAGCCUUUGAUGCCAGAGCUUGGAAUCAUCUGUAGAGGCUGUGUAUGCUGACAUUGAGUCAUUUGACCAAUGGACCUCAAAGCAUUUAUCAGUCAUUGUGACUGUCAUAAGGCUUGAUCCACUUGGAUCAGCUAUGUGGCAGUGUUUGUCCUUGAACACAACAGAAUAGCCUUUCUCAAGCAGUUGAGCAAUGCUAAGGAGAUUUCUGUCAAUCUCAGGUACCAACAGGACAUUUGAAAUGACUUUGUUGCCUGUAGGAGUACAUAUCAGCACUUCUCCUCUUCCUUCAGCUUUUAUAAACUGACCAUUUCCAACCUUAACCUUAGUUUUACAGCUUCUGUCCAAGGUUUUGAACAAAGAUGCAUCUGGUGACAUGUGGUUGGUGCAGCCACUGUCCAGUAGCCACCCUUUUGAGCAUUUCUUCUCAGCAGCUAGGCAAGAAACAGCAAAGACCUGCUCUUCUUGGUCAUUACUGUCCUCAGCUACUCGAGCUUUAACCUUUAGUUGUUGAAAUUGGCUCUGCCUUGGCUUGGUUUUGUUUUUGCAAACCCUCUCAACAUGGCCUUUCUUCUUGCAGUGUUGACAUACUGCAUCUGGCCUAAACCAGCAUCUAUCUUCUGGAUGUCCAGGUCUUUUACAAUAUCUGCAGGGCUGAUCAUUACUCCUUGCANNNNNNNNNNNNNNNNNNNNNNNNNNNNNNNNNNNNNNNNNNNNNNNNNNNNNNNNNNNNNNNNNNNNNNNNNNNNNNNNNNNNNNNNNNNNNNNNNNNNNNNNNNNNNNNNNNNNNNNNNNNNNNNNNNNNNNNNNNNNNNNNNNNNNNNNNNNNNNNNNNNNNNNNNNNNNNNNNNNNNNNNNNNNNNNNNNNNNNNNNNNNNNNNNNNNNNNNNNNNNNNNNNNNNNNNNNNNNNNNNNNNNNNNNNNNNNNNNNNNNNNNNNNNNNNNNNNNNNNNNNNNNNNNNNNNNNNNNNNNNNNNNNNNNNNNNNNNNNNNNNNNNNNNNNNNNNNNNNNNNNNNNNNNNNNNNNNNNNNNNNNNNNNNNNNNNNNNNNNNNNNNNNNNNNNNNNNNNNNNNNNNNNNNNNNNNNNNNNNNNNNNNNNNNNNNNNNNNNNNNNNNNNNNNNNNNNNNNNNNNNNNNNNNNNNNNNNNNNNNNNNNNNNNNNNNNNNNNNNNNNNNNNNNNNNNNNNNNNNNNNNNNNNNNNNNNNNNNNNNNNNNNNNNNNNNNNNNNNNNNNNNNNNNNNNNNNNNNNNNNNNNNNNNNNNNNNNNNNNNNNNNNNNNNNNNNNNNNNNNNNNNNNNNNNNNNNNNNNNNNNNNNNNNNNNNNNNNNNNNNNNNNNNNNNNNNNNNNNNNNNNNNNNNNNNNNNNNNNNNNNNNNNNNNNNNNNNNNNNNNNNNNNNNNNNNNNNNNNNNNNNNNNNNNNNNNNNNNNNNNNNNNNNNNNNNNNNNNNNNNNNNNNNNNNNNNNNNNNNNNNNNNNNNNNNNNNNNNNNNNNNNNNNNNNNNNNNNNNNNNNNNNNNNNNNNNNNNNNNNNNNNNNNNNNNNNNNNNNNNNNNNNNNNNNNNNNNNNNNNNNNNNNNNNNNNNNNNNNNNNNNNNNNNNNNNNNNNNNNNNNNNNNNNNNNNNNNNNNNNNNNNNNNAGUAUGCAAUUUAGUGGGUUGUGACAUUACUGCCAUUAACUGCUUCAAAUUGGCUGAGAAAAUCAAUGCAUUAACACUGCUGAAAGAACAUAUUAAGGUCUAUUAAUCUAUUUUUUCUCCCUUACAAAAUCUCAUACUUGAGAAUUUAUGGUUUUAGUUACCAGACGACUUGUGUUUUAUUUUGCAGGCGGUUCGAUAUCCAAGAGAUUAUUUUCAUGGUGGCAUCGUUGAUAUUAUGAUGCCCGGAAGUGAAAUUCCAGAAUGGUUUAGCCAACAAAAAAGUGACUUUUCAAUUAAGAUACUAUUGGUGCAAAGAGGCAGCAGCAGACUGUUUUGGUCUUGCUUGGAUAGCAAGCCUCGAGCCUUGCUUAAGAAACAAACUCAGAAACAAAGCAAAAAAUGAAACUAGGUAGUGAAGAACAAGAAGGAGAGAGAGAGAGAUUGAAUGAAAGUGAGCUGAUAUUUUUCAUUAACCCACCAACAAGGCAUUAAGCCAUUACAUACAUUAGUCAACAAGUAAAACAAACAAGUAAUCACCUAAUCAAUUACCUAACACCACUAAUUUUGCAUUGAAACUUACAAGAUUAGCUUGUACAACUUGCAUUGCUGAUUUUUCAAUCAAUCAAUACCAAAACAUUUACCUACUUAGUUCAACAUGAACUAAAUUACAAAAUAAUCAAAAAGCAACCAAAAACACCAAGUGGAUAGGCAACAUUAAGCUUCAGGCUUUAGUUUCUGCAGACCAAGGCUCGAAUGCCUGCAACGUAUUCUUCUGCAUGGCCACCUUUGCAUGGGAAGCUGGUUGCAUGGGAACUAACUUUAACAAAUACCCCUACCUAUCAACCUUUGGAAAGAUAGUCAAUGGAUUGGAGUUGCUUGUUGCUGCAUUUUUGUCAAUAAUGAUGCUUCAAGGAACGAGUGUAUCCACUGUGAUGGAUCUAUUUUUCGAGGUAAAAAUUGUCGACCAAUCUGUCAGAGAAACCGGUGGGUAGGUCAACGCUUUGACAAGCCCAUAAUGAAAGAUCACCUUUUUCUUCGUUAUUUUCCGCGUGAUCAAUCAUAUCCAUUUUCCUUGGAGGAUAAAUAUGGUGACUGUGAAACCAAUAAUUUAUGGACAACAGAUUGCUUAGAUCAACUAUGCGAUGAGCUUGAGUUGUCUUUCAGUGCCGAAUUUGGAGAAGGUGAACCUUAUGUUAAGGUAAAGAAGUGUGGUGUUAGAAUAGUGUACAAGAAAGAUUUGGAAGAAAUAAAAGAGUUGCAGUGCCAUACCACUCCAUCUUCUCCAAAAUUUGAACAUAUCCAGCAACACUUUGCUCUCAACCAUGGAUCAGUAGGUAGCAGUUCUCACAUAAAACGAAAACGUAAUAUCUAUGAGGAAACGGAGGAAGAAGAGCCGCAACCAAAACGGAUGCAAAAUUUUUUCAAUUUUGUAAUGGGCCAAUCAAGAAAGAAGCAUUAACUGUGGUAAACUACUUAACCAACCUUGUCCCAUUAAUUUUUUUUUGCGUAUGUGAUAUAUCCUUCAUACUCAUAUUCAACAUGUACAUAUCUCAAAUGUUUUAUACCAUUUAAAAUUUUAGUCACUUAAUUCAUUCCUUUUUACAUAAUCUAAAUGUGUACAUUUUGAUUGGUUUCACAUUUUUUCUAUUAAAAUUUUAUUUCCACUAUAUAUAUAUAUUCGCUUACAGCUAUAUUUUAUUUAUAGGUUGAAGAUGAGGCAAAUUAAAACAAAAUUGUGAGACAAAAAUGGAGACGAAACAAGUAAUGAUAAAAUGAGAAUCCCUUAAGAAGGAUCGAUCAUAAUUUCAAUUGAGUUAAAAUUUAUUUUAUUUUUAUUGGAGACCAACUUAUGUGUUCAAUUUAAUCAGUCAAAANNNNNNNNNNNNNNNNNNNNNNNNNNNNNNNNNNNNNNNNNNNNNNNNNNNNNNNNNNNNNNNNNNNNNNNNNNNNNNNNNNNNNNNNNNNNNNNNNNNNNNNNNNNNNNNNNNNNNNNNNNNNNNNNNNNNNNNNNNNNNNNNNNNNNNNNNAUGUUUAGACAUUUAUUUUUAAUAUUUAUUCAAAUAUGAAUAUAAAGUAUGCACUAAUAUCACUACAGGAAAACAGACUUUUAGCGGCGUUUUUUUGGCCUUUAGCAGCGCUUAUAAGCGCCACUAAAACUAUUUGCGGUGCUUUCACAAGCGCUGGGAAAAAUGCCGCUAUUGACAAUGCUGGAAAACUUUACGGUGCUUUUAGUGAAAAAGCCGCUAUAAUUCUUGGCCUUUAGCGACGCUUUAUUACAAAUGCCGCUAUAAGUCUUGGCAUUUAGCGGCGCUUUUUUUACAAACGCCGCUAGAAGUCUUGGCCUUUAGCGACGUUUGACAAUCCAUCAAUACCGAUAGAAAAUAAAUAGGCACUCAAAACAAGUAUAUGUUCGAGCAUCAUUGACCAACUCCUUAUUAAGUCUUGGCCUUUAGUGGCGCUUUUUUUACAAACGCCGCUAAUUUAGGUAUAUUUGCGAGCCUACAUUUUUCACCAAUUCCAACCCUUCCUGCAUAAAAUUCAACCAAAAACAGCAAAUAUUUUUGCGAAAAUCCAACCAAAAAUAGAAAAUCUAAAUUAUACAAAAGAUAUAUGAUAUAUUUUAUAAAUGNNNNNNNNNNNNNNNNNNNNNNNNNNNNNNNNNNNNNNNNNNNNNNNNNNNNNNNNNNNNNNNNNNNNNNNNNNNNNNNNNNNNNNNNNNNNNNNNNNNNGGUGGCAUUUGCAAAUGCUGGAACAUCUUCAUCAUAGUCUGAAGCUGUUGCUGGAGUUCAUCGUACUUUCUAUUUUGCUCUGCCUCCUUCGUUGUUGCCAUCGCCUCCCUCACUGCUGUCGCCGCCUCCCUCGCUGCUGCAUCUGCUUUAAGUUGAGCAAUUUGCUCAACUGUGCUAGCUUGCAUCUCAGUCAUCUAAGUUAUCUGCUCUCUUAAUCUCUGAACUUCAGCUUUAGCUCGACUCCCGGAAGGCAUGUAGUGCUGCGAGCUGGAUCCAAAAUAUUGGGUCGGGGUAACACCAGAUCCUUGAAACUGAACCUGACCAUAUCUUUCAGGACCUAAAACUUCAUUAAUAAUUCUGUUAUAGAUGUCCUCAAAAUUAACAGAACUAUCAGUCGAAGCAAUCGCUUCAUACUCCGCUUUCUUAUCUUUUAGUUUCUCCUAAAAAAUAAAUUAAAGAGUUAGAAACGAAAUAUAUAAUAAAAAGGAAUACAACAUAAAUUAACAUUAUUUAAAACUACUAACGACGAAUUAAACCAUUAUAAUUAAACAUUAUAAAUAUUUAUAAUAAAUAAAAAUUUAUUAAGUAAAUAUACCAUAAUUUCUCCAGCUUCGGAUGUCAUCAAAGAUCCAUCUUUCUUCCUAUGAGUAAUGUUAAAAAGUUGAAGGCGUCCAACUUUUUGACCAGAUGAGGCUUCCUACAAUAUAGUAUAAAAAAUAUUAUUUAAUAGUAGAAACUGAUUAAUAAUUGACAGAAUUAAUAAAUUCAUAAUACCUCGGCCUCAGCUACACAAGCAAAACUUCUCGACCCUGCCGUGUGCGUGAAUUUUUGUUUUUGCCUGCUAGCUGUUCCAACUCGCUCACGGUCCUACAUAAUGAAAUUAUUAAUACGUAUAUAGUAAAUACUAUAAACUAAAAAGUUUAUAAGAGUUUGGAAGUAGGUAAUAUCUCUCCUUUCUUUGAAUUCUAAAAUCUAACUGCAUCUUCCCAUUGGUACCCCAGCAUUCCCGGCGGGACAUUUCGUAAUUUUUCUUCAAGGCUUAUGUCUUUCUUAAAAUAUUCUUUUUUCAAACUGCUCUNNNNNNNNNNNNNNNNNNNNNNNNNNNNNNNNNNNNNNNNNNNNNNNNNNNNNNNNNNNNNNNNNNNNNNNNNNNNNNNNNNNNNNNNNNNNNNNNNNNNGGUCUUUCUAUUUUUUACCCAAUGCCUUCUUUAUAUAGGCAUCGGAGACUUGUAAAGCAAAUCUCUCCUAAAAAACAAAAGUUUAGAAAGUAAAUAUAAAAGAAACUUAAAACAAAGUAUAUAAAUUACAUUCAUGUUUUGUUACCUUAAUAUUAUUGAGAGCUUGAUUUUUGUUGCUAUCAGGCAUGUGAUGCCAUGAUUCAUAGUUGAUGGGCAACAUAUUGGCAUUUCGUGCUAUCAUGCUCAAAUAGCCUGCUAAAAGUCGAGCUUUUGAUCCAACAGGCUGACCAUGACUGUUUCUACCUACUUUGACAUGCUCGACAGGAUUUAAAUCAUAUAAAUCUUUAAUUAGCGUACGUCCCCGACCUUUACGUGUCCCACCACUUUCAGCUAGAAAAUAAUAUAUUAUAUUUAUUGAAAUUGAGAAAUACGGGCAAUAAUAAAAGUCAACACGCAUGUAAAAUAAACUUAACAUUACUUUGAAAUUCUACAGGCUCGUCAACUGUCUCCGGCACAUUCGAAGAUCCAAUAGCUGUCUACUGUUCACUAUUUCCUUCUUCAGAAUUUGGAGUAUUCCGGACAAUACUUAAAUUUUGUAAUCUUCUUAUGCGCAUUUUUCCUACAAUACACAUAAAAUAGUUGAAAUUUUAGUAACAAAUUACAACAAUAAUAGUACAUAUAAAAUAGUUAAAUUAUAUAACAUUAGCAAUAUUAAAAUUAUAAACAAAAUAUAUUUAAAAACUCGUAAAAUCUUACUACUUCAUAAUUCAUAAAUAUCUUCGUCCACAUCCUGACGAACCCAUUGAAAUUGUGUACUAGUACUAGGGAUAUUUUCAUUUAAGUUUUGUUUUGGAAAAGGUAAAGUUUCUGAUCUUUCGACGAUGUCAUAUCUACUUCCAUUGCCCAUGUCAAAUAAGUCUCUAGGUGUGUUUCGGAGUACAAUUGUUUUAACUCUUCAAUAAGUGGCUGUAAAUAAAUGUCGAUAUCAUUCCCGAGACCUUUCUCUCUAGGGAUAAUUAUAGAUAAUAUAAGGGAAGAUUGCUUCAUGCAAAUCAAUGGAGGCAAAUUGUAAGGAACAAACACUACAGGCCAAGUACUGUACGCAGUGCUCAUGAUCUUGAAAGGAUUAAAUCAAUCAGAUGCUAGCCCAAGUCUCACACUCCUAGGAUCGCUUGCAAAGCUUGAAAAUUUACUGUCCAAUGAUUUCCAAGCUAAAGAAUCAGCCGGAUGCCUUAGUAAUCCAUCAUUGGUUCGUCCAUCAUGGUACCACGUCAUCGACUCAGCUGUCUUCGACGACAUGAAAAGCCUUUGAAGCCUUGGUAUUAGUGGAAAAUAUCGCAAAAUCUUAUUUGGCUUCUUCCUUGACUGUGCGUCAUUUUCAUCAUCAUUCCCAUCAUCUAUUUUUCUAUUCAUCCAACGGGAUUGGCCGCAUACAUGACAACACUAUUGGUUUUUCCAAUCACCCCAAUACAACAUGCAGUCAUUCAGGCAACUAUGAAUUUUGUUGUACCCAAGACCUAAAUCUUUUAUCAGUUUCUUCAUAUCUUUGCAUGAGUGAGGGAUUUUCGCAAACGGAAACAUAUCUCUCAAAAACUCUAACAGCAUUGUCAAAGAGUUUUUGGUCCACCCUCCCAAACAUUUUAACUGAAAAAGAUGAAUACAGAAUGACAUUUUUGAAAAUUUUAAUCCCUCGUAAAGUUCUUCGUUCAUUUCAUUAAGUAGCACGUAGAACUUCGCCGCUUCUCUAUUCGGCUCUUCAUAAGGUACACUUCUUCCUGUUCUAAUAAAAGCAUUUUCACCGAGAUUACAAUCAUCAGAUGCCACAAAGUCAGCUGGAAACGAUUGGAAACCAUGAUUGUGCAUAUUAAAUGCAUCCCGCAACAUACCUUCCAUGUCAUCUCCUCUAACAGACCGAUGGUAAGCACUACCAGGAUAAGAUACAUCCAUCAUUGAAGAGGAAGUACUCGGUGUGCAUUCUCUAUGGAAAAUCCAUUUUUUAUAACCUCGGAUAAACCCAUCAACAAUUAGAUGCUCGUAUACAACUUCACGAUAAUACCAGUUGAUGUUGACACACUUCUUACACGGGCAAAGAAUCAUGUUCUCUUGGCUUGCAUAUUGAAAUGUAAAAUCUAAAAAAGUUUGUACUCCAUUCCGAUAACCAUUGCUUACCCUUGACAAAUUCAUCCAAGACCGGUCCAUUUCUUAAUUAUUGAAGUCUGAUGUUGACAAUAAAUUACACGGGUAAGUUGUUCAUUUAUAAGUAUAAAUAAGUUAUAUAACCACUGAUAUGAUAUAAAUUUAUGUAUUAUGUAAAUUAUGUAAGUUAUGUAUUAUGUGAGUUAUGUAAGUUGUGUAUUAUGUAAGUUAUGUAAGUUGUGUAUUAUGUAAGCUGUGUAUUAUGUAAGUUGUGUAUUAUGAAAGUUAUGUAAGUUGUGUAUUAUGUAAGUUAUGUAUUAUGUAAGUUAUGUAAGUUGUGUAUUAUGUAAGUUAUAUAAGUUAUGUAUUAUGUAAGUUAUGUAAGUUGUGUAUUACGUAUGUUGACACCAUGUUUUGAUAAAACGGGGUCGACUUAGAUUUUGAAAACGAAAACGAAAACGGGAGUCGCCACCAAUCUUUUUUGAUAAGGUGUGAUCGGAUCACCUUAAAAAGUGGUUGUUUCCAAUAAAUGAUUUGAUUUUAUUAAAACAACGAUUUUGGUCCACAAAAUUCAGAAAACGGGUUCGGGAGUAGAUUAUGUACGAGGAAGGAUUAGCACCCUCAUAACGCCCAAAAUUGGUACCUAGUUGAUUACCUAGUGUCUUAAUGUCGAAGAUUAAAAACUCGAAAAGAAUUUAAAAAAAUACGAUCCCUUUUUAUAUUGUGUUAUUUCAAAAUUACUUGAAUAAAUCAAAAUGGAAAAUGCCUCCUUAUCUCGAAGUAACAAGAUGUCACAUCCAGUAAGUUAGGACACGACACCUCGUAUUUUUUUGAGAGUAAGCUUGCAUUUCACUUUUUAUUUAAACCUCAUUUAUUUUAAUUUUAAAAGGAUAUUCGGUUACUUAGAAUCAACGAGGAAAAUCGAAGCCCAGUAAGUUAGGGCACGAUUUCUCGAAUUUUCUAAAUAUAGAAUAUUGCCUUUAUUUUUUGAAAUUUUAUGUGUUUGAAAUUUAAAAGGAUAUUUUGCUAUUUGGGUUUAACGAGAAAAUCGAGACCCAGUAAGUUAGGGUACAAUUUCUCAAAUUUCCAAAAUGCAAAAUAUUGCCUUAUUUUAAAAAAUUCUUGAAUAGUUGCGAGUACAACACUUAAAACAUACAUUUAUUUUGAAUAGUCCACGAUGCAAUGACAUGAAAUGAGAUAUGGUAGCACACACGAGACAAUAAUAGACGAAUACAAUAUCAUGCAAGUGGACGCCAACGAUAUGAAAACAAAUAAACGAUUUAACUUACACAAAGGCGAUAAUCAUACAGCAUUCAUCAUUCAAAUUCAAACAUCGAUAAAUAAAGACCAAUAAAUUAAAUAAUAAUUUAAAAGGUAUAAAGCAAAUUAAAAUUAAAUAAAACGUAAAAAAAAAUUUUAAAAUAAUAAUGAUGAAAUUAAAAUAGAUAAUGCAAACAAAGAAAUUUAAGGUAAAUAAUAUACAAAAAAAAUGAUAUAUAUAUAUAUAAGAUAAAAUAAAUAAUGUAUAUAAAAGUAUAAGAUAAGUAAUGUGAAGGAAAAAUCUUUGUAACGAAAAAAAAAACAUUUUUGAUAAAUAACUUGCGUUUAAAAGAUAUAUAAAACAAUUUUAAAUAAUAAAAUAAUUUUAACUAAAUAAUACAUAAAAUGAACAUCAAAAUAAAGAUAAAAAUGACAAUUUAAAAGGAAAUUGUAGAAAGCAGUUUAUAAUAUUUGACAUAUAAUACAUUUUAUCAUAAAAAGAUAAAUAAUAAUAAUAAAUAAUUUAUAAAAGCAAGUCAGUAUCUUAUAUGUAUAAAAAAAUUGAAAUGUAAUAUAGGAAAAGAAACUUAGGAUAAUAUAUAUAAACCAAAAUUGUUUAAUAUAAAUAAUACAUAAAAAUCUUAAAUUAAAUAAUGAUUGAACUGUUUAAAUGAAACAAUAUAUAUAUAAAAAUCUAAACUAUUUAAAAAGUAAAACGCAAUCAAGAUAAACAUGAAAACUAAAAAACAAAAGCAAAUUUUAAAUUAAAAAAAUGAAGUCAAAAGGUCAGGGACUAAAAUAAGACAUGCGCAAGGGCGUGAGGACUGAAGAAAGAAAUAUUCCCAUUUCCGUGCGCACUGUUUUGCGCAGGACCAGAUUGGAACAAGCGCCAAAAUUCUGUGGCUGAAAUUUAGUAAAUAGAAAAGUGCAUCGAAUGUGCCCCAGAAUUGGAAGGACUAAUUGCGCAAAAUACCCAUUAGGGUAAUAAUUACCAUAAAAGCAAAAAUUUUACUCCUGCCGUUUCAUUCUUUUGCAAAGAACACACAGAAAAAAUAAAAAUAAAACAAAAGGGAGACUCCUUUUCUCUGUUAGGGUUCCAAGGUUAGGAACCCCGCCGCCGUCACGCCUCCUCACUGCCCGGUGGCCGAAGCCAUGCGAGGGCGCCUACUAUCGGCGCAUUGAAGCGCAUUCAGAGGUCGAAGCUAUGGAACGGGGAAACAAAGGGAAAGAGAAAAGCUUUGGCCCCUCCUUGAACCCAAGUCUGGCGACAGUGGAGGACCAUCGACGGCGGGCCUAAGGGCCGAUUCAGGUAGCUUCUUUUCCUUUCUUCUUUGCUAUUGAUUAUUUUUAAGAUCGGUUUGCAGAAAUAAAAUAAAUAAAUAAAUAUGCAAAAGAUAAAGAAAAAUGAAGAGAAAGCAAUUCAAAUCAACCUUUUUAAAUCUUGUUUUCUGUUUUUUGAUUCCAAUAUCUGUGUGUUCGUAAAAAAAUACAAAGAGGUGCAGUGGUUCUUUUAUAACCGAAUUACAAGUCUCUCUAUUUCUAAUUUUUUGUCUUUUUGCCAUUUACUGUUACUGUUGCUCGUUCUUCUUGAUAUUCUUAUUGGCCGCCUCCACCGCGCCAUUCAUUUUUGGACGAUAUGGUGAUGAGUUGUGGUGCUUGAUCUGGGACUGGGGCAGAGGCGCAUGCGGCGCCCUAGGGCUCCCCUCUUUGCUGAAAAAACUUUUGUUUGUGGGCUAGGGUUUUUUAUUUUCUUUUGGGCCAGUUGGGUUUAUUUAAUUUUGGGUCUGGUUUUUGGGUUUGUAAAUGGACUUUUUAUUUAUAUUUUGUUAUUUGGGCCCCGAGCUGAAAUUGGUCCUUACAGCUGCCCCUCUUUGCUCGUUGUCAUGUAACGAGAACAUAGCAAAGACUUCAAAAAGGACCAAUUUUGUAAGUUAUGUAAGUUGUGUAUUAUAGGGUUAUGUAAGUUAUGUAAGUUGUGUAUAAUGUAAAUUAUGUAAGUUAAGCAUUAUGAAAGUUGUGUAUAAUGUAAUUAAGUUAUAUUUUUCAAAUAUAAACCAAUAUGGUAUUUUUCUAAAAAAAAAUACUGAAUUUUAUUUAAAUAAUUUACAUUGUUAUUUUAUAUGAUAAAAUAUUAAUUUCGAAAGUGUCAAAAAUUAACUUUAGUUUUUAUCCAAAUAAAUAUUUAACUUGAAUUUGUAUCAAAGUAAUUUGUUUAUGAAAGGAUACGGUUUUAUUUUUAUGCCAUUUAUUUUAUUUAAGAAAAUAGCGUAGUCUAAAAAUUUUUUCAUAAUUUUUUCAACCAAAUUAGAGGAAGGUUGGUAAAAAAAGUUUUCAUACUUUAUUCAACCAGAUUAAGAAAAGAGCAUAGUCCAAAAAAGAUGGAUGGUCAAAAUCAAAAUCCCCUAACAAUUGGGUUUCAUUUAUUUUAAAAUUUCGAGAAUAUAAAUUAAGUAAAACAUGCAACCAUACCAAAUGAUUGACUUUGGCCGGCGUUUAUCAUCGUUGCACAAAUAUUAUUUUGAAUUUUAAUAUACUUCUCUUAAAAAAAUUAAAUUCUUCCAUAGAAAUUUUACUUUUUUUAAUAGCUUCACGUGCUAUGAUUUUCCGGUAUCGUAUGGAUUAAAAUAUAUAACAAAAUAAUAGUUAAGUAUUAUAAAAUAAAAUAAAAUAAAAUACAUAUUAAAAUAAAAGAAGUGUUAUUAUUUGUGUAAAAGAAUAAAAAAAUUAUAAAAAGAUAACAUGCUGUUCAUUGAUAAUAAAUUAAGCUACACAAGCAAAAAUGGCUAGAGGAACAAAACAUGGUACAGAAAACAGAAAAUAGAGAAACAAAAAAUUCUGUGUUCAUAUUCCUUUCUAAGCUGCAAGAUCUGUUACCAAGUAAAAGAAAUGAAUUUCAAGAAAGAAAACCAAACAAAUACAUAAAAUUUGUGAUUUAAGCAAAGUCCCCACUACUUUCAUCAAACAAUAAAUCUCUAAACCUAUGGAAAGAAACAUAAAGCAGACAGUCAGCAGCAAAAUACAAUGAUAUUUACAAGACUUUAAGCAAAAUAAAGAAACAUAAAGAGACAGUAAGCCCUAAAUUCCUCCAAGACUGUCAACAUAAUCUAUGCUAAACUCCAACUCAUUUCCAACCUAUCGUCGCCAACAACAACACAUUUAUUCCAAACAAUUGAAAGCAUUACCUAUAUAAAAUAAAUGAAAGCAUUACAGAAUACGUCCCAUAAACCCAGAAGACGACGAUGGAGACAAAUGAACACAAAAUAAACCGAGAAAUGAAAGCAUUACCUUGACGACGAUGAAGAUAAAUGAAAGGAACGAAAACCCUAUACACAGAGAAGACGAUUUCACUUAAUUUCAGGCUCAUCAACAAAUUACAAACAAAAAAAUUUACAAAAACAAGGAAACCCAAAGUUUAAAUACACGGGCAAAGAAAAAAAUCGAACCUUCUUCGUCUUCACUGUCUGGGUUAUGUAAGUAUGAAAGAAACCGAAACACUGAAGCUUUUCCUUGUAAGGAAUAAACCAAUUGAAGAAUGAUGGGAAAGAAAUCGACAAACUGCUCUCUCUGCCUCUGACUGGUUGGGGAUUUCGAUAGAUAGGGGAUUUGUGGAUUUGGUGCUGGGAGCGGGGAAGAGAUCGCGCUAGAACUCUUUAAAGCAAUUCAGCAAUCAUGGUGCUCGGUAAUCGUUUUUUCACGAACUUAUGCCUUUUCAAGUUGGUGCUUGGAGGAGCUUGCUGAGAUUAUUAAACAACAUAACAACGACGGCCAUAAAGUGUUUCCAAUUUUUUACGAUGUUGAUCCAUCUGAUUUAAGAAAACAAAAAGGGAAAGUGGAAGAAGCCUUUGCCAGACAUGAAGAGAGAUACAAAGAAGAAAGUGAGAAGAUCCAAAGGUGGCGAAAUGCUUUGAUUCAAGUGGCUGCAAUCAAGGGAUGGCAUUUAAAUAACAGGUAAUUCUUUCUUUUCUUCUCUAUUUUCUAGUUUUUUGGAUAUAUAUAUAUAUAUAUAUGUAUGUAUGUAUAACAUUUUUUUUUCUAAUCCAGUGUGUUUAAUUGAAAAGUGUCAUAUUUCAAUAAAAGAGCAAAUUUUAUCUUCUGGCUCCGCAACAGAUCUUGCUUUCUUAUUCUUGGUUCUUGUUUGCUUCCAAACUAUAUUAUGUUUCAUGAUUCAUUGAAAAAGAAAGUGCAUUCGAAACAUAUCACUGAAAACAUUAAAAUUUCUUCUUUUUAGGCAUGAAUCUGAAUUUAUUGGAGACAUUGUUAAGAAGAUAUCAGCAAAACUAUGUCGGACAUAUCCAGUUACUCAGAGCGACUUGGUUGGUAUUAGUGAACGCUUGGAGGAUUUGUAUUUGAAAAUAAACAUUGGGGAAGAUGAUGUCCGCGUUAUAGGAAUUUGCGGAAUGGGUGGCAUCGGUAAAACGACACUCGCAAGAGUUGCUUACACUCAAAUGUCACCUCAUUUUGAAGGUAAAAGCUUGCAUUGCUGAUAUUCGAGAAGUUUCAGACAAAUGCGGACUAGUUUCUUUACAGAAACAACUUCUUUCACAGAUCUUUCAUGGUGAAUGCUUCAACUUUUUCAAUGUUCAUGAAGGAAAUAAAAUAAUUAGCCAUAGGUUGUCUCACAAAAAGGUUCUUGUUGUUCUUGAUAAUGUUGAUAAAAUACAACACCUAAAAUGCUUGGUUGGAAGGCAUGAUUGGUUCGGAUUAGGGAGUAGAAUCAUUGUAACAACAAGAGACGAACAUUUGCUUCGAUGUUGCCAAGUUAAUGAUGUGUAUAUGCCCACAACAUUGAAUCCCAAAGAUGCGCUUCAACUUUUCAGUCUGAAAGCUUUUCAUAGUGAUACAGUGCAGAAAGAUGAUUUCAUUGAGCUUUCUAAACAUGUUGUAAAUUAUGCUGGUGGACUCCCUUUAGCUCUUGAAGUUUUUGGUUCCUUUUUGUGCGGUAGAGAUGCGACUCAAUGGAGAAGUGCGAUUGAAAGACUUAAAAGAGAUUCUAAUAAAGAAAUUCUCGAUAAACUUCGAAUCAGUUUUGAUGGACUGGAAGAAAGGGAGAAGAAUAUAUUUUUAGAUAUAGCAUGCUUCUUUAACGGGGAGAAGAAAGAUUUUUUAAUGAAAGUAUUGGAUAGUUGUGAGUUUUUCCCCGAUAUUGGAAUUGAUGUUCUCAUUAAGAAAUCUUUAAUAAAAGUCGAUGAUGGCAACCAAUAUUUGUGGAUGCAUAGCUUGUUGCAAGAAAUGGGAAGAACAAUUGUUAAAGAAAAAUGUGUUGAUGAACCUGGAAAACGUUGCAGAUUGUGGGAGGAAAUGGACGUCCAUCAUGUCCUAACAAAAAACACAGUAAGUCAUUCAACAAAAGUUACAUACUAUUUCUUUUCUAUCGUACAUUAUUCACCAUUUAUUUUAUUUUCUUAUUGUCUGUUCUUGAUCUUUUUUAGGCUACAGAAAUGAUUGAAGGUAUAAUCAUCGAUAAUAAAAAGUAAGAAGACACAUAUAAACUUAUAUCUACGUGUACUGUAAAUAAUUAUUAUUUCAAUCUUUCAAUGUUUAAUUAUGAAAUUUAUAUAGCAACAUAUUUACUUUUUCAAAAGAAUCAAAAGAGAAAUGUAUAUAUUUUGAAAUAUUAAUGGUGUAUUUUUUUGUGAAGAUUAAUGGUAUAUAUUUAAUGUACUAAAAGUAUAUAUCAACGAAUUAGAUUAUAACAUGUCAUCAAUUUUUUUAAAUGCAAAUGGUUUCAUUUUUAAUUAUGUGUCAUUGUUUGGUUCAUUAACUUGUAAAUUAUGCAUUGUUUUUUGAUCAAAUAUAAAUCAACAUAUUAAUUCAAUUUUUUUAUGAUUAGGUAAUUUAACAUCGGAUGCGAUUGUUAGAUAUAAGUAUCUCUUUAAUAUGAGUAUAUUCAAAAAAAAUUUAAAAAUUAUUUUUUUCACGUAUUUGAAAGGUUUUUAAAGGAUCAUAUCUUAAUACUCAUAUACGAAUAUGCAUUAGAUAUAAGUAUUGGAUAGGAGUACUUAAAAAACAAUAUUGAUGCAACAAUUCUUUUUAGAUACCGAAUGUUUUUCUAUAUUUUGAAGCUCACUUUUGUUUUGCUCAUGGAUAUUAGGGAAUCAAACAAGAUGCUCAAUUUGAGUGUGGAUACCUUCUUGAAGAUGAAAAAACUGAGAUUGCUCAAAGUGCUUUGACUUUCAAAUUGUGAUGAUCUCAAAUAUCUUUCUAAUGAACUACGAUUUUUAAAUUGGACAGGAUACCCUUUAAGAUACUUGCCUUUAAGUUUUCAACCGGGCAGCCUUGUCUCACUUCUUUUACCAUAUAAUCACAUUCAACAACUAUGGAAGGGAAAUAGAGUAAGAAUUAACUCAUCUUAUCCUUGUGUUUUAGCUCAUUUUAAUAUAAAUUAUUAAAAUUAAGGUAAAACAACAAAAAAAAAACAAAAAAUGAGCAUUAUUACGUUUUCACAUUUGUUUCUAAUUUAUUAUGGUCUUGAGAAUUGCACAUUAAAAUGAUACAAAUCAAAUUUAUCUCCAAAUUAUUUCAUAUAUUUAUAUUAAAAAAAUUCCAUUUAUCCGCUUUCAUGAUAAUUUAAUUUUAAAUCUAAAUUUAUUUACUUAAAAUUAUAUUAUUGCGCUAACAUAUAUUAAUAUAAUGGAUUACGUGAUGUGACAGGUUGUUACAAAGGAGGUUGUCAUCAUGGAGCACUUGAAGAUCGUGUGUUGUAGGGUCCAUUAUGGUAUUCAUUUAGGCGGUAUGGAGUUGUUAUGCACAAAUGAGUCCUAUUGAUUGCUCAAGAGAAUGUUCACACUGAAAAACGAGUUGCUAGACCAUGGUGAGCAAGUAGCUAAGUAGAAGGGGAAGUGUUUCCCAUAUAAGCAAGUGGUCUAUAGUAUGCUAGGAGGUAGAUCGAUUGAGGGCAAUCCGGAUGAGUGGGUAGAUGUAGGACAUUCUCUAUUGUCUAGAUGGAGUCUCCUAGAUGUGCCAUGUAUCAGGCCCGGGUGAUAGGUAUAACAAAAGUUCAUGUACAAAUAUUUGUCUUGCUUUUGUUAGUAGUCUUGUUUUUGCAAAUAUUUUUAGGGAUAUAGAUUUAUCUUCUUCCCUUUUAGUUUAGUAAAUACUUAGUUUUCUUAUUGAUUUUGCCCUCAUUUUGGACUCUCGGGAUUGGUUUUCUUAUCAUGUUAGUUGCUUAUAGUCACUUUAGAUAUGUCGUGUCUGGGAGUGAGUGUUUGUGGUAUCUUUAUUUUUCUCCGAAUUGUAUGGUCCCAUUCAUGAAUGAAUUAAUUUUUCUUUCACUUUUCUUCAUAUGAUAAAAAAUCCUAUACAUUAAAUUAAUAAAUUGUAUUCAUACAUAAAAUAUUAUGAUAGUGAGUAAAUAUAAGUUAUUUGAGUCUGCACCUAAUGAACAUUUUAAAUGCUUCAAAUAGAACUUAAUCAUAUAAAAGGCAAAAUGUGAGGGACCGAAUUUAAAAUAACGCAUUGUCCUCUCUGGACAGGUGUCACCAAAUACUCCUUUAAUAUAUAGUUAUAUAGACAAUUAUAUGAUUAUGUAAAUGAAAGUAAAAGACAAACCGUCCAACACUUUACUUAUUACUUAGAAUUAUUGUAGGCUCCAUUUUGUCAACACCCACCUUCUUGGAUUCUUCCUGGAAAGAACAUGCAUCACCCAAAACAUGUACAUAUCUCAAAUGUUGAUAACAUUGUUUUUUAUACCAUUUAAAAUUUUAUUCACUUAAUUCAUUCUUUUUUACAUAACCGAAAUGUGUAUAUUUUGAUUGGUUUUAUCUUUUUUUAUUAAAAUUUUAUUUGUAGGUUGAAGAUGAAGCAAAUUAAAACAAAAUUGUGAGACAAGAAUGGAGACGAAGCAAGUAAUGAUAAAAUGAGAAUCCUUUAAUAAGGAUCGAUCAUAAUUUCAACUGAGUUAAAAAUUAUUAUUUUUUUAUUGGAGACCAACUUAUGUGUUCAAUUUAAUCAGUUAAAACUGUUUUUAUAUAUUUGAAAGAUUAAAUAUAAAUCCUUAAAGGUACUUAAAUAGAUUUAAUCUCUUCUAAUAAAGUAUCAUUUAAAUUUCAUGGCUUGAAGUAGAAAUAAUAUUAUUCCAACUCCUCAGUUUAUAUUUUUUUAUAAAAUAUUUAUGUUUAGACAUUUAUUUUUAAUAUUUAUUCAAAUAUGAAUAUAAAGUAUGCACUAAUAUUCCAUUAGAAAAUCUUUUGUGCGUAAGACACUUAUUCAUAUUUUUUUCUUUUAAAAAAUUCAAUAGAUUCAUUUAUCUCUCCUCGCUGGACCUCCAGCUGGUUUCGCCAUUAUAAUCUGCAGACAUUGAAUCCACGGCAUUACUGAGCUUAGUGGAAGAAAAUGUUGGGAAAAUGAAAUACAGAUGCGAUCCUAAGCAACAAAUACAGCUUUGUAUGAGAACCUAAUCCCAUCACAUUACUUAUAUAUAUUGGCAUAUUGUAUAUGUAUUUCAUGUUUACAUUACUUAUAUAUUAUAAUAUAUUUUAUAUAGUUUGUCAUAGUUAUUCAAUAUACUCGUUUUAUUGUUUAUGUUUGAGGCUUGUGACUAUCCUCCUAAUAAUAUUUGAAUCCGCAUUCAUUCUUUAAAAAUAUAAUGUGACUUACCACUACACUCAAUAUUUAUAUUCAUCUUGUAUUUUACAUAAUUUUUCAUAUUCAUUUAAUAUGUAUAUUUACAUUGUUUUUUUCUUCGAAGGACUAUAAAUUUAAAUAAAAUUUGACAUGGUAAUAAUUUAUUUUACGUGAGAGUUUAACAUAUUUGUUAUUUGUGUCAUGUAUAUAUAAUCCUGAUGGCAGCAGAACUAUGUGUUUUAAUUAUUUUAUAUUAUUUUAUUAUGUAGGUCUUAAAAUAUUGAGAUAAAUCUCAAAAUUAUACAUUAACUUUGAUUCAAUGUCAAUUUAAUAAAUGAGCUUUGAUUUAGUGUAAUUAUACACGUGGAACUUUGAUUUUAAUUCAAAUGGAUACAUGAAAUGUAACACCCCUUACCCGUAUUCAACACCGAAAUAUUGUAUGAGGCAUUACCAGAACACAUACACUUGUAAACGUAUUUAACCGAGUUAUAAAAUUUCAUCUAAAUUAAAAUUUUCAAAAUUAUUAACAUACUUUUAUAACUCUUCACAAUAUAUCCUCAAAAUAUUAUAAUCAUAAUAAAUAGGGUCUACGAGACCCGAUACAUACUCAUGCAAUUCAAUACUUCAUUUCUAUUUCAUUCAAUUCGCAAUUUCUCGUGCUCACAAUUUAAAUCAUAUCACUAGCAAUUUCCAUUUAAUUCACAUACAAUUCAAUGUCACUAAGUUUAACAUUAAUACGUAUUUACCAUUUAACCCAACGUUUAUCGAUUAUACCAUUCAUUAACACAUUUAUAAAAUUCUAAAUUUUGUAAUGAAAAUAUCACUUUAGCUUAAAUAAUAGCAUCAUCCUGGUAUAAAUACACAACCACUUAUCCAUUUGCUUUAAUUCUGUUGGGUCCAUUUGUCACUUACCAUCCUUAAUCAAAUUAGGGAACGGUUACGGAAAAUUGAGUACUUCACUUUCACUUUGCCAUAGUAUAACUAUGGUCUUGCGUAUGAUCACUUAUCACUUGUCCCUGAUCAGAUAAGUGUAGCUGAAGCUAUCACUUAUCACUUUCCACUUUGUCUCUUGAUCAGAUAAGUGUAGCCGAAGCUAUCACUUAUCACUUUGUCACUUGAUCAGAUAAGUGUAGCUAAUGCUACCACUUAUCACUUUCCACUUUGUCUCUUGAUCAGAUAAGUGUAGCUAAAGCUAUCACUUAUCACUUUGUCACUUGAUCAGAUAAGUGUAGCUAACGCUACCACUCAUCACUUUGUCACUUGAUCAGAUAAGUGUAGCUAAAGCUACCACUUAUCACUUUGUUACUUGAUCAGAAGUACUCAAAUCCGGCGUUCCGCUUAAUUUGAUCAUUUAUUCGGUUUUAGCAUUGUUAUUUUAUUCUCAAUUCAUCAACAAAUAUAUCUCAUCAUACAUUAUAUAAUUCAUGAAAUUAACAUGUAAUCAUUAAAUUUCAGCCAUAUGAACUUACUAUUUUAUUACCUUUCCACACUCGUUUCCUAUGCAUAUCACACAAGAUAUAAACAUAUCAUUCAACCAUAGUUGCAAGCUGGUGUAUUUAAACAUAACUCUUUUUGGAACUAUCCACAUGAUAAACCAUUUCAAUGCAUAACUUAUAAAUUUAACGUGGCAUAAUUCAGCCACUACUUGGCCAAAGCCUAAGCAUGUAUACCAAAUAUGAUAGCCAAAUACACAUAUAGCAUAAGCAUUAUAAGCAUGGAUGAGCACAACACUUAUUAAUGUACCACACUUACCAACAUGUGUUAAUUCAUAAACCAUUCAUGACAUUACUUCAUGCCCAAUCAUAUACCAAAUAUGCUAUUCACACAUACUAUGAAACUUUAUUUUCACACAUAAGCUUAAACCACGUCCAAUAAUGCACAAAUAUAAGCAUCAUUUCUAUUUCAUCAUUUUUCAAUUAUAAUCAAACUUAUGACAAAUUAUACACAAAUCAUUCAUAUAUUUUCCAAUUUUCCUCCUCCUCCUCUCCAUUCCACAUCCUUGAUGUGCAUAACACACUUAAACAACAUUAACUAUAAUUUCACUAUUCACUCACAUGUAUAUUCAAAGCUGUUUAUCCGAGUCAGAGUCACUAAAUUAUUUUUACCCAGAGCUACAGAACUCAAAAUUAAGAUCCGUAAAUUUUCCCUGAAACUAGACUCACAUAUCUUCUUACCAUAAAAUUUUCAGAAUUUUUGGUUCAGCCAUAUAGUACAGUUUAUUCUUUAAAUUUUCCCCUGUUUUGCUGUCUGACAGUUCCGACUACUCUUCACUAAAAAUUAAUUAUCUCAUUAUACAAAAUUUGGAUGAUGUUUCAGUUUGUUUUUUUAUGAAAAGAGACUCAUUAAGGAUUCUAACCAUAUAAAUUAUAACUCAUAAUAACUUUUGUACAAUUUUUAAUGAUUUUCCAAAGUCAGAACAGGGGAACCCGAAUUCAUUCUGACCUUGUCUCAUAAAAUCUAUUAUAUCUCUUUAUUUACAAUUUCAUUGCUUACACCGUUUCUUUUAUAAGAAACUAGACUCAAUAAGAUUUAAUUUCAUAUUUUAUUCAUUCUCUAAUUCUUUCUCUACAAUUUUUGGUGAUUUUUUAAAGUUAGACUACUGCUGCUGUCCAAAACUAUUUUAGUGCAUGAUGUUAAUUACCAUUUUUCCCCAAAUUUCACAGUUUAUACAAUUCGGUCCUUUCUCAAUUAACCCCUCAAUUGAUCUAAUUUUCUCAAUUAAUACUUUACCUAGACAUUAUAAAUUAUUUCACAACUAUUGAAAUUCAGAAUUUCCACAUAUAACUCUAACUUCAAACUCUUUUACUAUUAGGUCCCAAACAUUCACUUUCUAUUCAAUUCUUUCAAUAAAAUCAGCAUAUUCAAUAAAAUCAGCAUAUGAACAAUUUAAAGCUCUAAUUCCAUGCUAAUUCAUCAUAUAAUUCCAGCACAUAUUCAUAUCAACUUUGAACUUAUUUCAUAAAAUCAAAAACUAAUGAAUUCAACAAGUGGGCCUAGUUGUAAAAGUCAUAAAAAUACAAAAAUUUCAAGAAAUGAUCAAGAAUUGAACUUACUUGCAGUAAAAAUAUGAAGAACCAGCUUGAAGAAACCCUUUCAUGGUGUUUUAGCUGAUGAGAAUGCAGAAAAAGUGAAGAGAAAUCUAGAUAAUUCCACUUUGGUCCUAACUUUAUUAAGCAAAUUUUGCAAUAUUCCAAUUUUGCCCUUAAUUCUCUUUACUUUCUGCUGAUUUCAUGCCUUUGCCGUCCAGCCCAAAUAGACCUUGGGUCUAUUUUCCUUUUAAGCCCUCUUCCUUUUAUCAUUUAAGCUAUUUAAUCAUUUCCUAUAAUUUUGCAUUUGUUACAAUUUAGUCCUUUUUGUUCAAUUAAUUAUCAGAACUUUAAAAUUUCUUAACGAAACUUUAAUACUAACUUCUCAACACUCCAUAAAUAUUUAUAAAAAUAUUUAUGGCUCUGUUUAAAAUCUCCGAGGUCUCAAUACCUCGUUUUCGAUUCUAAUUAUUUUAAUAUUUAUUUCUAGUGCACUAUUCACUAUUUCAAAAUUUUUCCUAACUUCACAUUUAACUUAUACUCACUAAAUUAAUAAUAUUUUCUAAUAAUUUGUCGAAUUUAGUAAUCUCGAAUCAUCAUUCCGACGCCUUUGAAAAUUCAGGCCAUUACAUUUUUCCUCCUCAAAUUUGUGGUCCCGAAACCACUAUUCCGACUAGACCCAAAAUCGGGCUGGUACAUGAAACUUUGAUUGUGGUUAAAUCAUAUACAUUUAAAGAAAUAAAAUACAUGAAUUUAUAUUUAUAUUGGAUAAAUAUAAUUGUAUGUGUAUGCAAUAUAUUAACAUAAAAUGAUACUAUAUUAAUAAUUUGUGAGAAUUGGAUACAAAUCAAAAUUUCAUGUAUAAAAUUGCAUAUUAGACUAAAGUUCAUGUAUAGUUUUGAGAUUUAUCCCCAAAUUAUUUCAUAUAUUUAUAUUAAAAAAAUUCCAUUUAUCCUCUUUCAUAAUAAUUUAAUUUUAAAUCUAAAUUUAUUUACUUAAAAUUAUAUUAUUACGCUAACAUAUAUUAAUAUAAUGGAUUAUGUGAUGUGACAGGUUGUUACAAAGAAAGUUGCCAUCAUGGAGCACUUGAAGAUCGUGUGUUGUGGGGUCUAUUAUGGUAUUCAUUUAGGCGGUAUGGAGUUGUUAUGCACAAAUGUGUCCUAUUGAUUGUUUAAGAGAAUGUUCGCACUGAAAAGCGAGUUGCUAGACCAUGGUGAGCAAGUAGCUAAGUAGAAGGGGAAGUGUUUCCCAUAUAAGCAAGUGGUCUAUAGUAGGCUAGGAGGUAGAUCGAUUGAGGGCAAUUCGUAUGAGUGGGUGGAUAUAGGACAUUCUCUAGUGUCUAGAUGGAGUCUCCUAGAUGUGUCAUGUGUUAGGCCCGGGUGAUAGGUAUAACAAAAGUUCAUGUACAAGUAUUAGUCUUGCUUUUGUCAGUAGUCUUGUUUUUGCAAGAAUUUUUAGGGAUAGAUUUAUCGUCUUCCCUUUCAGUUUAGUAAAUACUUAGUUUUCUUGCUGAUUUUGCCCUCACUUUGGACUCUCAUAAUUGGUUUUCUUAUCAUGUUAGUUGCUAAUAGUUGUUGACACCAUUUUUUUUGUGAAAACGGGUCGACUUAAGUUUUAAAAAUGAAGAAAAACGAACAUGGGAGUUACCACCAAUCUUUUUUGAUGAGGUGUGAUCAAGUCACCUCGUAAAAUGGUUGUUUUUGAUAAACAAUUUGAUUUUAUUAAAACAACGAGUUUGGUCUACGAAAUCCAAAAACGGGUUUGGGAGUUGGUUACGUACGAGGAAGGGUUAGCACCGUCGUAACGCCCAAAAUUGGUACCUAGUUGAUUAAUUAGUGUCUUAGUGUCGAAGACUGAAAACUCGAAAAGAAUUUAAAAAUACGAUCCCUCUUUAUAUUGUGUUAUUUUAAAAUUACUCAAAUAAAUCAAAAAUGAAAAAUGCCUCCUUAUCUCAAAGUAACAAGAUGUCACAUCCAGUAAGUUAGGACACGACACCUCGUAUUUUGAGAGUAAGCUUGCCUUUUUAUUUUUUAUUUAAACCUUUUCAAUUUUAAAAGGAUAUUCGGUUAUUUAGGUUUAACGCGAGAAAAAUCGAAACCCAGUAAGUUAGGGCACAGCUUCUCGAAUUUCCAAAUACGGAAUAUUGCCUUUAUUAAUUUUUGAAAAAUCCUCGUCUCGAGAAAACAACGUGUCAUAUCCAAUGCGUUAGGACACAACGUAUUGAAUUCCCGAUAAUGAGCUUUUUAUUUAUGUUUUUUUAAUUAAAGAGCAUUCUCGAUUAUUUAGAUUCAACGAAGAAAAUUGGAACCCAACACGUUAGGGCUCAAUCCUCUUGAAGAUCCCAAGUAUCGAAUAUUGUCUUUAUUUCCAAAAUUUUCUUUUUUUACGAAUUUGGGUAAAAAUUGAUGUAAUGUUAAAUUUGGUGUAUGAAUAAAUGGUUACAUUGAUGAAUGACAAUAACAUUAAAGUACGAAUAAACAAUUCAUAGUACACAUAAUGGCAAUAAACACACAACAUGCAUUAUUUAAAGACUAGCAUUAAUAAUCAAAGACGAAUAAGUUAAAUAACAUAUACAACAAUUUCAAGAUGAGAUGUACAAAGCAAAUUAAAAUAAAUAAAGUGUAGAAUAAUUUUAAAAUGAUAAUAAAUGAGUUUUAAAUAAAUAAUGUGAAAAAGAAAUUUAAAAUCAACUAUAUACAAAACAAUUUUAGAAAUACUAUGUAUAAAAAUUUUAAAAUAAAUAAUAUGUAUGUACAUAUAAGAACGUAAAAUAAGAAAAAAAAUCUUACAAUGGAUAAUAAAUAAAGCAUAAAACAAAUAGCAUGGUUGAAAAGGUACAAAAUGAUUUUAAAGUAACUAGCAUAUAUAAUAUAUUUUAACAUGAGAUAAAAUAAUGUAUAAAGUACUCAAUCUAUAAAAACAUGAAAUAAAUAAAAAUAAAGCAGUUUGGAAAUGAACAAUAUAGAAAAUUUCAAAAUAAAUAGCAUAAGAAACAAUUUAAAUUACAUAUUAAUACACAUAAAUUUAAAAUGGAUAGUGCAUACACAUAUAUUUGAAAUAAAUAAAAUAAAAACUUGAGAUAAAUACUAGUCAAUCUAAAGUAGUUUAAAACAAAACAAUAUAUAAAACAAAAUCUUAAACAAUAAAAGAAACAGUUUUAAUAUAUAUAUAUAUAUAUAAAGUUUUAAUGCAAAACAAUUUCAAAUAAAUAAUAAAUAUAAAGGCUUAAAACAAAUAAUGAUAAAAUAGCAUAUAAAAAAAUAAAUUAAACAUAUUAAGGACGUGGUUGAAGUCUUUGUUAACAUAAUGUAAUGUUCUAUUCUUGGUAUGUUGAAGUCUUUGUUUGUGUUGAUAGAACUUGUGACAGUGAGUGUUUGUUGUAUCAUUAUUUUUCUCCAAAUUGUGUGGUCCCAUUCAUGAAAUGAAUGAAUUAAUUUUUCUUUCACUUUUCUUCACUUGUUAUAAAUAGUAUGAUAUAUAAAAUAAAUUAAAAAUAAUAAAUGAUAAAUUUAAAAAUUGGUCGAGUUGAGUUGAGCUUCGAAUAUUAAAGCCUAAAUCUAACUUAUAUUUUUAACGAGUUUAAUUUACCCAAACCCAAUUUAAGCUUAGCUAAUUAUUUUUGUUAAAUCCUUUUAAAUUUUGAAAGAGCUUUUGGACUUAAACGAUUAACUCUUGAACAAAUCUAAUAUUUUUUAAAUAUUUUAUACAACAUUAUUCGAGUCAUAUUUUGAAUAAAAUCUUUUGUAAUAGCAUGGCUUGCCAUUAUGGAUGGUGGAACCAGGGUUUGCUGAAUUUACUACCUCCACACCAUAUCCAUAGAAACUAAUAGCAUUCCAUUAUCCACUGCUUAUAAAGUAAUACCGAUAAAAUAAAAUUUAUGCUAAAAUUAAUUUAAUGUUUUUUAAAUAAGAUUUAUAGUCGAAUUGGAUAAGUUAUUAAUUUGUUGGUCCAAUGAUUAAAAAUUAUUAAAAUUUUAAAAAAAAGUUAAAAUAGAGUUUCGGUUUAUUUAGUUUUUAACAGGUUGAAUUGGUUCGUAUCAAUUUUCAAUCUAAUCAAUUUAAAAUUAUUCUUCGAACUAAUACUUUGUCGGUUCCUAAUCUAAUCGACCGAUUAAUCCGAUUCAAACAAGACAGAAUCAAUAGAUAAAAGAUGAGAAUAAUUCUUAACAACAACCUGCAAAUUAUGAGAUUAAUUAUAUCUCAAAUUGAUCCAAGAUAAAACAGAUAAAAAGAAAAGGUUUCAACAACUCUUCCAAUACAUAUUAUAUAUUAAUGAUCCCACACCAUGUUAAUGAGCUGCGUACUGCACCUUCCUCGAUGGGCAAGCAUAUUUCCCACACGGGAUUUCCACUGGCACUACCACAGCCAACCUGCACCGUCGGCAACAUAUAGGAAUCACAGCUUCUUUACUGCAACAACAUGGAAAAAAAAAAUUAAACUUGAUAGAAAUAAUUUAAGAUCAAAAUUAAACACCAAUAUAUACACACAUAGAAGAUAAAGAGAAACUUAGAGCUAACAUAUAUAUACGCAUACAUACAUUCGGUAUUUCCAGCGUUUUGGCCAGUUCUUCUUCUCUUCUACUUCUUGCAUGUAAAAGUAAAAUUCCCAUGUCGAUCACCGAUCCCUGUACAAAAAAACUUUAAAAGCAAUGAACUAUAUACAUAGACGUUAGUUAAUUUUUUGAUUGGAAAUGAGACCCUUUCAUUUCUUUUUUCACACACUCGCAUUGAACAACAGUGGAGGGGAAAUAGAGUAAGAAUUAGUUCAUUGAUCCUUGUUUUAGCUUAUUUUAAGAUGGAUGAUUGAAAUUUGAUUAUGAUAAGAAUAUAAAAACAAAAUUGAGGUUUUCUUUUAUGUUUUUUUUAUUGCUUUUUAAGUAUUGUUUUCAACAGCCCAUAUAUAAGUUGAAAGUGAUCAACUUUAAAAGUUCCCAAAACCUGACCAAUACCCCAGACUUAAAAAUUGUAGAUGUCCAUCCAUCAUUGGGAGUGCUUAAGAGGCUUAAACUUUUGAAUUUCAAAGACUGCAGAAGUCUUAGGAGUCUUCCAACCAGAAUUGAAGUGAAAUCCCUUGAAACAUUGAUUCUUUCGUGUUGCUCAAAACUUCAAAGGCUUCCAGAUAUCGAUGGGAAAAUGAAAUGUUUAAAAACUCUUAAUCUUUCUGGUUAUUAUAGAGUUGAAAAUUUACCAGAGAAUUUGCAGCAAGCGAAGUUUUUAGAAGAGCUCGAUUUAAGUGAAACAGCCAUAACAGAGCCACCAUACUUCACUUUUCAAUCUAAAAAUCUAAAUUUAGUGGGUUUGGCCUAGAGGUGCUCAUGGGCCGGGCGGCCCGGCCCGGCCCGAGGCCCGCUCGAAAUAUAGGAGGAUUUGAACAAAAAUAUAGGCCCGAAAUAUGGACUUGGGCAAAAAAUUAGGCCCGUUUAAAAAACGGGUCGGGCCUCGGGCACUACUUUUUUGGCCCGAGCCCGGCCCGGCCCGAAUAUAAUAAAAAUUUUUUUUAUUUUUUUAUUUUUAAAAUAAUUUUUUUAAAUUUUUUUUAUUUUUAAAAUACUUUUUUUAAUUUUUUAAUUUUUUUGGUGUUUAUUUAAAAAUGGGCCAGGCUGGGCCGGGCCCGGACUUAAGAAUUUUUCCCCGGACCGGGCCUGAACAAAAUUUCAGACCCAUAUUUCGGGCCGGGCCCGGGCCCGGCCCUAGGACACGGGUCAAUUUUUUUAUUGGCCCGGCCCAAACCCGGCCCGGCCCGGCCCAUGAGCACCUCUAGUUUGGCCUGCCCUACAGGCAUUGAUUGCCUUAGAGCCACUGACUGCAACAGAUUGGCUGAGAACAUCAAUCCAUUAACAUUGCUAAUUAUUAAAUACGUAAAGUACAAACCGUCCAACAUUUUUAAUUAUUACUUAUAAUUAAAGUAGACUCCACUUUGCCAACUCUCACCCUCUUGGAAACAACAUCCAUCGCUCAUCUUUGACCCCUAUGCUCAUAUACUUACGUUUUCUAGUUUCUUUGUGGAUAUUGGGCGAUCUAUUUUCCGAUUUUGAACACCAGAUUGAGAUAUUCUUCUCCUUUCAUACAUCCUCAUGUUGUCCUUACCAUCAACUUCUUCCUCCACUUCUAAAAAGAAAUAUGAUGUUUUCUUGAGUUUUAGAGGUGAAGAUACUCGCAAAAACUUCACCGAUCAUCUCUAUGCUACUCUAAAGAGGAGUGGGAUCGUCACUUUCAGGGAUGAUCCAAAGCUGGAGGCCGGCGAAGAGAUCGCGCCAGAACUCUUUAAAGCAAUUCAGCAAUCAUGGUGCUCGGUAAUCGUUUUUUCACAAACUUAUGCCUUUUCAAGUUGGUGCUUGGAGGAGCUUGCUGAGAUUGUUAAACAACAUAACAACGACGGCCAUAAAGUGUUUCCAAUUUUUUACGAUGUUGAUCCAUCUGAUUUAAGAAAACAAAAAGGGGAAGUGGAAGAAGCCUUUGCCAGACAUGAAGAGAGAUACAAAAAAGAAAGUGAGAAGAUCCAAAGGUGGCGAAAUGCUUUAAUUCAAGUGGCUGCAGUCAAGGGAUGGCAUUUAAAUAACAGGUAAUUCUUUCUUUUCUUCUCUAUUUUCUAGUUUUUUUGGAUAUAUAUAUAUAUAUAUGUAUGUAUAACUUUUUUCUUUUUUUCUAAUCCUAUGUGUUUAAUUGAAAAGUGUUUCAAUAAGAGAGAAAAUUUUGUCUUCUGGCUCCGCAACAGAUCUUGCUUUCUUAUUCUUGGUUCUUGUUUUCUUCCAAACUAUUUUAUGUUUCAUGAUUCAUUGAAAAAGAAAGUGCAUUCGAAACAUAUCACUGAAAACAUUAAAAUUUCUUCUUUUUAGGCAUGAAUCUGAAUUUAUUGGAGACAUUGUUAAGAAGAUAUCAGCAAAACUAUGUCGGACAUAUCCAGUUACUCAUAGCGACUUGGUUGGUAUUAGUGAACGCUUGGAGGAUUUGUAUUUGAAAAUAAACAUUGGGGAAGAUGAUGUCCGCGUUAUAGGAAUUUGCGGAAUGGGUGGCAUCGGUAAAACGACACUCGCAAGAGUUGCUUACACUCAAAUGUCACCUCAUUUUGAAGGUAAAAGCUUUAUUGCUGAUAUUCGAGAAGUUUCAGACAAAUGCGGACUAGUUUCUUUACAGAAACAACUUCUUUCACAGAUCUUUCAUGGUGAAUGCUUCAACUUUUUCAAUGUUCAUGAAGGGAGUGACAUAAUUAGCCAUAGGUUGUCUCACAAAAAGGUUCUUGUUGUUCUUGAUAAUGUUGAUAACAUACAACACCUAAAAUGCUUGGUUGGAAGGCAUGAUUGGUUCGGAUUAGGGAGUAGAAUCAUUGUAAGAACAAGAGACGAACAUUUGCUUCGAUGUUGCCAAGUUAAUGACGUGUAUAUGCCCACAACACUGAAUCCCAAAGAUGCGCUUCAACUUUUCAGUCUGAAAGCUUUUCAUAGUGAUACAGUGCAGAAAGAUGAUUUCAUUGAGCUUUCUGAACAUGUUGUAAAUUAUGCUGGUGGACUCCCUUUAGCUCUUGAAGUUUUAGGUUCCUUUUUGUGCGGUAGAGAUGCGACUCAAUGGAGAAGUGCGAUUGAAAGACUUAAAAGAGAUUCUAAUAAAGAAAUUCACGAUAAACUUCGAAUCAGUUUUGAUGGACUGGAAGAAAGGGAGAAGAAUAUAUUUUUAGAUAUAGCAUGCUUCUUCAAGGGGGAGAAGAAAGAUUUUGUAAUCAAAGUAUUGCAUGGUUGUGAGUUUUUUCCUGAUAUUGGAAUUGAUGUUCUCGUUAAAAAAUCUCUCCUAAAAGUCGAUGAACACAGCAAAUAUUUGAAGAUGCAUGACUUGUUGCAAGAAAUGGGAAGAACAAUUGUUAAAGAAAAAUGUGUUGAUGAACCUGGAAAACGUUGCAGAUUGUGGGAGGAAAGGGACAUCCAUCAUGUCCUAACAAAAAACACUGUAAGUUAUUCAACAAAAGUUACAUAUUAUUUCUUUUCUAUCCUACAUUAUUCACCAUUUAUUUUAUUUUCUUAUUAUCUGUUCUUAAUCUUUUUUAGGCUACAGAAAUAGUUGAAGGCAUAAUCAUCAAUAAUAAAAGGUAAGAAGACACACAUAAACAUAUAUCUAUGUGUACUGUAAAUAAUUAUUAUUUUUAAAUAUGAGAAAAAAAAAUAUAGCAAAACUUUUGACAUUCAAUAUUUCAAUGUUUAAUUAUGAAAUUUAUAUAGCAAUAUAUUUACUUUUUCAAAAGAAUCAAAAGAGAAAUGUAUGUAUUUUUGAAAUAUUAAUGGUAUAUUUUUUUUGUGAAAAUUAAUGGUAAAUAUUUAAUGUACUAAAAGUGUAUAUCAACGAAUUAGAUUAUAACAUAUCAUCAAAUUUUUUUAAUGAAAAUGGUUUCAUUUUUAAUUAUGUGACAUUGUUUGGUUCAUUAACUUGUAAAUUAUGCAUUGUUUGUGGACCGAAUAUAAAUCAACAUAUUAAUUCAAUUUUUUAGGAUUAGGCAAUUUAACAUCGGAUGUAAUUAUUAGAUAUAAGUAUCUCUUUAAUAUGGGUAUAUUAAAAAGAAAUUUAAAAUUUUUUUUCACAUAUUUAAAAGGUUCUUAAAGGAUCAUAUCUUAAUACCCAUAUACGAAUGUGCAUUAGAUAUAAGUAUUGGAUACGAGUACUUAAAAAACAAUAUUGAUGCAACAUUUCUUUUAGAUAUUGAAUGUUUUAGUAUAUUCUGAAGCUCAUUUUUGCUUUGCUCAUUGAUAUUAGGGAAUCGAACAAGAUGCUCAAUUUGAGUGCGGAUACCUUCUUGAAGAUGAAAAAACUGAGAUUGCUCAAAGUGCUUUGCCUUUUAAAUUGUGAUGAUCUCAAAUAUCUUUCUAAUGAACUACGACUUUUAGAUUGGAAAGGAUACCCUUUAAGAUACUUGCCUUCAAGCUUUCAACCGGACAACCUUGUCGCACUUCUUUUACGAUGUAGUCACAUUCAACAACUAUGGAAGGGAAAUAGAGUAAGAAUUAACUCAUCUUAUCCUUGUGUUUUAGCUUAUUUUAAUAUAAAUUAUUAAACUUUGAUUAAGGUAAAACAAAAAAACAAAAAUGAGCAUUAUUAUGCUUUCUCAUUUGUUUCUAAUUUACUGUGGUCUUCAACAGCCCUUGUCUAACUUGAAAAUAGUGAACCUCGAAGGGUCCCAAAACCUGAUCAAGACACCAGACUUCACAACAGCAUCAAAUCUUGAAGUUUUGAUUUUGGCAGGUUGUACCAAAUUAGUGGAUGUUCAUCCAUCAAUCGGGGUGCUUAAGAGCCUUAAACUUUUGAAUUUAAGAGACUGCAAAAGUCUUAGGACUCUUCCAACCAAAAUUGGAAUGGAAUCUCUUGAAACAUUAAUUCUUUCGGGUUGCUCAAGUCUUGUAAGGUUUCCGGAGAUUGGUGGAAAAAUGGAACGUCUAAAAACUCUAGAUCUUGCCGGUUGUUAUAGAGUGGAAAAUUUAUCGGAGAAUUUGCAGCAUGCAAAGCUUUUGGAAGAGCUCGACUUGAGUGAAACAGCCAUAACAGAACCACCAUCCUUCAUUUUUCAAUUUAAAAAUCUUGAAGUUCUGUCUUUCAAUGGGCGCAAGGGACCAUCAUAUAAGUCACUGCCAAAUUUGCCUUCUCUGUUCAAGGUAAUCCAAGGAAGGAGGACGAAUCCCAUGGCUCGGAUGUUGCCUUUGUUGUCAGGUUUGAGUUCUUUAAGUGUGCUAAACCUAAGGGACUGCAAUCUUUGUGAAGGAGAUAUUCCACCUGAUAUUUCUGGUCUAUCCUGUUUGGUAAUACUUGAUUUUAGUGGUAACAAUUUCGUCAGCGUACCUGCAUCUCUUACUCGACUCUCAAAGCUUGAGUCUCUUGAAUUGUCAAAUUGCAACCUGUGCACUCUUGGUGAAGCAGAUACUCCUAGUGAUAUUUCUGGUCUAUCCUCUUUGAGUUAUCUUUAUCUUUGUGGUAACAAUUUCAUCACCAUUCCUUUGGCUCUUACUCAACUUUCCCAGCUUCAUUGUAUUGUAUUGUCAGAUUGCAAGAUGCUUAAAUCGUUGCCUGAGCUACCAACAAGUAUAGAAAGUGUGAUAAUAGAUGAUUGUUCUUCACUUGAAGUAAGUCCAUCAAAAGUAAGCAAUUUAGUGGUUGGUGAUAACAUUCAUGCCAUUAACUGCUUCAAAUUUGCUGAGAAAAUCAAUGCAGUAGCACUGCUGAAAGAACAUCUUAAGGUCUAUUAAUCUAUUUUUUCUCCCUUACAAAAUCUCAUACUUGAGAAUUUAUGGUUUUAGUUACCAGACGACUUGUGUUUUAUUUUGUAGGCACUUCCAAAUUCUGGAAAAUGGCUUGAUAAUGACUUCUUUGAUAUUUUGGUGCCCAGAAGUGAAAUUCCAGAAUGGUUUAGCCAACAAAAAAGUGACUCUUCAGUUAAGAUACCCCUACCUAUCAGCCUUCACGAAGAUAGUGAAUGGAUUGGAGUUGCUUGUUGCUGCAUUUUUGUCAAUAAAGAUGCUUCAAGGGCUAUCAGAUGGGAUGGAUCUAUUUUUGGUGGAAAUCAUCGACCAAUUGGUUGUAGAAACCGAUGGGUAGCUCCAUUCUUUGACAGGCCCAUAAUGAAAGAUCACCUUUUUAUUCGUUAUUUUCCGCGUAAUGCAAUAGAUCCAUUUGACUUGGAGGAUAAAUAUCAACUACGCGAUGAGCUUUAUUUGCCUUUCAAUAACGAAUUAGGAGUAGAUGACCCUCGUGUUAAGGUAAAGAAGUAUGGUUUUAGAAUAGUGUACGAGGAAGAUUUGGAAGAAAUAAAAGAGUUGCAGUGCCAUACCACUCCAUCUUCUCCAAAUUUUGAACACAUCCACCAACACGCUGCUCUCAACCAUGGAUCAGUAGGUAGCAGUUCUUGUUGAAGCCAUGGCCUGCAUUGCAACAAAGAACCAACAGCAACAAUUUGGUCAAAAGACCAACAGCAGCAAAUUGUACAAGUUUAGCUGCUAUACUGUUUUGUAGCAAAGAAAUGGAGUUGGUUCAAUUAUAGAAUUACUUUUUGAAUAUUUUGUUCCUAUGGAACUUAGCCUAAAUCUUUGUAAUGAGUUAGCUAAGAUAGUAGGAAGUUUGACUGAUGUAAUAGCUGGUAUGCCAGCUUUCUUUUGUAAGCAAGUUGCUAUGUUUUAGUAUGUAUUAAGUAAGGGCAGUUAAAUUAGUAGGUAACUGUCAAAUUGUUUGUAACCUUCAUAUAUUCAAAAUUUGAAUGAAAAAUAUAUGACUUCAGUUACAAUUCUUUGCUGAGUUUUUUUUAGUUCUCUUUUUGCUUCCAUUCGGUUUGCUUCUUUGUACUGCCAUUUAUCCAACAAAUGGCAUCAAGAGCUUUCAGUCUUUGAGGGCCUUGGUUGUACACUGUCAUUAAGCAAAUUGUAUUUGAAACAAAAGAAGAAGAGGUUGUUUUGCUUGCUGAAAAAUGAGCUUUACACCACCUCCUCCACAUGUCUUUGCUGGAGAAAAUUACAACAUCUGGGCAGUGAAAAUGAGAACAUAUCUGCAGGCACAUGACCUGUGGAAUGUUGUUCUCAAUGACACUGAGCCACCACCACUAAGAGCCAACCCGACCAUAUCCCAGAUCAGGCAGCACAAUGAAGACUGUGCCAAGAAGUACAAGGCUAUGUCGUGCCUUCAAAGUGGAGUCUCUGAUGUUAUUUUCAUAAGAAUAAUGGCUUGUGACACUCCAAAACAGGCCUGGGAUAAACUCAAGGAGGAGUUUCAGGGGUCUGACAAGACCAGGCAACAGCAGCUGAUCAACAUGAGAAGAGACUUUGAAAAUCUCAAAAUGAAGGACUCAGAAACCAUCAAGCAGUAUGCUGACAGAAUCAUGGCUACUGUCAACAACAUAAAGCUGCUUGGGGAAGAAUUCAGUGACCAAAGAGUGGUUGAGAAGGUCAUAACAACCUUGCCAGAGAAGUAUGAGGCAAAAAUUUCCUCCCUGGAAGAUUCAAGGGACUUAUCAACGAUCCCUUUGACUGAGCUUAUAAAUGCUCUUUAUGCUCAAGAGCAGAGAAGGGCAAAUAGGCAGGAGGACCACUAUGAAGGAGCUUUUCAGGCUAGAGGCAGAGAAAGCUCAAGUACAAACUUAAAUGCCAAAGGCAAGAAGCCUUGGACUGAGAAGAAGAAGAAAGAACCUGUCAAAAGGAAGUUCCCACCUUGUGUCCAUUGCAAGAAGACUACUCAUCUUGAGAAAUAUUGCUGGUACAGACCAGACAUUCAAUGCAGAGCCUGCAAGCAAUUUGGCCACAUUGAAAAGGUCUGUAAGAGCAAGUCAAAAACACAACCACAAUUUCAAAGCCAAGCUCAAGCUGCAGAAGAGGUUGAAGCACCAGAAGAGCAUGUUUUUUCAGCAUCAUGCUUUGCAAGCUCGAGCAAGGUUAGCAAAAUUUGGCUGAUUGACCGUGGAUGCACCCACCAUAUGGCUUCUAAGAAGAGUAUAUUCAAGGAGCUUGACACCACAUUCAAGUCCAAAGUCAGAAUUGGUAAUGGUGAGCUACUGGAGGCAAAAGGGAAAGGCAAGGCUUUGAUAAGCACCAAGUCAGGUAUUAAAACCAUUUCAGAGGUUCUCUAUGUACCUGAUAUUGACCAAAACUUGCUAAGUGUUGGCCAGCUAUUGGAGAAAGGCUAUUCUCUGAUUUUUGAAGGCAAGAACUGUUUGAUCAAAAAUGCAGCUGGUGAAGUGUUAACCACAGUGGCUAUGCAAGACAGGACUUUCAUUGUAAAUGUGAAUCAGCUUCAGGCUAAGGCAUAUGCAUCUCAGUCUGAUGAGACUGAUUUGUGGCACAGAAGGAUGGGGCAUAUGAACUACAAUUCACUGAACAUGUUGCACAAAAUGGAUCUGGUCAGUGACAUGUCCAAAAUCGAGCAAAAGGAUGCUGUAUGUGAGGUCUGUCAGCUAGGCAAACAGACCAGAUUACCCUUUCCAGUCAACAAGGCAUGGAGAGCACAAGGGAAACUUCAGCUUGUUCAUACAGACAUCUGUGGACCAAUGAAGACUACCUCCUUAAAUGGCAGCAGGUACUUUGUACUCUUCAUUGAUGAUUAUUCAAGGUUCUGUUGGGUAAAUUUUUUGAAGCAUAAGUCAGAUGUUUAUGACUCUUUCUGCAAAUUUAAAGCCUUGGUCGAAAACCAAGCAAAUUGCAAACUGAAAUGUUUGAGGUCUGACAAUGGUUCUGAGUAUGUAUCUCAGAAGUUUCAAAAAUUGUGUGAUGAUGCUGGAAUUCAACAUCAAUUGACUACUGUGUACACACCACAGCAAAAUGGUGUUUGUGAAAGGAAAAAUAGAACGGUCCUUGAUAUGGCUAGGUGUUUGUUAUUUGAGGCUAAAAUGCCUAAUGUUUUUUGGGCUGAAGUUGUGAAUACAGCUGUUUAUUUGUUGAAUAGGCUACCAACUAAUGCAGUCAAGGGUAAAACACCCUUUGAAGCAUGGUUUGGACAGAAACCAUCUAUCUCACAUUUGAAAGUAUUUCGCUGUCUAUGUUUUGUGUUGGUACCUGAGGAGAAAAGAACCAAGUUGGACAGGAGGUCCAUGCCAGGUGUGUUUGUUGGCUACAGCAAUGUAAAAAAAGGAUACAGAGUCUUUGAUCCACUGACCAAGAAGAUUGUAGUGAGUAGAGAUGUGAAAUUCAGUGAAACAAGUAGCUAGAAAUGAGAUGGAAUUGAAGCAAAUUUUUCUGAGGCAGAUCAGAAUGAUGUUGAUUUGCAGGAAGCUGAAAAUGAAGCAAUAACUGAAUAUGACUAUGAUGAUGAACCUGUUCGAGGCACUAGGACAUUAGCAAACAUUUAUGAAAGAUGUGCAGUAACUCUAGUAGAGCCUUCAUGUUUUGAAGAAGCUGCAAAAGAAAGGUGCUGGCAAGAGGCUAUGGAAACUGAAUUAAGUAUGAUUCAGAAGAAUGACACUUGGGAGCUUGUGGAUAGACCUGAAAACAGAAGAAUCAUUGGUGUCAAAUGGGUCUUUAGGACUAAAAACAAUGCUGAUGGUACUUUGAACAGACACAAGGCCAGAUUGGUUGUGAAAGGGUAUAGUCAGCAGCAAGGGGUUGAUUUUUCUGAAACCUUUGCACCAGUUGCAAGGUUGGAUACUAUCAGAUUACUGCUUGCUUUGGCAGCUCAAAAGCACUGGAAGGUGUAUCAUUUGGAUGUUAAGUCAGCCUUUCUAAAUGGCUUUCUUAAUGAAGAAAUAUUCAUUGAGCAACCUGAAGGUUUUGAGGUCCUUGGUAAAGAACAGAAGGUUUACAAGUUGAGAAAGGCCUUAUAUGGCCUAAAGCAGGCUUCAAGAGCUUGGUAUGAGAGGAUUGAUGGCUACUUGGCAAGGCUUGGGUUCACAAAGAGUGUCAGUGAGCCUACACUCUAUGUUAAGAAGGAUUAAAAGGAAACUUUACUAAUUGUUUCCUUGUAUGUUGAUGAUCUGCUGGUCAUUGGCUGCAAACAUGAACUUAUUGAAGACUUCAAGAAGCAGAUGCAACAUGUCUUUGAAAUGACUGACCUUGGUCUAAUGACUUAUUUUCUUGGUAUGGAAAUCAAACAAGGAAGUGAUGGUAUUUUCAUAAGUCAACAGACAUUUACUUCCAAAGUGCUUGAAAAAUUUUGCAUGAUGAAAUGCAAAUCAGUCACAACACCAGUUGCAUUGGGGGAAAAAUUGUCAAGUGUCAGUGAGCAUGAUCGAGUAGAUGAGAAAACAUAUAGAAGCUUAAUUGGUUGUCUGCUUUAUUUAACAGCAACUAGACCAGACAUUGUCUAUGCUGUUAAUCUACUCUCAAGAUUUAUGCACUGCUGCAAUGUGGCACAUUUGAAGGCAGCAAAAAGAGUGUUAAGGUAUGUCAAAGGAACCAUCAAUGCUGGUGUGAAGUUUUGGAGGGCAAAGGAGCUGAAACUUGUAGGCUAUUCUGAUAGCGAUUGGGCAGGGUCAGUUGAUGACAUGAGGAGCACUUCAGGUUAUUUUUUCACCUUAGGCUCAAGUGUUUUCAGCUGGAGUUCAAAGAAGCAACAAACUGUUGCACAAUCCACAGCAGAGGCUGAGUAUAUCUCAGCUACAGCAACAGUAAAUCAAGCCAUUUGGCUUAGAAAGAUUUUGGAUGACUUGAAUGAAAAUCAAGCUCAACCUACUGAGAUUAGAAUGGAUAAUCAAUCAGCAGUGGCCAUAGCCAAGAAUCCAGUCUUCCAUGGUAAGACUAAACACUUCAAAAUCAAAUUCCAUUUUGUUAGAGAAGCUGAGCAAUCGAGGGAAGUUAGCUUAGUUCAUUGCAGCUCAUAAAUUCAAAUAGCUGAUAUUUUAACUAAACCAUUGGGAGCCAACCGAUUUAAUGCUUUGAAGGAAAGGAUUGGUGUUUGUUGCAUACAGUCCAAGGAGGAGUGUUGAAGCCAUGGCCUGCAUUGCAACAAAGAACCAACAACAACAAUUUGGUCAAAAGACCAACAGCAGCAAAUUGUACAAGUUUAGCUGCUAUACUGUUUUGUAGCAAAGAAAUGGAGUUGGUUCAAUUAUAGAAUUACUUUUUGAAUAUUUUGUUCCUAUGGAACUUAGCCUAAAUCUUUGUAAUGAGUUAGCUAAGAUAGUAGGAAGUUUGACUAAUGUAAUAGCUGGUAUGCCAGCUUUCUUUUGUAAGCAAGUUGCUAUGUUUUAGUAUGUAUUAAGUAAGGGCAGUUAAAUUAGUAGGUAACUGUCAAAUUGUUUGUAACCUUCAUAUAUUCAAAAUUUGAAUGAAAAAUAUAUGACUUCAGUUACAAUUCUUUGCUGAGUUUUUUUUAGUUCUCUUUUUGCUUCCAUUCGGUUUGCUUCUUUGUACUGCCAUUUAUCCAACAGUUCUCACAUAAAACGGAAACAUAAUAUGUAUGAGGAAAUGGAGGAAGAAGAGCUGCAACCAAAACGGAUGCAAAAUUUUUUCAAUUUUGUAAUGGGCCAAUCAAGAAAGAAGCAUUAACUGUGGUAAACUACUUAACCUACUUUGUCCCAUUAAGUUUUUUUUACUCAUCUUGUAUUUCAUUUAAACAAUCAUUCUAGACUUGUUUUGGGUAUGAGAUAUGAUCCUUCAUACUCAUAUUCAGCAUGUACAUAUCUCAAAUGUUUUAUACCAUUUAAAAUUUUAGUCACUUAAUUCAUUCCUUUUUACAUAAUCGAAAUGUGUAUAUUUUGAUUGGUUUCACCUUUUUUUAUUAAAAUUUUAUUUCCAUUAUAUAUAUAUAUUCACUUACGUCUAUAUUUUAUUUGUAAGUUGAAGAUGAAGCAAAUUAAAACAAAAUUGUGAGACAAAAAUGGAGACGAAGCAAGUAAUGAUAAAAUCAGAAUCCUUUAAUAAAAAUCUAUCAUAAUUUCAACUGAGUUAAAAAUUAUUUUAUUUUUAUUGGAGACCAACUUAUGUGUUCAAUUUAAUCAGUCAAAACUGUUUUUAUAUAUUUAAAAGAUUAAAUAUAAAUCCUUAAAGGUACUUAAAUAGAUUUAAUCCCUUCUAAUAAAGUAUCAUUUAAAUUUCAUGACUUGAAGUACAAAUUAUAUUAUUCCAACUCCUCAGUUUAUUUUUUUUAUAAAAUAUUUAUGUUUAGACAUUUAUUUUUAAUAUUUAUUCAAAUAUGAAUAUAAAGUAUGCACGAAUAUUCAAUUAGAAAAUCUUUGCUCGUGAGACACUUAUUCAUAUUUUUUUUCUUUUAAAAAUUCAAUAGUUUCAUUUAUCUCUCCUCGCUGGACCUGCAGCUGGUUUCGCCAUUAUAAUCUGCAAACAUUGAAUCAAUGGCAUUACUGAGCUUAGUGGAAGAAAAUGCUGGGAAAAUGUAAUACAGAUGCGAUCCUAAGCAACAAAUACAGCUUUGCAUGAGAACCUAAUCCCAUCACCAAACUAUUUUAAGUGCUUGGAACUUGAAAAUGAGAGCUCUUCCUUAUCCUGCUCUAUCUUCUGCGACUAAUGUAAAAGAGUUACCACAAUGCAUACACAAACAAAACGAAUAUGGCGGCCUUCAGCUUCAUCAAUACACUAAAUACGCCUAGAUCAAUAAAAGCAUGGAAGUGGAGGACCAACAGAGGUUGCCCAGUUGAAAUGGAAGCAGACACUAAAGUAAUAAUAGAAUCGAGCGAUUUGGGGUUUCAAAAAUGGGUUAUGUUAUUAGAUAAUAAUAUGUAAUGUAAUAUAAAUUAUACCAUUUUGAAUGAAAUUUUUUUAAUAUAGAAUGUAAAUUCAAAUAGUAAAAAAUAUAUUAUGCUAAUAAAUAAUAAAUUUUUUAGAAAGGAAACAUAAUCUAUAAACAUAUCUUGCAUGCAAGUUCUUCAAAUCCAGUUCAUAUUCUUAGUUCGCCAAAGUAAUCGGGCCGCCACUUUGUGGUAACUUGCCAAUAUUGAAGGAUUCGCCAAUAUGGGGGAGUUCGCCAUAGAAAAAAACUCAAACUUGAUUUGAUAAUUAUUAAGAUGAGCUCGGAUUUGAGCUAUCAAUUGAACCGAAUACGAGCUUAGUAAAACUCCGCUUGAAUAGCUCACGAGCCUUACUGAGCUUUUCAAUUUUAACAUACAUUUUAAAUAUUUUUUUAUUAAAUUACAUUAUUACUUAAUAUAUAUAUUAUUAACCUUAAGUUUAAUUAUCGAGUCAAGCUCGAGCUCAAGUUCGAUCUUGAGUAUGAAAAUUGAUAAACAAGUUUAAUCAAGUUCGAGUUUGAGUACAAAAAUUGAUAAAUAAGCUUAUUUGAAUUCGAGCUCGAGCAACUAGAUUAUAUCUUGAGCUUAGCUUGAACUGGAUAUCAAGCUUUAAAUUUUGAGUCAAGCUGGAGCUUGAUAAUAUUUGGAAAGUAGAAAAUAAUUAGAGAACGAGAUAUAUGUAGAUAUGUCAAUUGAGUGAGUUGAGUUAAUAUGGACCGAAUCAAAUCUGGCUUUAAGUUUUUAGCAUAAAGAUAAAUUUAGCCCUUAAUAUUUAUUCAUUUUGUCAUUAAAAUUUAGUCAAAUUGUUUUGUUUUGAAUGAAAAAGUUAUCUAAAUUGUCAAAAUUUUAAUGACAGUAAUAUGACAGUUUACGUAACAAUAUGCAUGGAUCAUUUAUAUUCACAGAAGAGUCAAAAAAAAAAAAUUCUAAAAAGGAAUUUUGGAUAACUUUUAUUUUAUUUACCCAAUAAGCAGAAAGGGUGAAAUGUUUACAAAUAUCUAUAGUAUACAUUUGUAAUUCCCCAUGCUAUACAAAGUUCUUACUGACUUAAUCAUUCAUGUUCACAUUAACCUCUAUCAACCUCAUUCUCACUAACCCCUUUAUUUUUCCCAAGUAAUAUAUUUCUUUAAGGUGUAAUAAAUCUAAAAAAUAGUUAGAAAACAAGAUAUAUGUAGAUUUCUCAAUUCAAGUUUGAAGUUUUUUUUUAACUAAAUUUGAAUUUAAGUUAUUUUAGGUUUGAGGUAGAGUUCCAUUUUUAUGUGAUAAUUCAAAUCAUCUUGAGUUUACAUCAUUUUAGAUUUGAAUCUUAAAUUUUUUUAAGUUAUAAAUUUCUUUGAUGAUUAUGAAUUAUUUUGGGUUUGACAAAAAUAUUACAUAAAUGUCAUUCUUAGAAUUAGGUUGACGGUGAAUUGAAGGUGACAGUCUGGAUUUGCUCAUAUUUUAAUACGGGUAUGAAUAUUUUUUAAAAAAGUUAUUUUUUUUAUGUAAUUAAAGAGUUUCUAAGGGAUCAUAUAUUAAUACCCAUAUUCUGAUAUGCAUAAGAAUCUUAUGAUAAAAUAUAACUAUCGGCCAAGGGUACUUAAAAAACUAAUAUCGAAACAAUAUAGCUUUUAGGUUUUGAAUCCUUUGUGUACUUUGAACCUCAUUUUUGUUUUGUCCAUUUUUUUUAAGGGAUCGAAUAAUACGUUCAAUUUGAAUGUCAAUGUCUUCUUGAAGAUAAAAAAAAAUUGAGAUUGGUCAAAGUGCUUUGUCUCUCAAAUUAUGAUGAUCUCAAAUAUCUUUCUAAUAAACUACAUCUUUUAGAUUAGACUAGAUAUCCUUUAAAAUACUUGCCUUCAAGCUUCCAACCAGACAAUCUUGUCGCACUUCUUUUACCAUAUAAUCACAUUGAACAAUUGUAGAAGGGAAAUAAAGUAAGAAUUAACUCAUCAUUUUAACUUAUUAAGAAUUAACUCAUCAUUUUAACUUAUUUUCAUAAAAAUUAUUAAACUUUGAUUAAGGUAAAAAAAAACAAAAAAACAAAAAUGAGCAUUAUUAUGUUUUCUCAUUUGUUUCUAAUUUAUCAUGGCCUUCGACGGCCCUUGUAUAAGUUGAAAAUGAUGAACCUCAAAGGGUUCCAAAAUCUGAUCAAGACACCAGACUUCACAACAGCAUCAAAUCUUGAAGUUUUGAUUUUGGAAGGUUGUACCAAAUUCGUGGAUAUUCAUCUAUCCAUCGGAGUGCUUAAGAGCCUUAAACUUUUGAAUUUAAGAGAUUACAAAAGUCUUAGGACUCUUCCGACCAAAAUUCGAAUGGAAUCUCUUGAAACAUUAAUUCUUUCGGGUUGCUCGAGUCUUAUAAGGUUUCCGGAGAUUAAUGGGAAAAUGGAACGUCCAAACACUCUUUAUGUUUAUAGAAUUGAAAAUUUAUCAGAGAAUUGGCAGCAAGCAAAGUUUUUGAAAGAGCUCGACUUGAGUGAAACAGCCAUAACAGAACCACCAUCCUUCAUUUUCCAAUUUAAAAAUCUUAAAGUUCUGUCUUUCAAUGGAUGCAAAAGAUCAUCUAAGUUACAACAAAAUCUUCCUUCUCUUUUCAAGUUAAUCGAAGAGGAAGGACAAACUCCAUGGCUCCGAUGUUACCUUCGUUGUCAGGUUUGAGUUCCUUAAGAAAGUUAAAGCUAAGGGACUGCAAUCUUGGCGAAGGAGAUAUUCCACGUGAUAUUUCUUGCCUAUCCUCCUUGACAGAUCUUGGUCUUAGUGGUAACAAUUUCAUCAACAUACCUGCAUCUAUUAUUCGAUUUUCCAAGCUUCAUUCUAUUAGAUUGUCACUUGUCAGAUUGCAAGAUGCUUAAAUCGUUGCCUGAGCUACCAAGUAUAAAAGAGGUGUGGAUAGAUGGUUGUUCUUCACUUGAAGUAGUUCCAAGUCCAUUAAUAUGCAAUCCAGUGUACGGCGCUACCGUUAAAGCCAUUAGCUGCUUCAAAUUGGCUGAGAAUAUCAAUGCAUUAACACUGCUGGAAAAACAUCUUAAGGUCGAUUACUCUAUUUUUUCUCCCUUAGAAAAUCUCAUACUUGAGAAUUUAUGGUUUUAGUUGCCAAACGACUUGUGUUUUAUUUUGCAGGCAUUUGCAAAUUCAAGAAAACCGUUUGAUAUUGUUAUGCCCGGAAGUGAAAUCCCAGAAUGGUUUGGCCAACAAAAAAGUGGCUCUUCAAUUUAGGUACCCUAACCUAUCAACCUUCGGAAUGAUAGUCAAUGGAUUGGAGUUGCUUGUUGCUGCAUUUUUGUCGAUAAUGAUGCUUCAAGCGAGAUUAUCAGUUGUAAUGGAUCUAUCUUGUAUAGAAAUUUUCAACAAGCCACCCAUAAAUUAUAUCGAGGUAAAAUUUCUCUAAAUUUUGCUUGGAGUAACUCGUCGGUGGAUAGAGGAUUUCACCUGCCCAUAAUUAAAUAUCAUCUUUUUCUUUGUUUUUGGCGGAUAAAGCAUAUAUUAUAUCCAAUUUCCAUGGAGGAUAAAUAUGGUGACUGUAAAACCAAUAAUUUAUGGACAAUAAAUUGCUUAGAUAAAAAAUACGAUGAGCUCCGGAUGUCUUUCUCAGGUAGAUCUAGAGGCGGUAAGGUGAAGAUCAAGUGUGGUAUUAGAAUAGUGUAUGAGAAAGAUUUGGAAGAAAUAAAAGAGUUGCAGUGACAUACCACUCAAUCUUCUCCCAAUUUUGAACACAUCCGCCAACACUCUGCUCAAAACUGAUGAAAAAAAUUUUCAAUUUUAUAAUGGGCCAAUCGGGAAAGAAGCAUUAACUGUGGUAAACUACUUAACCAACCUUGUCCUAUUAAUUGUUAUUUUUUUACACAUCUUUUAUAUAAUUUAAUCAUUCUAGACUUAUUUACAUUCCUUCGUAUAUAUCAAACAAAUUUGAAUUUUUUAUUCAUACUCAUAUUCAACAUGAGCUCAUUUUCUAUACAUAUCCCAAAUGUUGAUUACAUUCUUUAUACCAUUUAAAAUUUUAGUCACUUAAUUCAUUCCUUUUUACAUAAUUUAAAUGUGCACAUUUUAAUUGGUUUUCAUUUUUUUAUUUAUUAAAAUUUUAUUUUCAUUCUAGUAACAAAACCAUAGAAAUUUGAGAGGAGAUUUUCACCGCUUAAAAUGUCCCCAGUGUUUCACCUAAAACCUCUGGGAAAAGCUUGUAAAAUUACUUGUGGGAUUAAAACUUCAUUAGUCAGUAUAUCUCCUAGUCACUGUUCACUUUGACUUUGACAUUUCGUGUAUCAACUCUUUGAUUCCUGAAAUUAGGGAGAUUUGAAUAUAUACUUUUAUCCUUAAUUCCUCACUCUUUUAUUUUUAUUUAUUCAUCUAUAUAUCUUUGAUUAGUUUGAUUUUCGCGGAAAAGAAUUAUUGGAAUUUGGAAUCCAGGUCGCCGGUUCUGGAAGUAAUUCAGCUUGUCAAAUCCCAAAUGUUUAAGAUAUUUGAGAAAUUUGAGUAAAACACAAACUGUCUUUUGUCUACUCUCACCUUCUUGGAGUCUUCUCGGAAACAACAUCUAUAACCCCGAAUUUCCACACCUACUCCCUUUCAUUUCGAAUACUAAUGUUUUUAAUUAUUAUCUUUCAUUGUUAAGUACAUAAAAUGCAAACCGUCACCCGGCCCUCUUCUAUUUUUCAUAUGUUUUUCCUCAUAUAUUCAUUAUUUUCUGAUUUUGAACACCAGAUUGAAAUAUCCUUCUCCUUUCAUACAUCCUCAUGUUGUCGUUACCUUCAACUUCUUCCUCCAUUUCUAGAAAAAAAUAUGAUGUUUUCUUGAGUUUCAGAGGUGAAGAUACCCGCAACAACUUUACCGAUCAUCUCUAUGAUGCUCUAAGUAGGAGUGGGAUCGUCACUUUCAGAGAUGAUCCAAAGCUGGAGGCCGGCGAAGAGAUCGCACCUGAACUCUUUAAAGCAAUUCACCAAUCAUGGUGCUCAGUAAUCGUUUUUUCACAAACUUAUGCCUUUUCAAGUUGGUGCUUGGAGGAGCUUGCUGAGAUUGUUAAACAACAUAACAACGACGGCCAUAAAGUGUUUCCAAUUUUUUANNNNNNNNNNNNNNNNNNNNNNNNNNNNNNNNNNNNNNNNNNNNNNNNNNNNNNNNNNNNNNNNNNNNNNNNNNNNNNNNNNNNNNNNNNNNNNNNNNNNNNNNNNNNNNNNNNNNNNNNNNNNNNNNNNNNNNNNNNNNNNNNNNNNNNNNNNNNNNNNNNNNNNNNNNNNNNNNNNNNNNNNNNNNNNNNNNNNNNNNNNNNNNNNNNNNNNNNNNNNNNNNNNNNNNNNNNNNNNNNNNNNNNNNNNNNNNNNNNNNNNNNNNNNNNNNNNNNNNNNNNNNNNNNNNNNNNNNNNNNNNNNNNNNNNNNNNNNNNNNNNNNNNNNNNNNNNNNNNNNNNNNNNNNNNUUAAAAUUUCUUUUUCUUUAGGCAUGAAUCAGAAUUUAUUAAAGACAUUGUCAAGAAGAUAUCAGCAAAACUAUGUCAGACAUAUCCAGCUACUCAUAGCGACUUGGUUGGAAUUAGUAAACGUUUGGAGGAUUUAUAUUUGAAAAUAAACAUUGGGGAAGAUGAUGUCCGAGUUAUAGGAAUUUGCGGAAUGGGUGGUAUCGGUAAAACGACACUCGCAAGAGCUGCUUACACUCAAAUGUCAUCUCAUUUUGAAGGUAAAAGCUUUAUUGCUGAUAUUCGAGAAGUUUCAGACAAAUGCGGACUAGUUUCUUUACAGAAACAACUUCUUUCACAGAUCUUUCAUGGUGAAUGCUUCAACUUUUUCGAUGUUCAUGAAGGGAGCGACAUAAUUAGCCAUAGGUUGUCUCACAAAAAGGUUCUUGUUGUUCUUGAUAAUGUUGAUAACAUACAACACUUAAAAUGCUUGGUUGGAAGGCACGAUUGGUUCGGAUUAGGAAGUAGAAUCGUUGUAACAACAAGAGAAGAACAUUUGCUUCGAUCUUGGCCAGUUGAUGAUAUGUAUGAGCCCACAACAUUGAAUCCCAAAGAUGCGCUUCAACUUUUCAGUCUGAAAGCUUUUCAUAGUGAUACAGUGCAGAAAGAUGAUUUCAUUGAGCUUUCUAAACAUGUUGUAAAUUAUGCUGGCGGACUCCCUUUAGCUCUUGAAGUUUUGGGUUCCUUCUUGUGCGGUAGAGAUGCGACUCAAUGGAGAAGUGCGAUUGAAAGACUUAAAAGAGAUUCUAAUAAAGAAAUUUUCGAUAAACUUCGAAUCAGUUUUGAUGGACUGGAAGAAAGGGAGAAGAAUAUAUUUUUAGAUAUAGCAUGCUUCUUCAAUGGGGAGAAUAAAGAUUUUGUAAUCAAAGUAUUGGAUGGUUGUGAGUUUUUUCCUGAUAUUGGAAUUGAUGUUCCCGUUAAAAAAUCUCUCGUAAAAGUCGAUAAACACAACAAAAAUUUGAAGAUGCAUGACUUGUUACAAGAGAUGGGAAGAACAAUUGUUAGAGAAAAAUGUAUUGAUGAACCUGGAAAACGUUGCAGAUUGUGGGAGGAAAGAGACGUCCAUCAUGUCCUAACAAAAAACACUGUAAGUCAUUCAACAAUAGUUACAUACUUUUUUUUUCUAUCCUACAUUAUUCACCAUUUAUUUUAUUUUCUUAUUAUCUGUCGUUGAUCUUUUUUAGGCUACAAAAUUGGUUGAAGGCAUAAUCAUUGAUAUUAAAAGGUAAGAAGACACACAUAAACUUAUAUCUAUGUGUACUGUAAAUAAUUAUUAUUUUUAAAUAUGAUAAAAAAAACUAUAACAAAACUUUUGACAUUCAAUAUUUCAAUGUUUAAUUAUGAAAUUUAUCUAGCAACAUAUUUACUUUUUCAAAAGAGAAAUGUAUGUAUUUUUGAAAUAUUAAUGGUAUAUUUUUUUGUGAAAAUUAAUGCUAUAUAUUUAAUGUACUAAAAGUGUAUAUCAACAAAUUAAAUUAUAACAUGUCAUCAAAAUUUUUUUAAUGAAAAUGGUUUUUUUUAAUUAUGUGUCAUUGUUUGGUUCAUUAACUUGUAAAUUAUGCAUUGUUUGCGGACCAAAUAUAAAUCAACAUAUUAAUUCAAUUUUUUAGGAUUAGGUAAUUUAACAUUGGAUGUGAUUGUUAGAUAUAAGUAUCUCUUUAAUAUGGGUAUAUUCAAAAAAAAUUUAAAAAUUAUUUUUUUCACGUAUUUAAAAAGGUUCUUAAAGGAUCAUAUCUUAAUACCCAUAUACGAAUGUGCAUUAGAUAUAAGUAUUGGAUACGAGUACUUAAAAAACAAUAUCGAUGCAACAUUUCUUUUAGAUAUUGAAUGCUUUUGUAUAUUUUGAAGCUCAUUUUUGUUUUGCUCAUGGACAUUAGGGAAUCGAACAAGAUGCUCAAUUUGAGUGUGGAUAGCUUCUUGAAGAUGAAAAAACUGAGAUUGCUCAAAGUGCUUUGCCUUUCAAAUUGUGAUGAUCUUAAAUAUCUUUCUAAUGAAUUACGAUUUUUAGAUUGGACAGGAUACCCUUUAAGAUACUUGCCUUCAAGCUUUCAACCGAACAACCUUAUUGCGCUUCUUUUACCAUAUAGUCACAUUCAACAACUAUGGAAGGGAAAUAGAGUAAGAAUUUACUCAUCUUAUCCUUGUGUUUUAGCUUAUUUUAAUAUAAAUUAUUAAAAUUUGAUUAAGGUAAAACAAAAAAAAAAAAAGAAGCAAAAAUGAGCAUUAUUAUGUUUUCUCAUUUAUUUCUAAUUUAUUAUGGUCUUCAACAGCCCUUGUUUAACAUGAAAAUAAUGAACCUCAGAGGGUCUCAAAACCUGAUCAAGACACCAGACUUCACAACAGCAUCAAAUCUUGAAGUUUUGAUUUUGGAAGGUUGUACCAAAUUAGUGGAUGUUCAUCCAUCAAUCCGGAUGCUUAAGAGCCUUAAACUUUUGAAUUUAAGAGAUUGCAAAAGUCUUACGACUCUUCCAACCAAAAUCGGAAUGGAAUCUCUAGAAACAUUAAUUCUUUCGGGUUGCUCAAGUCUUGUAAGGUUUCCGGAGAUUGAUGGGAAAAUGGAACGUUUAAAAACUCUAAAUCUUUCCGGUUGUUAUAGAGUGGAAAAUUUAUCGGAGAAUUUGCAGCAAGCAAAGUUUUUGGAAGAGCUCGACUUGAGUGAAACAGCCAUAACAGAACCACCAUCCUUCAUUUUUCAAUUUAAAAAUCCUAAAGUUCUGUCUUUCAAUGGGCGCAAGGGACCAUCAUAUAAGUUACUACCAAAUUUGCCUUCUCUUUUCAAGGUAAUCCAAGGAAGAAGGACGAAUCCCAUGGCUCGGAUGUUGCCUUUGUUGUCAUGUUUGAGUUCUUUAAGAGAGCUAAAACUAAAGGACUGCAAUCUUUGUGAAGGAGAUAUUCCACGUGAUCUUUCUAGUCUAUCCUGUUUGGAAGAACUUGAUCUUAGUGGUAACAAUUUCAUCAGCAUACCUGCAUCUCUUACUCGACUCUCCAAGCUUGAAGAGCUUAGAUUGUCAAAUUGCAACAUGUGCACUCUUGGUGAAGCAGAUAUUCAUGGUCUAUCCUCUUUGAAACGACUUUUUCUUGACGGUAACAAUUUCAUCACCGUUCCUUCGGCUCUGACUCAACUUUCCAAGCUUAAAUUGCUUGCAUUAUCAAAUUGCAUGAAGCUUAACUCGUUGCCUGAGCUACCAACAAGUAUAGAAGAUGGGUGGCUAGAUAGUUGUUCUUCACUUGAAGUAGUUGCAAGUCCAUCAAAAGUAUGCAAUUUAGUGUGUUGUGGUGACAUUAGUGCCAUUAACUGCUUCAAAUUGGCUGAGAAAAUCAAUGUAUUAACACUGCUGAAAGAACAUAUUAAGGUCGAUUAAUCUAUUUUUUUCUCCCUUACAAAAUCUCAUACUUGAGAAUAUAUGGUUUUAGUUACCAAACGACUUGUGUUUUAUUUUGCAGGCAUUUCCAAAAUCAAGAAAAUUUUUUGAUGAUGGCUUCUUUGAUAUUAUGAUGCCCGGAAGUGAAAUCCCAGAAUGGUUUAGCCAACAAAAAAGUGACUCUUCAAUUAAGAUACCACUUCGGAAAGAUAGUGAAUGGAUUGGAGUUGCUUGUUGCUGCAUUUUUGUCAAUAAUGAUGCUUCAAGGAAUAAGGAGUCUAUCAGCUGUAAUGGAUCUAGAGUUUUUCGAGGUAGAAAUUGUAGACCAAUUGAUUGGAGAAACCGGUGGGUAGGUCGAUACUUUCGCAAGCCCAUAAUGAAAGAUCACCUUUUUCUUCGUUAUUUUCCGCGUGAUAAAUAUGGUGACUGUGAAACCAAUAAUUUAUGGACGACAGAUUGCUUAGAUCAAAUAUGCGAUGAGCCUGAGUUGUCUUUCAGUACCUUUUUUGGACCAAAUUACCGUUGUGUUAAGGUGAAGAAGUGUGGUGUUAGAAUAGUGUAUGAGAAAGAUUUGGAAGAAAUGAAAGAGUUGCAGUGCGAUACCACUCAAUCUUCUCCAAAUUUUGAGCACAUCCACCAACACUCUGCUCACAACCAUGGAUCAGUAGGUAGCACUUCUCACAUAAAACGGAAACGUAAUAUCUAUGAAGAAAUGGAGGAAGAAGAGCCGCAACCAAAACUGAUGCAAAAUUUUUUCAAUUUUGUAAUGGACCAAUCAAGAAAGAAGCAUUAACUGAGGUAAACUACUUAACCAACUUUGUCCUAUUAAUUUUUGUUUACACAUCUUGUAUUUCAUUUAAACAAUUCUUCUAGACUUGUUUUACAUAUGAGAUAUGAUCCUUCCAUUAUAUGCCAAAACAUUUUAAAAAAUUUUAUUCAUAUUCAUAUUCAACGUCUACAUAUCUCAAAUGUUGAUAACAUUGUUUUUUAUACCAUUUAAAAUUUUAGUCACUUAAUUCAUUCCUUUUUACAUAAUCGAAAUGUGUAUAUUUUGAUUGGUUUCAUCUUUUUUUUUUUUAUUAAAAUUUUAUUUUCAUUAUAUAUAUAUAUUCACUUACAUUUAUAUUUUAUUUAUAGGUUGAAGAUGAGGUAAAUUAAAACAAAAUUGUGAGACAAAAAUAAAGACGAAGCAAGUAAUGAUAAAAUGAAAACCCUUUAAUAAGGAUCAAUCAUAAUUUCAACUGAGUUAAAAAUUAUUUUAUUUUUAUUGGAGACCAACAUAUAUUUAAUCAGUCAAAACUGUUUUUAUGUAUUACUGAGCUUAGUGGAAGAAAAUGAUGGGAAAAUGAAAUACAGAUGCGAUCCUAAGCAACAAAUACAGCUUUGCAUGAGAACCUAAUCCCAUCACCAGACUAUUUUAAGUGCUUGGAACUUGAAAAUGAGAGCUCUUGUUUAUCCUGCUCUAUCUCCUGCGACUAAUGUAAAAGAGUUACAACAAUGCAUACACAAACAAAACGAAUAUGGCGGCCUUCAGCUUCAUCAAUACACUAAAUACGCCUAGGUGAUCAAGAUGGAGGGCUAUACUUAAGAUGUUGCUCAUUGAAGCUGAUUAACUGAAAGGGAAGGAAAAAAACAAAAGAAGUGCAAGAAUUGUCAGCUCUUUGAGUCAAUUUAAUGAAGGAAAAGAUCAGGCAAGAAAAUGAUCCAUUACCAGCAGUGGAUUGUUAGCUUGAAGAUAUUGGUUGUCCACCAGAACCUCUUUUCCAUCGGACCUGUCAAAAUGUGACAAACAAAAUUUAUCAUCGACAACAUGAACUUCAAGAAAGUGCAGCAUAAAUUUGAGGACUCUCAGAGACUCCAACAAAAGAAUCACAUCUAAGAUCAGCAAGCUAAAAAUUUUAGUUAUCUAGCAGUUCAUGUCCUAAAUUACUUGCUAUGUAAGGGGCCAUAAGUGAUAGCAUCAUCAAUUUCUGGGAAAUAAAAUCCUAGGGAAUGAAACAAAAAACUGUUAUUUGAAGGUAGAAAGAAUAUUCCGAAAGCCAAAAAGAAAUGUCUAUAUCAGGUCAUACAUACUCAAUCAGCACAUAGUGCUUAUGAAGUGUAGGACAUUCUCCCAAAUCGAGAACUAAAGAAAAACAUGAUGAUUUCUAAGAAACUACAUCCAAAAACAUGUGCAAACAUGAUAGUUACAACAUAAAAGAGUACAUAAAAUGCCCCAACAACCACCGAAACUCUAAAGAGCGACAUGAAAGUACAUUAAGUGCUCAUACAUCGCAACAUGAUAAGUUGAUAACUUUGACAUUUCGUGUAUCAACUCUUUGAUUCCUGAAAUUAGGCAGAUUAAUACUUUUAUCCUUAAUCCCUUACUCUUUUAUUUUUAUUUAUUCAUCUAUAUAUCUUUGAUUAGUUUGAUUUUCGUGGAAAAGAAUUAUUGGAAUUUGGAAUCCAGGUCGCUGGUUCUGGAAGUAAUUGAGCUUGUGCAAAUCCCAAAUGUUUAAGAUAUUUGAGAAAUUUGAGUGUCUUUUGUCUACUCUCACCUUCUUGGAGUCUUCCCGGGAACAACAUCUAUAACCCCGAAUUUCCACACCUACUCCCUUUCAUUUCGAAAACUAAUGUUUUUAAUUAUUGUCUUUCAUUGUCAAGUACAUAAAAUACAAACCGUCCAACAUUUUUAACUCUCACCUUCAUGGAAAGAACAUAUCACCCGGCCCUCUUCUAUUUUUCAUAUGUUUUUCCUCAUAUAUUCAUUCUUUUCUGAUUUUGAGCACCAGAUUGAAAUAUCCUUCGCCUUUCAUACAUCCUCAUGUUAUCGUUACCUUCAACUUCUUCCUCCAUUUCUAGAAAAAAAAAAUGAUGUUUUCUUGAGUUAAAUCGGAUUUGUAGUCGAAUUGGAUAGGUUAUUAGUUUGGUGGUCCAAUGAUUUAAAAAUUAUUAAAAUUUAAAAAAGUUAAAAUAGAGUUUCGAUUCAUUUAGUUUUUAACAGGUUGAAUCAGUUCGUAUCAAUUUUCAAUCUAAUCAAUUCAAAAUCACUCAUCGAACUAAUUCUUUGUCGGCUCUUGAUCUAAUCGAUCGUUCAAUCCGAUUCAAGCAAGACUGAAUCAAUAGAUAAAAGAUGAGAAUAAUUCUUAACAACAACCUGCAAACUAUGAGAUUAAUUAUAUCUCAAAUUGAUCCAACAUAAAACAGAUAACAUACUUACUUUGUCGGCCCCUAAUUUCCACCCCUAUGCUCAUAUACUUGCUUUUCUAGUUUCUUUGUGGGUAUUGGACGAUAUAUUUUCUGAUUUUUAACACCACAUUGAGAUAUUCUUCUCCUUUCAUACAUACUCAUGUUGUCCUUACCUUCAACUUCUUCCUCCAUUUCUAAAAAGAAAUAUGAUGUUUUCUUGAGUUUUAGAGGUGAAGAUACUCGCAACAACUUCACAGAUCAUGUUUAUGAUGCUACAACUAAUAGAAAAGUCAACAAUAUUAAUUAUAUGUCUAACUAAUAACAUUAUAAAAAUAUAUGAUUAAAUUAGGUUAGAAAUUAAAUCUUAAAUUUAGGCAUAAUUAAAAAAAAAACUAAAAUUGAAAUUCUAACAUUUUCUUAUAAUGUAAAAGAAACAAUAUCCUAUACAUUAAAUUAAUAAAUUGUAUUCAUACAUAAAAUUUUAUGAUACUGAGUAGAUAUAAGUUAUUUUAGUCUGCACCUAAUGAACAUUUUAGAUGCUUCAAAUAGAACUUAAUCAUAUAAAAGGCAAAAUGUGAGGGACCGAAUUUAAAAUAACGCAUUGUCCUCCCUGACAGGUGUCUCCAAAUACUUCUUUAAUAUAUAGUUAUAUAGACAAUUAUAUGAUUAUGUAAAUGAAAGUAAAAGACAAACCGUCCAACACUCUACUUAUUACUUAGAAUUAUUGUAGGCUCCAUUUUGUCUACACCCACCUUCUUGGAUUCUUCCUGGAAAGAACAUGCAUCACCCAAUGUCCACACCUACUCGUAUUCAUUUCGAAAAUGAAAAGGUUAAAAAGAUUAAAAGAAAUUGCUUAGAAACUUCCUUUAUUCUUCCCUGAAAUUUUCAUCUGUUUUUCUCAAUCUUCACUUUCAUAUACUUACUGUUUCUAAUUUCUUUCUGGCGUAUUGAGCGAUCAAUUUUCUGAUUUUGAACACUACAUCCACAUAUGUAUUUUUCUUCUCAAACAUCGUCAUGUUGUCAUUACCUUCAUCUUCCUCAUACAUUUCUAGAAAGAAAUAUGAUGUUUUCUUGAGUUUUAGAGGUGAAGAUACUCGCAAAAACUUCACCGAUCAUCUCUAUGCUGCUCUAAAGAGGAGUGGGAUCGUCACUUUCAGGGAUGAUCCCAAGCUGGAGGCCGGUGAAGAGAUCGCGCCAGAACUCUUUAAAGCAAUUCAGCAAUCAUGGUGCUCGGUAAUUGUUUUUUCAGAAACUUAUGCCUUUUCAAGUUGGUGCUUGGAGGAGCUUGCUGAGAUUGUUCAACAACAUAACAACGACGGCCAUAAAGUGUUUCCAAUUUUUUACGAUGUUGAUCCAUCUGAUUUAAGAAAACAAAAAGGGAAAGUGGAAGAAGCCUUUGCCAGACAUGAAGAGAGAUACAAAGAAGAAAGUGAGAAGAUCCAAAGGUGGCGAAAUGCUUUAAUUCAAGNNNNNNNNNNNNNNNNNNNNNNNNNNNNNNNNNNNNNNNNNNNNNNNNNNNNNNNNNNNNNNNNNNNNNNNNNNNNNNNNNNNNNNNNNNNNNNNNNNNNNNNNNNNNNNNNNNNNNNNNNNNNNNNNNNNNNNNNNNNNNNNNNNNNNNNNNNNNNNNNNNNNNNNNNNNNNNNNNNNNNNNNNNNNNNNNNNNNNNNNNNNNNNNNNNNNNNNNNNNNNNNNNNNNNNNNNNNNNNNNNNNNNNNNNNNNNNNNNNNNNNNNNNNNNNAAACAUAUCAACAAAAUUUUACUCAAAACAUUAAAAUUUCUUUUUUUUAGGCAUGAAUCAGAAAUUAUUAGAGACAUUGUUAAGAAGAUAUCAGCAAAACUAUGUCAGACAUAUCCAGUUACUCAUAGCGACUUGGUUGGUAUUAGUGAACGCUUGGAGGAUUUGUAUUUGAAAAUAAACAUUGGGGAAGAUGAUGUCCGCGUUAUAGGAAUUUGCGGAAUGGGUGGCAUCGGUAAAACGACACUCGCAAGAGUUGCUUACACUCAAAUGUCACCUCAUUUUGAAGGUAAAAGCUUUAUUGCCGAUAUUCGAGAAGUUUCAGACAAAUGCGGCCUAGUUUCUUUACAGAAACAACUUCUUUCACAGAUCUUUCAUGGUGAAUGCUUCAACUUUUUCAAUGUUCAUGAAGGAAAUAAAAUAAUUAGCCAUAGGUUGUCUCACAAAAAGGUUCUUGUUGUUCUUGAUAAUGUUGAUAACAUACAACACCUAAAAUGCUUGAUUGGAAGGCAUGAUUGAUUCGGAUUAGGUAGCAGAAUCAUUGUAACAACAAGAGACGAACAUUUGCUUCGAUGUUGCCAAGUUAAUGAUGUGUAUAUGCCCACAACACUUAAUCCCAAAGAGGCGCUUCAACUUUUCAGUCUGAAAGCUUUUCAUAGUGAUACAGUGCAUAAAGAUGAUUUCAUUGAACUUUCUAAACAUGUUGUAAAUUAUGCUGGUGGACUCCCUUUAGCUCUUGAAGUUUUGGGCUCCUUUUUGUGCGGUAGAGAUGCGACUCAAUGGAGAAGUGCGAUUGAAAGACUUAAAAGAGAUUCUAAUAAAGAAAUUCUCGAUAAACUUCGAAUCAGUUUUGAUGGACUGGAAGAAAGGGAGAAGAAUAUAUUUUUAGAUAUAGCAUGCUUCUUCAACGGGGAGAAGAAAGAUUUUGUAAUGAAAGUAUUAGAUGGUUGUGAGUUUUUUCCCGAUAUUGGAAUUGAUGUUUUCAUUAAGAAAUCUUUAAUAAAAGUCAAUGAUGUCAACCAAUAUUUGUGGAUGCAUAGUUUGUUGCAAGAAAUGGGAAGAAAAAUUGUUAGAGAAAAAUGUGUUGAUGAACCUGGAAAACGUUGCAGAUUGUGGGAGGGAAGUGACGUCCAUCAUGUCCUAACAAAAAACACUGUAAGUCAUUCAACAAAAGUCACAUACUAUUUCUUUUCUAUCCUACAUUAUUCACCAUUUAUUUUAUUUUCUUAUUGUCUGUUCUUAAUCUUUUUUAGGCUACAGAAAUGAUUGAAGCCAUAAUCAUCGAUAAUAAAAAGUAAGAAGACACACAUAAACUUAUAUCUAUGUGUACUGUAAAUAAUUAUUAUUUUUAAAUAUGAUAAAAAAACUAUAGCAAAACUUUUGACAUUUAAUAUUUCAAUGUUCAAUUAUGAAAUUUAUCAACUAACAUAUUUACUUUUUCAAAAGAAUCAAAAGAGAAAUGUAUGUAUUUUUGAAAUAUUAAUGGUAUAUAUAUAUUUUUUGUGAAUAUUAAUGGUAUAUAUUUAAUGUACUAAAAGUGUAUAUCAGCGAAUUAGAUUAUAACAUGUCAUCAAAAUUUUUUAAUGAAAAUGGUUUCAUUUUUAAUUAUGUGUCAUUGUUUGGUUCAUUAACUUGUAAAUUAUGCAUUGUUUGCAGACCAAAUAUAAAUCAACAUAUUAAUUCAAUUUUUUAGGAUUAGGUAAUUUAACAUCGGAUGUGAUUGUUAGAUAUAAAUAUCUCUUUAAUAUGGGUAUAUUCAAAAAAAAUUUAAAAAUUAGUUUUUUCACGUAUUUAAAGGUUCUUAAAGAAUCAUAUCUUAAUACUCAUAUACGAAUGUGCAUUAGAUAUAAGUACCGGAUACGAGUACUUAAAAAACAAUAUCAAUGCAACAUUUCUUUUAGAUAUUGAAUGUUUUUGUAUAUUUUGAAGCUCAUUUUUGUUUUGCUCAUGGAUAUUAGGGAAUCGAACAAGAUGAUCAAUUUAAGUGUGGAUACCUUCUUGAAGAUGAAAAAAUUGAGAUUGCUCAAAGUGCUUUGCCUUUUAAAUUGUGAUGAUCUCAAGUAUCUUUCUAAUGAACUACGACUUUUAGAUUGGACAGGAUACCCUUUAAGAUACUUGCCUUCAAGCUUUCAACCGGAUAACCUUGUCGCACUUCUUUUACCAUAUAGUCACGUUCAACAACUAUGGAAGGGAAAUAUAGUAAGAAUUAACUCAUCUUAUCCUUGUGUUUUAGCUUAUUUUAAUAUAAAUUAUUAAACUUUGAUUAAGGUAAAACAAAAAAACAAAAAUGAGCAUUAUUAUGUUUUCUCAUUUGUUUCUAAUUUAUUAUGGUCUUCAACAGCCCUUGUUUAACUUGAAAAUAAUGAACCUCAGAGGGUCUCAAAACCUGAUCAAGACACCAGACUUCACAACCGCAUCAAAUCUUGAAGUUUUGAUUUUGGAAGGUUGUACCAAAUUAGUGGAUGUUCAUCCAUCAAUCCGGGUGCUUAAGAGCCUUAAACUUUUGAAUUUAAGAGAUUGCAAAAGUCUUAGGACUCUUCCAACCAAAAUUGGAAUGGAAUCUCUUGAAACAUUAAUUCUUUCGGGUUGCUCAAGCCUUGUAAGGUUUCCAGAGAUUGAUAGAAAAAUGGAACGUCUAAAAACUCUAGAUCUUUCUGGUUGUUAUAGAGUUGAAAAUUUAUCAGAGAAUUUGCAGCAAGCAAAGUUACGACCAAAUUUGUCUUCUCUUUUCAAGGUAAUCGUAGGAAGAAGGAAGAAUCCCAUGCCUCGUAUGUUGCCUUCGCUGUUAGGUUUGAGUUCAUUAAGAGAGCUAAAACUAAGGGACUGCAAUCUUUGUGAAGGAGAUAUUCCACGAGAUAUUUCUGGUCUAUCCUCUUUGAGACGUCUUGAUCUUAGUGGUAAUAAUUUCAUCAGCAUACCUGCAUCUCUUACUCGACUCUCGAAGCUUUCGUCUCUUGAUUUGUCAAAUUGCAACAUGGGCACUCUUGGUGAAGCAGAAAUUCACGGUCUAUCCUCUUUGAAAUGUCUUCGUCUUUGUGGUAACAAUUUCAUCACCAUUCGUUUGGCUCUUACUCAACUUUCCAGGCUUGAAUCACUUGUAUUAUCAAAUUGCAUGAAGCUUAAAUUGUUGUCUGAGCUACCGAUUAGUUUAGCAUGUGUGAUUAUAGAUGGUUGUUCUUCACUUGAAGUAGUUACAAGUCUAUCAAAAAUAUGCAAUUCAGUUAUAGCCAUUAACUGCUUCAAACUGGCUGCGAAUAUCAAUGCAAUAACACUGCUGAAAAAAUAUCUUAAGGUCGAUUAAUCUCUUAUCUCUUAUUUCUCCCUUACAAAAUCCCAUACUUGAGAAUUUACAGUUUUAGUUACCAAACGACUUGUGUUUUGUUUUGCAGGCGUUUGGAAAUUCUAGAAAAAUGUUUCAAGUAAUUAUCCCAGGAAGUGAAAUCCCAGAUUGGUUUAGCGAACAAAAAAGUGAGUCGAGUCUUCAAUUAAGGUACCCCUACCUAUCAACCUUCGAAAAGAUAGUCAAUGGGUUGGAGUUGCUUGUUGCUGCAUUUUCGUUAAUACUCAUGUUUCAACGGAUGUCCAACAUAUCGUGUUCGGAGAAUCUAUUUUUCGAGGUAGAAUUCGUCAACAGAUUAAAUGGAGAGGCAAGUUGGCGGGUAAAGGAUAUAACCAGCCCAUAAUGAAAGAUCACCUUUUUCUUUGUUAUUGGUCGCGUGAUGUAUUAGAUGUAUUUGCCUAUAAAUAUGGUUACAGUGAAACCAAUAAUUUAUGGACAACAGAUUGCUCAGAUGAGGAAUGCAAUAUGUUUGAGGUGGCGUUCACAGCUCCAGCUGGAUACAAAGCUAAGGUGAAGAAGUGUGGUGUUAGAUUAGUGUAUGAAAAAGAUUUGAAAGAAAUAAAAGAGUUGCAGUGCCAUACCACUCAAUCUUCUCCAAAUUUUGAACACAUGCACCAAUACUCUCCUCACAAUGAUGGAACAGUAGGUAGCAUUCCUCACAUAAAACGAAAACGUAACAUCUACGAGGAAGUGGAGGAAGAAGUGCCACAACCAAAACGGAUGCAAAAUUUUUUCAAUUUUAUAAUGGACCAAUCCGGGAAGAAGCACUAACUGUGGUAAACUACUCAACCAAUCUUGUCCUAUUAGUUGGUUAUUUAUUUAUUUAUUUACAUAUCUACGUUGUUUACAUCUUUUGUUUCAUUCAUUCUAGAUUUAUUUGCGUAUGAGAUAUAAUCCUUCUUAUAUUCUAUACAUUUCUUAUAUGAAUGUUGAAAUGUGUAUUCUUUUUACAUAAUUGAAAUGUGUACAUUUUGAUUGGUAUUUUUUUUCUUAAAAUUUUAUUUUCAUUAUAUAUGUUAGACCUGUCCAUGGGCCGGGCGGCCCGGCCCGGCCCGAAAUAUGGGAGGGUUUGGGUAAAAAUAUAGGCCCGAAAUAUGGGCUUGGGCAAAAUUUUAGGCCCGUUUAAAAAAUGGGCCGGGCCUCAGGCAAGUUUUUUUGGCCCGGGCCUGGCCUGGCCCAGCCCGAAAAAUAUUAAAUAUAUUUUUUUUAUUUUUAAAAUAUAAUAGUUUUUUAUUUUAAGUUUAUUUACUUUCAUUUCCUUGACUAGUGUUACAAAAUAAUAAUAAUAAAACAUCAAGUUUGUUUUACUAAUCAAAUGUUAGAUUUUGUUACAACAAUUAAUACAAUUAAUACAAUUAAUAAUUUGAUAAAUUUACUAAUCAAAUGUUAGAUUUUAUUACAACAAUUAAUACAAUUAACAAUUAAUAAUUUGAUAAUUUUACUAACAAUUAAAUUUAAUAACAAUUAGUUUUAAUUUUAUUAAAAAAUAAUUUUAAUUUUAAUUUUAAUUAAAAACGGGACGGGCCGGGCUCGGGCCUCAUAUUUUUUCUUCUGGCCGGGCCUGGGCAAAAUCUCAAGCCCAUAUUUCGGGCCCGGGCCUAAUAAAUGGGCUGAAAUUUUUGUGGGCCCGGCCCGAACCCGGCCCGGCCAGGCCCAUGGACAGGUCAAAUAUAUGUACACUUACAUUUAUAUUUUAUUUGUAACUUGAGACAGAAAUGUGGAGAAAAAUGGAUAGCUUUGGUAACAAAGCAGAUAAUAAUAACAUGAAAAUAUUUUAAUGAGGAUUAGAUCAUAAUUUCAGUUGAUUUAAAAAUCAUUUCAUUUUUAUUUGUGAUCAACUUAUAUGUUCAAUUUACUCAAUCAAAAUUGUUUUUAUAUAUUUGGAAGAUAAAAUAUAAGUCCUUACUAAUAUUUAAAUAGGUUUAAUUCCUUCUAAUAAAUAUACCAUUAAAAUUUUAAUCUAAAAUGAAAAUAAAAGAUAGGAGAACAUACAUGUACAUUUAUACACGAGUAUUAUCGAUCUUUUUUUUGUUAAAAAUGUCCAAUAAAAAACAAUGUCAAAAACCUUUAAUGCUUCAUAUUUCAAUGUUUACAUUUAUGAAAUUAAUCUACCAAUGCAUUACUUCUUCAAAAAAUGGUAUGAAUGUCCUUUAUAUUUUCGAUAACAAAAUAAAUUAUUACAAAUGUCUAUUCAAAUCUAAAGAAUUUCAUCAAUUAAAUGAAGACCUCAUUGUUAUCUAAAGUCAACUUAGCAAUAUAAUUAACUUCUAGAUUCCUUUCAUGUGAAAUAUAUUUAAAUUUUCAGUGACUAAUAUUGUCUAUCAAGUCUUGCUGAAUAUGUUGGACAAGUGCGGAGGAAGAUGUCUUUGAGAAGGAUUCUUGAAUAGCUUGAAUAGCUUCUUGACUCUACUUAUCCAAACCCUAAACAUAUUCAAUACAGCAUCACCUUUACCAAAUAAUUUUUUCUGAUCGUCUUAAAAGGAGAGCAAAAUAACUUGUGUCCGCGACAAAACUGACUAGAACCCUCAAUCUCUAUUGUAUUUCCUUUUUCUUGUGUGUGUAAUAAUGUCUUGUUUGAUCAUGCUUGUGUUGCUUUUCCUCCUGAACCUUGUAUCUUCAGAUAUCAAUCAGGGUCAGUUCUGUUUCGAUGGUUACUUGAAUGUUGAUGGAGUUGCAGGCGUAGAUUCAAGUGGGCUCUUUAAACUGACUAAUUUUACAAGGCAAACAGAAAGUCACAUCUUCUACAAGAAUCCAAUCCAAUUCAAGAACUCCACAAAUGGUAGUGUUUUCUCUUUUCCCGCCACAUCCAUUUUUGCAAUUGUAUUGAAUACCCUACUUUGUCUGGCCAUGGAUUAGCCUUUGUAGUCUCGCCUAACAAUGGAAUUCCUGGAGCUCUUCCCAGCCAGUAUCUUGGUCUUUUCAAUCAAUCAAACAACGGUAACAGAUCAAAUCAUAUUGUGGCGGUCGAGCUGGACAUAAUUAUGAGCAGCGAAUUCGAUGACAUAAACGACAACCAUGUUGGCAUCGAUAUCAAUGGCCUAAACUCAAUGGUAUCUUCUCCUGCAAGGUAUUUCACUGAUGAGGGAAAGUUCAUAAAUGUCAGCCUUAUAAGAGAGGAUCCACUGCAAAUUUGGGUUGAAUACAGUGGGACUAAAAAACGACUCCACUUUUAUCCUUGAAUCGGGAUUUGUCUCCAUAUAUUUAUGACUCUAUGUAUGUAGGUUUCUCAUCUUCCACAGGUUCUGUUUUAUCAUCACACUACAUAUUGGCAUGGAGUUUCAAGAUGAAUGGCUCAGCUGAGGAGCUAGACUUGUCUCACCUUCCAAAAGUUCCACGAUUUGUUAAUGAUAAUAAUCGAGGAAUCAAGCAAUUGAAGAAGAUUUUGGCUAUCGCCAUUUUUUUCACAGGUCUCACUUUAGUCCUCGUAUUGGUUUUCAGGUUUGUGUUGAUCUCAAGGAAGAAGAGAUUCAUGGAGAUUCUGGAGGAUUAGGAGGUUCAGUACGGGCCUCAUAGAUUCUCAUAUAAAGAUCUAUUCAAAGCAACAAAGGGGUUUAAAGAAAAGGAAGUUCUAGGGAGAGGUGGAUUUGGUAAGGUGCAUAAGGGUGUUUUACCAUCUUCCAACAUACAAAUUACCGUCAAAAGGAUCUCUCAUAAUUCAAGGCAAGGUAUGAGAGAAUUCGUGGCUGAGAUUGCAACCAUCGGUCGCCUCAGACAUCCGAAUUUGGUUAGACUUCUCGGUUAUUGCAGGCGCAAGCACGAGUUGCUUUUGGUUUAUGACUGCAUGCCUAAUGGAAGUCUUGACAAUUUUCUUUACCACCAACCUAAUAGGAGCCUUAAGUGGACACAAAGGUUUAAUAUCAUCAAGGACGUAGCGUCCGCGUUGUUCUAUCUGCACCAACAGUGGGUGCAAGUCAUCAUUCACAGAGAUAUCAAGCCUGCCAAUAUGCUGACAGUUACAUGAACGCCCGACUAGGAGAUUUCGGGCUGGCAAAAACUAUGCGACCUUGGAAAUGAUCCUCAAACCUCGCAUGUAAUAGGUGAUGGAUCCGUUCUUGACAUUUAUAGAAACUAGGCGAAACAAUAAAUUGAACCUUUUUAAAAAAUUAUAAAAUGUAAUAUAAUAAAAUAAAAUCAUAUACUAGUAAUUUCAUUAAAUAAUAUCUUUUAUGACAUUAAGCAAAUAAAAUAUUUUUCCAACAAAAUUAAAAAAAUUCUUCAAUCUACUCCUAUGUUAUCAACUACAAGAACACAAAAAAUCAUAAAUAAAAAAAUGGGCUCUACGAGCAUUCUGAGAUACAAAAUUAUUAAUGAUAACACCAACACCAAUGUUUUCCAAAAAAAUCAUUCUCGAUUGAUAAAAUUGCCAGACCAUUCAACCGUUCUUGUGACAUUGACGACCACAAGAUUCAUUUCUCUUAUAGACCCCUUUUCAACUAAAAUGUCUCUUGUUUUGUUAUCAAGACUAGCUCAAUUUCUAGGAUCAUAAAUAUCCAAAAAAGAAAUUAUUUGUUCUUCAACAAUGCUAAUAUUAGGAGGAAUUAUUUGUUCUUCAUUAAGAAUAAGAUUUUCAAUACCGGAUACAUUUAACACAUCAUUAGGUUCAUUUGGGUCAUUAAUUUCAUCAUUCUCAUUGAUAUCAUUAUGCAAACUUUCAUUUAAUUGAUCCUAUUUUUCAUUAAAAAUUACUUUAAAAAAUUAUCAAUAGCAUAUUGUUGUGAUUAUUUUAACUCUUUAGCAUGUUUUCUCUUUUUACUUUUUUCACUUUCAGAUAAAUAAUUUUUAGGCAACAUUAUAUAUAAAAGAUAAAUUAGAUACUCAAGUAACACAAGAAAAUAAAACAAUAGUACUUGAUAGAAGAAUUUCAAGUUGAAUAUUUACUUUUACAUUUGUUAAUUUCAAAAGUCAAAUUGAGCCACUAAAAUUCUAUAAAUAUAAUUAUAAAAAUCAAUUACAAAUAAACACUGUAAUUAACAAUAUCCAAUUAUUUGUGAGGAAAAUACAACUUAAAAAUUAAAUGAGUAGCAAAAACAAUUAAAAUUUCAAUUGUAUAAAGGCAUAAAGAAAAGGUAUGUAGUAGUAUGUUGUACUAUGAUUAAUCAAAGAAUGAAUUAGGGGGAGAAACUAAAUAUAAUGAUGAAUUAAUGACUUUAUUAGUUAAAAUCCAAAAAUGUCAUCAAAUUAAGAAUGAAAAGGUUACAAGAAAGAAGAGAAAGGAGGUAAAAUUAUACCUACAACAAUGGUAGAUUCGACAAACCGCGGAUGAGAGGUUCUAAAUCUUUCAAAUAUAAAAUAAAAAUUAAUAACUUUAAUUUAUUAAUGCUAAUGACGGAUGAAUGAUAUAUUACUCAAAUCAAAUUUGGUCCUAUUUAAUUUGUAGAAAAUUUCUCCCACUGCCAUGGUUAUGAGAAAAUAAAUAAGGUUGAAUGCUAGUAACGAUUGAUUUUUUUGAGAAAAAUUAAAAUUAUUUUUUAACUUUAAAGAUAGGAGUUGAAAUUUGAGAAUUAGAAGAGGUUUGGAGAAGCAAAUGAGUUGAUGAUGAAAUAAGGUUGAUUGGUGGGGCUAUAUUUUGUUGACAGGUAGGAAUCAGACCAUAACGAAAGAUCACCUUUUUCUUCGUUAUUGGUCGCGUGAUAAAUUAUUUCCAUUUUCAUUGGAGGAUAAAUAUGGUGACUGUGAGCUUGAGGUGUCUUUCUUACAUCCAUGUAAACCCAAUGCUAAGGUGAAGUGUGGUGUCAGAAUAAUGUAUGAGAAAGAUUUGGAAGAAAUAAAAGAGUUGCAGUGCCAUACCACUCUAUCUUCUCUAAAUUUCGAACACAUCCACCAACACUCUGCUCACAACCAUAGAUCAGUAGGUAGCACUUCCCACAUCAAACAGAAAAUGUAACAUCUACGAGGAAGCAGAGGAAGAAGGGCCGCAACCAAAAUGGAUGCAAAAAUAUUUCAAUUUUAUGAUGGACCAAUCGGGGAAGAAGCAUUGAUUGUGGUAAAGUACUUAACCAACCAUGUACUAUUACUUCUAUUUCAUUUGAAAUAAUCAUUUUAAAUUUAUUUAAGUAUAAGAUAUGAUCUUUUUAAUAUAUAUUAAAAAAAUAUAAAAUUUUUAGCCGUACAAUAGUAUUGAAUAUGUACAUAUCUCAAAUGUUGAUAAUAUAAUUUUUUAUACCAUUUAAAAUUUGUCACUUAAUUUACAAUUUUUUACUAUUUAAAAUUUUAGUCGUUCAAUUCAUUCCUUUUUACAUGAUUGAAAUGUGUACAUUUUAACUAGUUUUAUUUAUUUAUUAAAAUUUUGUCUUCAUUAUAUAUAUUCACUUACAUUUAUAUUUUAUUUGUAGGUUGAAGUAAAUAUAAUCAAUUUGAGAUAGAGAGAUGUGAAGAAAAAUGGAUCGUUUCAUGACAAUGCAUGUAAUAAUAAAGUUAAAAAUCCUUUAAUGAGAAUAAGAUCAUAAUUUAUGCUGAGUUAAAAACUAUUUCAUUUUUGUUUUGAGACUAAUUUAUGUGUUCAAUUUAAUCAAUCAAAAUUAUUUUUAUAUAUUUGGAAUAUUAAAUAUAAGUCAUUUACAAUACUCAAAUAGGUUUAAUUUCUUAUAAUAAAAGUAUCAUUUAAAUUUCAUGGCUUGAAGUACAAAUAAUAUUAUUCUAACUCUUUCUUUUAUAAAGUAUAUUUUAUGUUUAGACAUUUAUUUUUAACACUUAUUCAAAUAUGAAUAUAAAGAGUAUGCUCCUUUAAUUAAUUGGAAGAUCUUUUUCGUGUGAGACACGUCACAUUCAUAUCUAAUAUUUUAAAAAAAUUUAAAAGAUUCAUUUUUUGUUCAUUCUAAUAUUAGGGUUUAGAGAUAUGAUUUUGGUUGACAUGAGCAAGAUUUUCAACGGUUGUGUUUUUUAUGAUAUCAAGAAAAAUUUCUCAAUUUGAGAUAAGUUAAUAUAUGAGCGAUAUAGAUUAAUCUUUUUUCGUGAUAUCAACAAUAAAUUUUUAAUAUUAUUUUUAAUACUAUAAAAAUAUUGAAGGGUCCUACUUAUAUUUUUAGGAGAGUUAUAAUAUAUACAAAGGAGGAAAUUACAAAAAUUUUAAGCCUUAGGGGGCCUACUUAUAUUUUUGGGAGGGUCAUAUUAUAUUUACAAAGGACAAAAUUACAAAAAAAUUAAAUUUUGAAGGGCUAUGGCCCAUGGGCCUCUACAUGGCUCCGUCGUUGCAUCAAUGCAAAAUCGAGAAAGAAAUGAAUAAGACGAUCUUCUAACUCCCUACCCCAAGCCCUAAUAUAAGCAAGGGGGAAGUCAGGAAAUUUUUGAGAGGGAUCGAAAUUAAAUUGUAUUUUUUAUGAUAGUAAAAUUGCAAUUUUACCAUUUUAAUAGUUAUAUAUUUAUAAUUUUUAAAGGAUUAAAACAAAUUUUUAUCAUUUUUAGGGGAGCCAAAGUAUAAUUUUAUCAUUACAAAUUUAAAAUUUUAAGGGCCCUAAAAGGAAAAUUUCCAUUUUAGUCCUCAUCCAUUCUGUAAGUUGAUCUUAUUUAACCAUCAAAUUUUAUAAAAAAAUUUAUUUUAGUCAUUUAUUUAAUUUUUUUAUCUUUUUAGCUUUUUAACUUGUGUUUUCUAUCAAAUCACCCUAAAAUUUGAUGAAUAAGUUAAAUUUUUUAACUUUACUGAUAUAGCAUACAUGUAUAUUGCCACAUGGAUGACAUAUCAUCAUUUAAUUUAUUUUUUAAAAUUUCAAAAAAUAAAAAAUAUAUUUUUAAAAAUUAAAAUAUUAAAAAUUUAAAAAAUAUUUUUAAAAUUUAAAAUAUUAAUUAAAUACUAACAUGUUAUCUGUAUGGUAAUCCGUAAAGUGAAUAAACAUUAAUUUUUUUAUCUAUUUUAAUGAGACCGAAAAUUCAUUUUUUUUCUUUUUAAAAUUACAUGACCGAAAAUUCAUUAUGACUUAUUUAUAUUCAGCGGAAGAAAAUUAAUUUGGGUUUGUGAUAAGAAAAAUAAUUGGUGAAGCCGUGAAGGUGACAUCAUUCAUUACACAACUCCUUUUUCCUUCAAUGGGAACGUUUUGUUGCGGCCAUAAUUCAUUGUCGGUGGUAGAGGUGUUGAUGGUGGAGUGGUCAUUCGAAACCAUUGCCUAAUUGUGACUAAUUAGGUAAGGAAUUCACUCAAAGUAAUUAUUCUAGGGUCCAUUUUAUCAACACCCACCUUCUUGGAUUCACAUGCAUCACUCAUUUAUGACCCCCCAAUUACCACAACUACUCGCGUUCAUUUGGAAAAUGAAAAGGUUAUAGAAAAAUUGCUUAGAAACCACCUUCAUUCUUCCCUGGAAAUUUGAUCUGUUUCUACUUUCUUUCAGCCGUAUUGAGCGAUCAGUUUUCUGAUUUUCAACACUACAUCCACAUAUAUAUUUUUUUCUCGCACAUUGUCAUGUCGUCAUUACCUUCAACUUCUUCGUCCAAUUCAAGAAAGAAAUAUGAUGUUUUCUUGAGUUUUAGAGGUGAAGAUACCCGCAACAACUUUACCGAUCAUCUCUAUGAUGCUUUAAGUAGGAGUGGGAUCGUCACUUUCAGGGAUGAUCCAAAGCUGGAGGCCGGCGAAGAGAUCUCGCCAGAACUCUUUACAGCAAUUCAGCAGUCAUGGUGUUCGGUAAUCGUUUUUUCACAAACUUAUGCCUUUUCAAGUUGGUGCUUGGAGGAGCUUGCUGAGAUUGUUAAACAACAUAACAACGACGGCCAUAAAGUGUUUCCAAUUUUUUACGAUGUUGAUCCAUCUGAUUUAAGAAGACAAAAAGAGAAAGUGGAAGAAGCCUUCGCUAAACAUGAAAAGAGAUACAGAGAAGAUAGUGAGAAGAUCCAAAGGUGGCGAAAUGCUUUAAUUCAAGUGGCUGGAAUCAAGGGAUGGCAUUUAAAUAACAGGUAACUCUUUCUUUUCUUCUCUAUUUUCUAUUUUGGGAUAUAUAUGUAUAACUUUGUUUUUUCUUUCUAAUCCUAUGUGUUUAAUUGAAAAGUGUCUUGGUUGUUGUUUGCUUCGAAACUAUAGUAUGUUUCACGAUUCAUUGAAAAAGAAAGUGCAUUUGAUAAUAUGAAACAAAAAUUAUUCAAAAAAUUAAAAUUUCAUUUCUUGUAGGCAUGAAUCAGAAUUUAUUAGAGAGAUUAUUAAGAAGAUAUCAGCAAAACUAUGUCACCCAGUUACUCAUAGUGACUUGGUUGGAAUGACUGAACGCUUGGAGGAUUUAUAUUUGAAAAUAAACAUUGGGGAAAAUGAUGUCCGCAUUAUAGGGAUUUGCGGAAUGGGUGGUAUCGGUAAAACAACACUCGCAAGACUUGCUUAUAAUCAAAUGUCACAUCAUUUUGAAAGUAAAAGCUUUAUUGCUGAUAUUCGAGAAGUUUCAGACAAAUGUGGAUUAGUUUCUUUACAGAAACAGCUUCUUUCGGAGAUUUUUCAUGAUGAAUGCUUCGAAUUUUUCAAUGUUCAUGAAGGGAAUGAUAUAAUUAGUCAUAUGUUGUCUCGCAAAAAGGUUCUUGUUGUUCUUGAUGAUGUUGAUAACAUUCAACACUUAAAAUGCUUGGUUGGAGGGCAUGAUUGGUUCGGAUUAGGGAGUAGAAUCAUUGUAACAACAAGAGACGAACAUUUGCUUCAAUCUUGCCAAGUUGACGAUGUGUAUAUACCCACAACAUUGAAUACCACAGAUGCGAUUCAACUUUUCAAUUUGAAAACUUUCCGUAGUGAUACAGUGCCGAAAGAUGAUUUUAUUGAGCUUUCUUACCAUGUUGUAAGUUAUGCUGGUGGGCUCCCGUUAGCUCUUGAAGUUUUAGGUUCCUUUUUGUGCGGUAGAGAUGCUGCUCAAUGGAGAAGUGCGAUUGAAAGACUUAAAAGAGAUUCUAAUAAAGAAAUUCUUAAUAAACUUCGGAUCAGUUUUGAUGGAUUGGAAGAAAGAGAGAAAAAUAUAUUUCUAGAUAUAGCAUGCUUCUUCAACGGGGAGAAGAAAGAUUUUGUAAUGAAAGUAUUGGAUGGUUGUGAGUUUUUCCCCGAUAUUGGAAUUGAUGUUCUCAUUAAGAAAUCUUUAAUAAAAGUCGAUGAUGGCAACCAAUAUUUGUGGAUGCAUGACUUGUUGCAAGAAAUGGGAAGAAAAAUUGUUAGAGAAAAAUCUAUUGAUGAACCUGGAAAAUGUUGCAGAUUGUGGGAGGAAACAGAUGUCCAUCAUAUCCUAACAAAAAACACGGUAAGUUACUCAACAAAAGUUACAUACUAUUUUUUUUUAUAGAAUAUCUAAUAAUAUAUGAUAUAAAUUCAAAGCUUAGUAUAAUUGGUUGAUACAACAUCCAUAAAAAGUGUUAUUUGGUACUUUUGAGAUAAAUUAUGUUUGAUGUUUACAAAUGUUAACAAAAAUUUAUAGAAAAAAAAUUUAAUUUCAUUGCAUUACCCUCAUUAGAAACUGUUUUACUUUGUUUAAAAUGCUUUAUUUAUUAUAUUUCGAGCAUAAUAAUGCUAGAAGUUUAAUUUUACAUUAUACACCAUUUAUUUUAUUUUCUUAUUUUCAAUUCUAAAUUUUUUUAGGCCACAGAAAUGAUUGAAGGCAUAUUCAUCAAUAAUAAAAGGUAAGAAAGUGCAUAUAAGUUUAUAUCUUUGUGUAUUAUAAAUGAUGAUUUUAUUUAUUUUAAAUGUGAUAAGAAACUAUAGCAAAACCUUUGACAUUCAAUAUUUUCAAUGUUUAAUUAUGAAAUUUAUCUAGCACAUAUUACUCUUUUAAAAGAAUCAAUAUUGAAAUGUGUAUAUCUUUGUGAAAUAUUAUGGUAUAUAUUUAAUGCACUAAUAGUGUAUACACCAAUGAAUUAGAUUGUAACAUGUCAUCCAAAUUUUUUUUAAAAUGAAUAUGGUUUUAUUUUUAAUUAUGUAUCAUUGAACCAUAUAGAAUUAUGCAUUGUUGGCUGACCAAAUAUAAAUCAAAAUAUUAAUUCACAUUUUUUAGGGUUUGGUAAUAUAACGUCAGAUGUGUGGUUGUUAGAUAUGUGUAUAUCUUCAGUAUUGGUACAUUCAAUUUUUUAAAGAAUUUUUUCAUGGAUUUAAAGAGUUCUUAAAGGAUCUUAAUAUCGAUAUUCGGAUAUGCAUUAGAUAAAAGUAUAGGAUACGGGUACAUAAAAAAACGACAUCGAUACAACAUAGCUCUUAGAUAUUGAAUGUUUUAAUUUCUAUACUCUUAAGCUCAUUUUUGUUUUCCUCAUGGAUAAAAGUAUUGGAUACAGGUACUUAAAAACAAUAUCAAUGCCACAUAGCUUUUAGAUAUUGAAUGUUUUUGUAUAUUCUAAAGCUCGUUUUUAUUUUGUUCAUGGCUAUUAGGGAAUCAAGCAAGGUGCUCAGCUUGAGUGUCAAUGCCUUCUCAAAGAUGAAAAAAUUGAGAUUGCUCAAAGUGCUUUGCCUCUCAAAUUGUGAUGAUCUCAAAUAUCUUUCUAAUGAACUACGACUUUUAGAUUGGAAAGGAUGCCCUUUACGAUCGUUGCCCUCAAGCUUCCAACCAGACAACCUUGUCGCACUUCUUUUACCAUAUAGUAACAUUAAACAACUAUGGAAGGAAAAUAGAGUAAGAAUUAACUCAUUUGGUCAUUGUGUUUUAGCUUAUUAUAAUAUAAAUGAUUAAAUUUUGAUUAAGAUAAAAAAUAAAAAUGAGCAUUAUUAUAUUAUCUCAUUUGUUUCUAAUUUAUUAUGGUCUUCAACAGCCCUUGUAUAAGUUGAAAAUGAUGAACCUUGAAGGGUCCCAAAACCUGAUCAAGACACCAGACUUCACAACAGCACCAAAACUUGAAGCUUUGAUCAUGAAAGGUUGCACCAAAUUAGUGGAUUUUCAUCCAUCAAUUGGAAUGCUUAAGAGCCUUAAACUUUUGAAUUUAAGAGAUUGCAAAAGUCUUAGGACUCUUCCGACGAUAAUUGGAAUGGAAUCUCUUGAAACAUUAAUUCUUUCGGAUUGCUCAAGUCUUGUAAGGUUUCCAGAGAUUGAUGGGAAAAUGGAACGUCUAAAAACUCUAGAUCUUUCUGGUUGUUAUAGAGUUGAAAAUUUAUCGGAGAAUUUGCUGCAAGCAAAGUUUUUGGAAGAGCUCGACUUGAGUGAAACAGCCAUAACAGAACCACCAUCCUUCAUUUUUCAAUUUAAAAAUCUUAAAGUUCUGUCUUUCAAUGGGUGCAAGGGACCAUCAUAUAAGUUACGACUAAAUUUGCCUUCUCUUUUCAAGGUAAUCCAAGGCAGAAGGACGAAUCCCAUGGCUCGGAUGUUACCUUCAUUGUCAGGUUUGAGUUCAUUAAGAGAGUUGAAUCUAAGGGACUGCAAUCUUUGUGAAGGAGAUCUUCCACGUGAUAUUUCUGGUCUAUCUUCUUUGAUACAUCUUGAUCUUAGUGGUAACAAUUUCAUCAGCAUACCUGUAUCUUUUACUCGACUCUCAAAGCUUAAAUUGCUUGCAUUAUCAGACUGCUUGAAUCUUAAAUCGUUGCCUGAACUUCUAAAAAGUAUAAAAACGGUGUGGAUAGAUGGUUGUGCUUCACUUGAAGUAGUUGCAAGUCCAUCAAAAGUAAGCAAUUUAGUGGAUUCGGCUGCCGUUAGCGCCAUUAACUGCUUCAAAUUGUCUGAGAAUAUCUAUGCAUUAACACUGCUGAAAACACAUCUUAAGGUCGAUUAAUCUCCUUAUUUUCCCUUACAAAAUCUCAUACCAGAGAAUUUAUGGUUUUAGUUACCAAACGACUUGUGUUUUAUUUUGCAGGCAUUUGCAAAUUCAAGGAAAAGGUUUGAUAUUACUAUGCCUGGAAGUGAAAUCCCAGAAUGGUUUGAUAUUAUUAUGCCCGGAAGUGGAAUCUCAGAAUGGUUUAGCCAACAAAAAAGCGACUCUUCAAUUGAUUCUAUUAAGAUACUCCUACCUAUCAACCUUCGGAAAGAUAGUGAAUGGAUUGGAGUUGCUUGUUGCUGCAUUUUUGUUAAUAAUGAUGCUUCAACGGAUGACGAGCUUCUCAAUUGUAGAGCAUCUGUCAAUUGUGGAGAGAUUAGUCGGAAACGCUGGAAUAUGGGUAAACGAUUUAACGAGCCCAUAAUGAAAGAUCACCUUUUUCUUCGUUAUUGGUCGCGUGAUAAACUAUAUCCAUUUUCAUUUGAGGAUGAAUAUGGUGACUUUGAAACCAAUCAUUUAUGCGAUGAUGAGCUUGAGGUGUCUUUCAGUGGAAGCAGUGCUAAGGUGAAGAAGUGUGCUUUUAGAAUAGUGUAUAAGAAAGAUUUGGAAGAAAUAAAUGAGUUGCAGUGCCAUAGCACUCAAUCUUCUCCAAAAUUUGAACACAUCCACCAACACUCUGCUCGCAACGAUGGAUCAAUAGGUAGCAUUUCCUACACAAAACGAAAACGUAAUAUCUACGAGGAAGCGGAGGAAGAAAGGCCGCAACCAAAAUGGAUGCAAAAAAUUUUCAAUUUUAUAAUGGGCAAUUCGAAGAAGAAGCAUCAAUUGUUGUAAACUACUUAUCUCACCUUGUCCUAUUACCUUUUUUUUUACACAUUUACGUUUUUCCAUCUUUUAUUUCAUUUAAAAUAAUCAUUCUAGACUUAUUUGGAUAUGAGAUAUGAUUCUUCUAUUAUAUAUCUUUUAUUCUUACUCAUAUUUUGUACAUAUCCCAAAUGCUUCGGUGACAAAAAGUAAUAAUAAGGUGAAAAUCCUUUAAUGAGGAUUGAAUUAUAAUUUGGGCCACCUUAAAAAUCAUUCCAUUUUUAUUUAAGAUCAACUUAUGUGUUUAAUUUAAUUAGUCAAUUUAUAUAUAUAUAUUUGAAAGAUUAAAUAUAGUCCUUAAUAGUAUUUAAAUAGGUUUAAUUCCUUCUAAUAAAAGUACCACUUAAAUUUCGUGAUUUGAUUUACAAAUAAUAUUAUUUCAACUCUUCGAUAUAUAAUUUUUAUUAAGUAUUUAUGAUUUUUGGUCGACAUGAUUGUGUUUCCUAUAUCAAUAAAAAUUCCUCAAUUUGAGAUAAUUAAGUUAAUAUGCUAGUGAUAUAAAUGAUCUAAAUGCAACCAAAAUAAUCUUGGUGUUUUAUGUUUGUCCCUAGACCAAUAGAAGCAUGGCAGGCUCAAAGGAUCAUACAAGUGAGGGGCCAACAGAAGUCAGGUUGAAAUGGAAGUGGAUACUUUAGCAUUUAUAGGCUCAAUGAAUUAAUUAGGGAAUUAGGAUUUCGAGAAAUAGAUUAUGAUAUUAUAUAAUUAGUUGCUUUUUACAUGUAGUGUAAUGUAAUGCAAGUUAUACUAUUUUAAACCAACUUUUUGAAUUUGUUGUUUGUAAAAUGUAAUUCAAAUAGUAAUUUAAUUGUAAGGUCAAUAAUACCUUUUGAAUUAAGUGGUGUAGUCGUAAACUAAUUAAUUGAGAACAAAAUUUAAGUAUUUAUUGCAUAAAACAGAAAUUAAAAGAUAGAAUUCAUCAUAAGGUUCAUCUCCCCUAGGUAUUUAGAAAAUUAGUUCAUAAUUGCAAAUAAAAACAUUCAAAAGAUAGUAUAACCACAAGAAACAAAGAAACUCAUAAUAAACUUCAAAGAAAUCAAAAAUUUUAAUAGUUUAUAUAUUUAUAAUUUUUAUCAUUUUAAUAGUUUAUAUAUUUAUAAUUUUUAAAAGAUUAAAUUAAAAUUUUAUUAUUUUUAAGGGAGCCAAAGUGUAAUUUUAUCAUUACAAAUUUAAAAUUUUAAGGGCCCUAAAAGGAAAAUUUCCAUUUUAAGGGGUCGGUGCCAUCUAAAAAGAAAAGAGAAUAUAAAUAAAAAAUAAAAAACAAAAAACCAUUCACGGCUUAGUCCUCAUCAUUCUGUAAGACCUCCAGGUCGAAUGAUUUAUUUAAGCAUCAAAUUUUAUUAAAAAAUUAUUUUAGUCAUUUAUUUAAUUUUUUUUAUAUUUUUAGUUUUUUAAUUUGUAUUUUUUAUCAAAUCACCCCAAAAUUUGAUGAAAAAGUUAAUUUUUUAAUUUACUGAUAUAACAUACAUGUAUAUUACCAUAUGAAUGACAUAUCUUCAUUUAAUUAAUUUUUUAAAAUUUAAAAAAAUUAAUUAAAUACUAACAUGUCAUCCGCGUGGUAAUUCACGAGUAUACCAUAUCAAUAAAGAGAAUAAAUAUUAAUUUUUUAUUUAUUUUAAAGUAAUUUCACAAAAAAUUCAAAUUCCAGAGUUAUAGAGAAAGCAAGUAAAGCACACACUUAAGAACAGUUGCAAUUAUUGUAGGCUCCAUUUUAUCAACACCCACCUUGUUGGAUUCAUAUGCAUCACUCAUUUAUGGCCCCCCACUUUCCACAACUACGCGCAUUCAUUUGGAAAGUGAAAAGGUUAUAGAGAAAUUGCUUAGAAACCACCUUUAUUCUUCCCUGGAAAUUUGAUCUGAUUCUAGUUUCUUUCAGACGUAUUGAGCUAUCAGUUUUCUGAUUUUCAACACUACAUCCACAUUUUUUUUUCUCUCACAUCGUCAUGUCGUCAUUACCUUCAACUUCUUCGUCCAAUUCUAGAAAGAAAUAUGAUGUUUUCUUGAGUUUUAGAGGUGAAGAUACCCGCACCAACUUUACCGAUCAUCUCUAUGAUGCUUUAAGUAGGAGUGGGAUCGUCACUUUCAGGGAUGAUCCAAAGCUGGAGGCCGGUGAAGAGAUCGCGCCAGAACUCUUUACAGCAAUUCAGCAAUCAUGGUGUUCGGUAAUCGUUUUUUCACAAACUUAUGCCUUUUCAAGUUGGUGCUUGGAGGAGCUUGCUGAGAUUGUUAAACAACAUAACAACGACGGCCAUAAGGUGUUUCCAAUUUUUUACGAUGUUGAUCCAUCUGAUUUAAGAAAACAAAAAGAGAAAGUGGAAGAAGCCUUUGCUAGACAUGAAGAGAGAUACAAAGAAGAUAGGGAGAAGAUCCAAAGGUGGCGAAAUGCUUUAAUUCAAGUGGCUGGAAUCAAGGGAUGGCAUUUAAAUAACAGGUAACUCUUUCUUUUCUUCUCUAUUUUCUAUUUUUUGGGAUAUAUAUGUAUAAACUUUUUUCUUUCUUUCUAAUCCUAUGUGUUUAAUUGAAAAGUGUCUUGGUUCUUGUUUGCUUCCAAACUAUAUAAUGUUUCAUGAUUCAUUGAAAAAGAAAGUGCAUUUGAUAAUAUGAAACAAAAAUUAUUCAAAAAAUUAAAAUUUCUUUUCUUGUAGGCAUGAAUCGGAAUUUAUUAGAGAGAUUAUUAAGAAUAUAUCAGCAAAACUAUGUCACCCAGUGACUCAUAGUGACUUGGUUGGAAUGACUGAACGCUUGGAGGAUUUAUAUUUGAAAAUAAACAUUGGGGAAAAUGAUGUCCGCAUUAUAGGGAUUUGCGGAAUGGGUGGUAUCGGUAAAACCACACUCGCAAGACUUGCUUAUAAUCAAAUGUCACAUCAUUUUGAAAGUAAAAGCUUUAUUGCUGAUGUUCGAGAAGUUUCAGACAAAUGUGGAUUAGUUUCUUUACAGAAACAACUUCUUUCGGAGAUUUUUCAUGAUGAAUGCUUCAAAUUUUUCAAUGUUCAUGAAGGGAACGAUAUAAUUAGUCAUAUGUUGUCUCGCAAAAAGGUUCUUGUUGUUCUUGAUGAUGUUGAUAACAUUCAACACUUAAAAUGCUUGGUUGGAAGGCAUGAUUGGUUCGGAUUAGGGAGUAGAAUCAUUGUAACAACAAGAGAAGAACAUUUGCUUCGAUCUUGGCCAGUUGAUGAUAUGUAUGAGCCCACAACAUUGAAUCCCAAAGAUGCUCUUCAACUUUUCAGUCUGAAAGCUUUUCAUGGUGAUACAGUGCCGAGAGAUGAUUUCAUUGAGCUUUCUUACCAUGUUGUAAAAUAUGCUGGUGGGCUCCCGUUAGCUCUUGAAAUUUUGGGUUGCUUUUUAUGCGGUAGAGAUGCUACUCAAUGGAGAAGUGCAAUUGAAAGACUUAAAAGAGAUUCUAAUAAAGAAAUUCUCGAUAAACUUCGAAUCAGUUUUGAUGGACUGGAAGAAAGGGAGAAGAAUAUAUUUCUAGAUAUAGCAUGCUUCUUCAAUGGGGAGGAGAAAGAUUUUGUAAUGAAAGUAUUGGAUGGUUGUGAGUUUUUCCCAGAUAUUGGCAUUGAUGCUCUCAUUAAAAAAUCUCUCAUAAAAGUCGAUGAACACAAAUAUUUGUGGAUGCAUAACUUGUUGCAAGAAAUGGGAAGAAAAAUUGUUAAAGAAAAAUGUGUUGAUGAACCUGGAAAACGUUGCAGAUUAUGGGAGGAAAGAGACGUCUAUCAUGUCCUAACAAAAAACACUGUAAGUCAUUUAACAAAAGUUACAUACUAUUUCUAUUUUGUUAUAUAAUAUCAAAUCAAUAUAUGAUAUAAACCCAAAGCUUAGUCUAAUUGGUUGAUACAACUAUUCUUAAAAAGUGAUCUUUAGUAAUUUUGAGAUUACAAAUAUUAAAAAGGAUUUGUAGAAAUAAAUAUUUAAUUUCAUUGCAUUGCCCUCUUUAGAGGAUAUAUAAUAUUUGUAGAAAUUGUUUUACUUCGUUUAAAAUGCUUUAUUUAUUAUAUUUAGAAUAUAAUAAUGCUAAAUAAAAAUGUAAGUUUUUAAAAGUUUUAUCCUACAUUAUACACCAUUUAUUUUGUUUUCUUAUUUUCUAUUCUUGAUUUUUCUUAGGGUACAAAAAUGAUUGAAGGUAUAAUCAUCAAUAAUAAAAGGUAAGAAGACACAUAAAACUUAUAUUUAUGUGUACUGUAAAUAAUUAUUUUGUUUUCUUAAAUAUGAUAAGAAAUUAUAGCAAAAUCUUUGAUACUCAAUAUUUCAAUGUUUAAUUAUGAAAUUUAUUUAGUAGCGUAUUACUCUUUCAAAAGAAUCAAUAGAGAAAUGUAUGUCUUUUUGAAAUAUUAAUAGUAUAUCAAUGAAUUAGAUUAUAACAUAACUUUUAGAUAUUGAAUGUUUUUGUAUAUUGUGAAGCUCAUUUUCAUUUUGUUUUAUUCAUGAUUAUUAGGGAAUCGAGCAAGAUGCUCAACUUGAGUGUCGAUGCCUUCUCAAAAAUGAAAAAGUUGAGAUUGCUCAAAGUGCUUUGCCUAUCAAAUUGUGAUGAUCUCAAAUUUCUUUCUAAUGAGCUACGGCUUUUAGAUUGGAAAGGAUACCCUUUAAGAUCGUUGCCUUCAAGCUUCCAACCGGACAACCUUGUUGCACUUCUGUUACCAUAUAGUCGCAUUCAACAACUAUGGAAGGGAAAUAGAGUAAGAAUUAACUCAUCUCAUCCUUGUAUUUUAGCUUAUUUUAAUAUAAAUGAUUAAACUUUGAUUAAGGUAAAAAGACAAAAAUAAGCAUUAUUAUGUUUUCUCAUUUGUUUCUAAUUUAUUGUGAUCUUCAACAGCCCUUGUGUAAGUUGAAAAUCAUGAACCUGGAAGGGUCCCAAAACCUGAUCAAGACACCAGACUUCACAACGGCAUCAAAUCUUGAAGUUCUAAUAUUGAAAGGUUGUACCAAAUUAGUGGAUGUUCAUCCAUCAAUCGCAGUACUUAAGAGCCUUAAAGUUUUGAAUUUAAGAGAUUGCAAAAGUCUUAGGAGUCUUCCGACCAUAAUUGGAAUGGAAUCUCUUGAAACAUUAAUUCUUUCCGGUUGCUCAAGUCUUGUAAGGUUUCCGGAGAUUGAUGGGAAAAUGGAACGUCUAAAAACUCUAGAUCUUUCCGGUUGUUUUAGAGUUGAAAAUCUAUCGGAGAAUUUGCAGCAUGCAGAGUUUUUGGAAGAGCUCGACUUGAGUGAAACAGCCAUAACAGAACUACCAUCCUUCAUUUUUCAAUUUAAAAAUCUUAAAGUUCUGUCUUUCAAUGGAUUCGAAAGAGGAAGGACAAAUUCCAUCGCUCCGAUGUUGCCUUUGUUGUCAGGUUUGAGUUCAUUAAGUAAGCUAAAACUAAGGGACUGCUAUCUUUGUGAAGGAGAUAUUCCAAGUGAUAUUUCUGGUCUAUCCUGUUUGAAAGAACUUGAUCUUAGUGGUAACAAUUUCAUCAGCAUACCUGCAUCUCUUACUCGACUCUCCAAGCUUGAAGAGCUUAUAUUGUCAAAUUGUAACAUCUGCACUCUUGGUGAAGCAGAUAUUCAUGGUCUAUCCUCUUUGAAAUGGCUUUUUCUUAACGGUAACAAUUUCAUCACCGUUCCUUUGCCUCUGACUCAACUUUCCAAGCUUAAAUUGCUUGCAUUAUCAAAUUGCAUGAAGCUUAACUCGUUGCCUCAGCUACCAACAAGUAUAGAAGAUGUGUGGCUAGAUGGUUGUUCUUCACUUGAAGUAGUUGCAAGUCCAUCAAAAGUAUGCAAUUUAGUGGAUUCGGCUGCUAUUUUACCCUUUAACUGCUUCAAAUUGGCUGAGAAUAGCAAUGCAUUAACACUGCUGAGAAAACAUCUUAAGGUCGAUUAAUCUCUCUUUUUCUCACUUACAAAAUCUCAUACUUGAGAAUUUAUGGUUUUAGUUACCUAACGACUUGUGUUUUAUUUUGCAGGCAUUUGCAAAUUCAAGAAAAAUGUUUGAUAUUAUCAUGCCAGGAAGUGAAAUCCCAGAAUGGUUUAGCCAACAAAAAGGUGACUUCUUUAUUAAGAUUCCCUUACCGAUUAACCUUCAAGAGGAUAGUGAAUGGAUUGGAGUUGCUUGUUGCUGCAUUUUUGUCAAUAAUGAUGCUUCAAGGGAUGUGGCCUUUAUCGACUGUGGAGCGUUAAUGUAUGGUAGAAACCGUCGGCAGAUUGAGAGGAGAGGCUAUUUGGUGGGUAAACGAUACAACAAGCCCAUAAUGAAAGAUCACAUUUUUCUUCGUUAUUGGUCGCGUGAUAAAUUAUAUCCAGUUUCCUUGAAGGAUAAAUAUGGUGGCUGUGAAACCAAUAAUUUACGGACAACAGAUUGCUUAGAUCAUAAACAUGAUGGGCUUCAUGUGUUUUUCAAUGGUCAUAGCCUUAAAGUGAAGAAGUGUGGUGUUAGAAUAGUGUAUGAGAAAGAUUUGGAAGAAAUGAAAGAGUUGCAGUGCGAUACCACUCAAUCUUCUCCAAAUUUUGAGCACAUCCACCAACACUCUGCUCACAACCAUGGAACAGUAGGUAGCAGUUCUCACAUAAAACGGAAACGUAAUAUCUAUGAGGAAAUGGUGGAAGAAGAGCCGCAACCAAAACGGAUGCAAAAUUUUUUCAAUUUUAUAAUGGGCCAAUCAGGGAAGAAGCAUUAACUGUGGUAAACUACUUAACCAUCCUUCUUACAUACCAAAAACUUAUAAAUCUUUUACUUAUAUUCAACAGGAGCUCAUAUUCCGUACAUAUCACAAUUGUUGAUAACAUAGUUUAUAUAUAUCAUUUAAAAUUUUAGUCGCUUAAUUCAUUCCUUUUUAUAUAACUGAAAUGUGUAAAUUUUGAUGGUUUCAUUUUUUAUUAAAAUUGUAUUUUCAUUAUAUAUACACUUACAUCUAUAUUUUAUUUGUAGGUUGAAAUAAAUAUAAUCAACUUGAGAUAGAAAUGUUGAGAAAAAUGGAUAGUUUCCGUGACAAAACAGGUAACAAUAAGGUGAAAUCCUUUAAUAAAGGCCAGAUCAUGAUUUUCAACUGUUGUGUUUUUUGUGAUAUUAACAAAAUUUUCUUGAUUUGAGGUAAGUUAAUAUACCGGUGAUAGAGAAAGGAUUAUAUGAAACUAUGGUUCCACGUCAUUCCUAUACAUUUUCAAUAGGAGAAUGACAACUCAAAAUUUUAGUAUUUUUAGUUGAAUUUGAAUUUGUCGGGAGGAAAAAGUUGAAAAUCGGGAGGAAAAAUCUGUUUUGUUAUUCUUCUAUUAGAAGGUGAUAUGAAUGAUUUAAAAUCACAGUUUCAUAAAAUCCCUUAAAAUCCCUUCUCACCAGUGAUGUAGAUGAUCUCAAUGCAACAAAAAUAACCUUGGUGUUUUAUGUUUGUCCCCUAGGCUAAUAGAAGUAUGAAAGUUUGGUCAAAGGAUCAUGCAAGUGAGGGACCAACAAAAGUCUUCAAGCUGAAAUGAAAGCGGACACUUUAGCAAUUAUAGGCUGGGAUGAAUUUAGAGAAAUAGAUUAUGUUAUUACAUAAUUAGUUGUUUUUUUACAUGUAAUGUAAAUUAUAGUAUUUUAAAUCGACCUUUUGAAUUUGUAAUGUAAAUUCAAAUAGUAAUUUAAUUGUAAUGUAAAUAAAACCUUUUAAAUUAGGCAUAAUGACAAAAAAGGUUCUUAGUGUUUAUAAAAUUUGACAAUUUAACCCUUAUUUUUUUAAGCAAUUUAGCUCUUAACAUUUUAUUUUGAGUCAAAUUAUGGAUUUUUUAAUGCAAAAUGCUUAUUGAACUAUUAACAGUGUUGACUUGACAUGAAUAGUGAAUUCAUUCCUUUUUACAAAUUUUAGUCACUCAAUUCAUUCCUUUUUACAUAAAUGAAAUGUGUACUUUUUUUUAAUUUUAUUAUAUAUAUAUAUAUAUAUAUAUAUUAACUUACAUGUAGGUUGAAGUUAAUCUAAUCAACUUAAUACUGAAAUAUUAAAAAAAAUGGAUAUCUUUUGUGACGAAGCAGGCAAAAAUAAAAUGAAUCCUUUAAUAAGGAUUAAUCAUUAUUUCAGCUGAGUUAAAAAUCAUUUCAUUUUUAUUAGAGAUUAAUUUAUGUGUUCAAUUUAAUCAGUCAAAAUUAUUUUUAUAUAUUGGGAAGAUUAAAUAUAAGUCCUUAAUAGUACUUAAAUAGGUUUAAUUCCUUCUAAUAAAAGUAACAUUUAAAUUUCAUGGCUUGAAGUACAAAUAAUAGUAUUCCAACUCUUUUAGUUUAUAUUGUUUAUACAGUAUUUAUAUUUAAACAUUUAUUUUUAACACUGAUUCAAACAUGAAAAUAAAGUAUGCUCUUUUAAUUAAUUGGAAAAUAUUUUUUGCGUGUGAGGCUUAUUCAACCUUUUUUUUUUUUUUACUUCAAUAGAUUUAUUUUUUGUUCUUGUCUAAUUUCCCUUUUCUGUUCUUGACAGUGGUUGUGUUUUCUGUAAUAUCAACAAAACUUUCUCAAUUUGAGGUAAGUUAAUAUACCAAUGAUAAUGAUGAUAUCAAUGCAACAAAAAUAAUUUUGGUGUUUUAUGUUUGUCCCCUAGACCGGUAGAAGCAUGGCUCAAAGGAUAAUGCAAGUAAGGAAUCGACAAAAGUCAAGUUGAAAUGGAAGUCAACACUUUCGCAUUUGGAUGAAUUUAGAAAAUUACGAUUUCAAAAAAUAGAUUAUGUUAUUAUAUAAUUUGUUAUUUUUUACUUGUAAUGUAAUGUAAACUAUACUAUUUUAAAUGGGGUUUUUGAAUUUUUUGCUUGUAACAUAUAAAUUUAAUUGUAAUGUUAAUAAAACCUUUUAAAUAGGUAUAAUGACAAAAAAAUGUUCUUAGCAUUUAUAAGAUUUUAUUUUGAGUUAAACUAUAAAUUUUUUUAUUGCAAAAUGCUGAUUAAACCGUUGACGUGAUAUGAAUAGUAAACUCUUUUUAAGGUUGGUCUCAAUUGGAUCAUCUUUCACAAUAGCCUUAUUUAUGUUUAUUAUGUUUUCUCAUUUGUUUCUAAUUUAUGAUGGUCUUCAACAGCUCUUGUAUAAGUUGAAAUGCGGCUGAGAUGGGAUUGCAUGUGGGAUUCUCGAGGGUGGAGAUCGAAGGAGACUCCUUAUCUGUGAUUCGGAAGCUGCAAAUAAAGGGAGUUGAAAGGUCAGUGAUAGGAGCCUAUAUCUCAAGUAGAGGGAUAUCAAAUCUGUGUCUUUAAACAUGUGCCAAAACAAGCAAACGGAGUUGGACAUCUAUUGGCUAUAGAGGGAUUAAAGAGAGAUGAAGAAACUUAUCUUGUUGGUGCGGUUCCUUCAUACACGAAAGUGGCAGCGGAAGAGGACCGUCAACAGUUGGGCCCACUAUGUCCAGCAGGUCAAAGAUCCACUGCUUAGAAAGAAGAUAAAAUGGGAUUUUACUGUGGGCAAACAGAUCGGAGAAUAGAUGGACUACUGGGUUUCUCAGUUUCAACGGAAGAUUGGUGUUUUGAAGUGAUGAAAUGCAGAGUUUAGCCAGACCUGAAGGGUUUCUGUUGAAAAAGACAGCAGCAACUAAGCAAAAUUCAAACAGCCAAGACUAAAGCUCAUUAACAGCAAAACAAAACAAAAAGAACAAACUGAAAAUCCAAAGAGAAGCAACAAGUAACCGAAUGAGAAAGUCCUAGCUUUCAUUUCCAUUUCAAAAUAUAAAGGGGUUACAAAAAUAAUAAUAAUAAGUUAGUUACCUAAACUGUAACUGCUCUUAACAAAUUUGGCAAGUUGCCAACUAAAAUAUUACAAAAGAAAAGCUGAAAAAAUUCAGCUGUUACAUCCAUCAAUUUCAAAUCUAAAAAUAUUAGCUUUAGAUAUCAAGCAACUUGCCAACUUGUUAAUAUAAAAAAAAUACAAAAUUUAAACAAAAGAAAGUUGCUUCUAGUUCAAUCUUCAAACAGACAUGCUGCUGCUGCUCACGAUGCUGGUAGUUUGUUGCAUUGCAGACCAAUGCUCAACACUCCUCCUUGGACUGUAGGCAACAAACACCAAUCGAAUCUCGUAAGAAUUCAAACCUGAUUGUGCCAAGAGGCUUUGUCAAAAUGUCAGCCAAUUGAUCUUGUGAGCUGCAAUGUAUAAGACACACUUCUUUGGAUUGAACAACUUCUCGAACAAAGUAAAACUUGAGCUUAAAAUGUUUGGUUUUUCCAUGAAAAACAGGAUUUUUGGAGAUGGCAACUGCUGACUGAUUAUCCACCAUAAUUUCAGUAGGCUCAAGCUGUUCUUCAUUCAAAUCACAUAGCAACUUCCUAAGCCAAAUGGCUUGAUUCACUGCUGCAGCUGCUGCUAUGUAUUCUGCUUCAGCAGUAGACUAAGCAACAGUUUGUUGCUUCUUUGAACUCCAACUGAAAACUCCCGAACCAAGUGUAAAGAAGUAGCCUGAAGUACUUCUCAUAUCAUCAACUGAUCCACCCCAGUCACUAUCUGAGUAGCCAGUUAAUUUCAGCUCACUUCCUUUCUUGAACAUUACACCAAACUUCAAAGUACCUUUGACAUACCUGAGUAUUCUCUUUGCUGCUUUCAAAUGAGUUGUAUUGCAGCUAUGCAUGAAUCUAGACAGUAGACUAACUGAAUGCAUAAGGUCAGGUCUGGUUGCUGUCAAGUAUAGUAAACAACCAAUCAGGCUUCUAUACUCCUUUUCAUCUACCUUUUCUUCAUUUCCAAAGCUGCUUAGUUUCGAUCCCACAUCUAAUGGUGUGCUCACUGGUUUGCAGUUUUCCAUAUGAAACUUAGUGAGAAUUUUCAAGGCAAAUGCAUGCUGGCUAAUAAAAAUGCCUUGAUCAGACUGGUCUACUUCCAUACCAAGGAAGUAAGUCAUGAUUCUCAAGUUUGUCAUGUCAAACAUGUCUUGCAUAUUCUUCUUGAACUCCUGAAUCAAAUUGACCCUGCUUCCAGUCACAAAUAGAUCAUCCACAUAUAUUGAGACAAUCAGCAAAGUCUCAUCUUUGGACUUCUUUAUAAACAAAGUUGGCUCACUCAAACUUUUCUCGAAAUUGAGCCUAGACAGGUAAGCAUCUAUCUUGUCAUACCAGACUCGAGGAGCCUGUUUUAGUCCAUAGAGUGCCUUCUUCAGCUUGUAAACCUUGUCCUCCUUUCCUUGGACUUUAAAUCCAUCAGGCUGUUCAACAUAAAUUUCUUCUUUAAGAAAACCAUUCAGGAAAGCUGACUUGACAUCAAGUUGAUGGACCCUCCACUGCUUUUGUGCUGCGAAGGCAAACAGAAGCUUUAUGGUAUCCAGCCUUGCCACUGGAGCAAAUGUCUCCUCAAAAUCAAUGUCAAACUGUUGAUUGUACCCUUUCACCACAAGCCUUGCCUUGUGUUUGUUCAAAGAGCCAUCAGCAUUGAAUUUGGCCCUGAAAACCCAUUUGACACCUAUGACCUUCUUCUGAUCAGGUCUGUCUACCAGAUCCCAAGUGUCAUUUUUGUGGAUCAUGUCAAUUUCAACCUCCAUAGCCUUCUUCCAGCUCUUGCUUCUUGCAGCUUCUUCAUAGCUUGAAGGCUCAACAAUGGCCACAUUGCAUCUUUGGUAGAUAUCAGCAAUAGACCUGGUCCCCCUCACAGGAGCAUCAUCUACAUUGGCAUUACUGACUUCAUUUUCUGCCAAUUCCAGAUUGCUGUCAAUCUGCUCUUCUUCAAACUAACUUGUGUUAGAGCCAUCUAGACUCCAAAACCUUCCUUCAUCAAAUUUGACAUCCCUGCUUACCAAAAUCUUCUUGGUUGAAGGAUCAAAUACUCUGUAGCCCUUCUUGCAGCUACUGUAGCCAACAAAUAUACCAGGAACUGACCUCUUCUCGAGCUUGGUUCUUCUUUCUGCAGGGACAAGUACAAAACACAUGCAACCAAACACUUUUAAAUGGGAAACAGUUGGUUUGAGAUCAUACCAUGCUUCAAAAGGAGUUUUAUCAUUCACAGCAUGUGUUGGUAGCCUAUUGAGCAGGUACACUGAGGUGUUGACACCUUCAGCCCAAAAAAUUCUUGGAAGCUUGCUUUGAAACAACAAACACCUGGUCAUGUUCAUCACUGUUCUGUUCUUCCUUUCACAUACUCCAUUUUGUUGAGGAGUAUACACUGAGGUCAAUUGAUGAUGAAUCCCAGCCUGCUCACAUAGCUUCUGAAAUAUUUCAGACAAGUAUUCAGAACCAUUGUCUGUCCUCAAGGCCUUAAUCCUGCAGCCUGUUUGAUUUUCUGCCAAUGUCUUGAACUUUCCAAAAACUUCAAACACUUCUGACUUCUGUUUCAUGAAAUAAACCCAGCAAAAUCUGGUCAGAUCAUCAAUAAACAGUAUAAAAUACUUACUGCCAUUCAGUGAAGGCGUCUUCAUUGGUCCACAGACAUCUGAGUGCACCAACUCAAGUCUUUCUUGAGCCCUCCAUGCUUGGUUUACUGGAAAAGGCAACCUGGCCUGCUUACCAAGCUGGCACACUUCACAAACAGACUCAUUUGCAUCAACCUUAAUCAUGUCCUCUGUCAAACUUAUAUUGUGUAGCAAAUUGAGUGACCUGAAAUUGACAUGGCCAAAUCUUCUAUGCCACAUAUCAGCAUUGUCAACUGAACUUGUAUAGGCUCUUCUCUCAAGUUGGCUCACAUCCAGCAUGAAACACCUAUCUGCCAUUGGUGCUGAAACAACUUCUCUACCAAGAACAUCAUUAAUAACACAAGAAUCAUUCUUGAAAACUAGAGAGUAGCCUUUCUUAACCAGCUGACCUACACUAAGUAGAUUUUGAUCUAUUUCAGGUACAUAGAGCACAUCUGUAAUAACCUUUUUACCUGAACCAGUGUUGAUCACAACAUCACCUCUGCCUUUAGCUUCAAUCAGAUUCUCAUUGCCUAUCCUGACCUUUGAAGUAAAACUCCUGUUAAGGUCCUUGAAUAGGCUCUCAUCUGAUGCCAUGUGAUGUGAGCAGCCACUAUCCACAAGCCAACUGCAUUUGGAUUUGCUUGUGGUUGCAGAACAUGAGGCAGUGAAGACAUGCUCCUCCUGAGCUUGAAGAUCUUCAGCAGUCUUGGCUUGUACUGGCAGAGUUUGUGCCUUUUCUUGAUUUCUACAAAUCUUUUCAUGGUGACCAUACUGCUUGCAACUCUUGCAUUGGAUGUUUGGUCUGUUCCAGCAAUACUUCUCUAAAUGAUUAGUCUUCUUGCAGUGAACACAUGGUGGAAACCUCCUUCUACCAGCAUCUUUCUUUGAUCUUUCCCUCUUUUCAAACCAAGGCUUCUUAGCUUUCUGACUUGAGCUGGAGCCUUCUCUGACCUUUGCUUGAAAAACACCUUCAGGACUCUCCUCCUGCCUACUUGCUCUUCUCUGCUCAAGUGCAUAGAGUGAGUUAGCCAACUCAGACAAAGAAAUGAUUGUGAGAUCUCUCGAGUCCUCUAAUGAGCAGAUUUUUGACUCAAACCUUUCAGGUAAGGUGGUAAUAACCUUCUCAACAACCCUGCUGUCACUGAAAUCUUCUCCAAGGAGUCUGAUAUUAUUGACAGUAGCCAUAAUUCUAUCAGAAUAUUGCUUGAUAGUUUCUGACUCCUUCAUCUUCAAAUUUUCAAACUCCCUUCUAAGAUUUGUAGCGACCUAAAAAUUUGGGGUACGGGCGCUAGUCGAAAUAAUUAUUGAAAAUUUAAAAACAGCGUCUCGAUUUUAUUUGCAAAAGGAGUUGCCACUGAUCUUUUUUUAGGUGUGAUCGGACACCUAAUAAAUUCUAUUUUUAGAAGAAAAAUUUAUUUUUAAAUUUUCCUAAAAAAGAGGUAAUUUUAGGUCUGCGUGAAAAUCCAGAUAAAAUUAAGGUUCGGGAGUCGGUUACGCGCGAGGAAGGUAUUAGCACCCUCGCGACACCCAAAAUUGGUAUCUCGUUAAACGCACGUCGUCUUAAUUUUCAAAAAUACGAGUUCAAUUUAAUAUUUACUCGUGAUCCAAUUGAAACAUGAGAAUUUUUUUAAAACACGAGAAUUUUGCAGCACCAAUUUUUAAAAAAAACGAAAAUUUUUGAAACAUGAGAAAUUUUUUUAAAAACACAAAAAUUUUUGAAACACGAAAAUUUUAAAAAACACGAAAAUUUUUAAAACACAGCAAUUUUUGAAACACGAUAAUUUUUCAAAACACAAAUUUUUUUAAAGAACAUGACAAUUUGUGAAACACUAGAGUCAUUGAAAACACGGAAAUUUGUGAAAAAACAAAAAUUUAUGAAACACAGAAAUUUAAAAAAAAACACAGAUUUUUGAAACACCGAAAUUUUUGAAAACACGAAGAUUUUUGAAACACGAAAAUUUUUGAAAAUACGAAUUUUUUUUAAAUACAGAAAUUUUUAAACACGGGGAUUUUUGAAACAUGGAAUUUUUUUAAACGUGAAAAUUUUUGAAACACAAUUUUUUUUAAGAAGUGCCGUAUUUAACACGAAUCAAUAAUAUUCAUCCCUACAUGGCGAUGAAAUCAUCGAAUUAGUGCCAAAUCGAUUCAACUUAAUAUUUAAUCGUGAUUUUAUUAAAACACGAGAAUUUUAAAAAAACAUGAGAAUUUUAGAAUAUUUUCGAUUUUUUUUAAAAGGGCGUAUCGUGUUUAACACAAACCGAUGGUAUUCACCCAACAUAGCGAUGAAAUCAACAAUUGAAUGUUAAAUCGAUUCGUUGCCUUAUUUAUUAAAAUUACUUAAAAUAAAAUAAAAUUGAAAUUGAAUUAAAUUAAAAAUAUAAAUGCAAAAAUAUAAAAAUGCAUAAAAGUACAAAUAAUACUAAAACGGAAUAGCAUAAAAAUACGGGUAUUAAAUUAAAAGUGAAAUAAACGAAAUUACCAGAAAUAUCCAAAACACGAGCUUAGUCGAACGGGUUACCAAAUUGAACCCUUUUCUUUUUUUCUUUUUUCUUUUUCUUUUUUUCUUCCUUUUUUUUCUGCUGCUGGGCCGGCCUGUUGGACUGCUGGGCAAACUGGGCCUGGCGCUGUGGGCCUUCUGGGCUGGUCUGGUGCUGCCUAGAUGCCUGCUGGGCCUUUGCUGGAAAUGGGCUGCUGUUGGCCUGCUAACAAAAAUGGCCUGCUGUGUUUUUUUUUGCUGUUUGCUGUUUUUUUAGGGGCUGCUCUUUUUUUGGGCUGCUGGGCUGCUGUUUUUUAUUUGGGCUUCUCGGAUGAUGCGGGUCGGGCCUGGUGCGGGUCGGGUCGGGUCGACNNNNNNNNNNNNNNNNNNNNNNNNNNNNNNNNNNNNNNNNNNNNNNNNNNNNNNNNNNNNNNNNNNNNNNNNNNNNNNNNNNNNNNCUUUUUUCUUUCUUCUUCGGGUCACCCCUAGCCCCCACGCCGUCGCCGACCCCCCCUCCGUCCGGUGUUGCGGUGGCCGACGCGACUCCCUUCUCCUCUCUUCCUCCCUUUCUUUUCUCUUCUCUUUUCUUCCUUUUUCCUUUGGGUUGCUGUUUUUUUUUGCUUAUUGCUUUUUAUUUUCUCUUUGCUUGUGUUGUAGGUGUUGGGACGGUAGUGGCGGUGCUGUCGUGGUGGUGGGGACGGUGGCGCGCGGUGGAGCUGCUGUUUUCCUUGUGUUUUGCUGCCUUUUUUUUCAUUUUUUCUCUGCUGUUUUUUUGGUUUUUUUGGCUGCCGAAAAAAUCCCCCCAUUUCUCUCCAAUUUCCUCCUUUUUAAUCCCCUAAUUUUGUCAUCUUCUUCUUGUUUGCAGGUGGCAGAGGAGGGCAUCAUGGCCUAGGGAGGCUGCUGGAGUAGCUCGGCUGGGGAAGGGUACGUUCGGCUGCUGAUUGCAGCGAUUUGACAAGUCCAGAAGGACUAAAUUGCAUGGGAUGCAAAGCUUCUGCGGUAAAAGUGUAAUUUUAGCAAAAAUAUGGGCCAAAAUGUAAUUUCUUGAGAGUUUAGGGGUCAAAGUGAAAUUUUUAGAAAGUCUAAAGGUCGAAAUGUAAUUUUAGAAAGUUUUGGGGUUAAAAUGUAAAUUUUGGAAAAGUUUGGGGUCAAAAUGUAAAUUUUGAAAAGUACAGGGGUUAAAAUAUAAAAAAAACUUUUUUUGAAACACGAAAUUAAUCCCGGACAAAAUUCAGUGAUUACAAGAUUAAUUACUUGUUGCUGCCUUGUCUUGUUUGAUCCCAUGAACUCCUCUUUCAGCCUAUCUCAUGCUUGUUUGGGUGAGUCACAGGCCAUGAUGCGAGUAAAAAUCAUAUCAGACACUCCAUUCUGUAGGCAGGCCAUGGCUUUAUGCUUCUUGGCUCGCUCCUCACCAUGUUGCCUGAUCUGAGCAAUGGUUGGAUUUGCUCUCAAUAGUGGUGGCUCGACAUCAUUUUCAACUGCACUCCACAGAUCAAGUGCUUGGAGGUAAGUUUUCAUUUUAACUACCCAAAUGUGGUAGUUUUCUCCAGCAAAAACUGGUGGUGGAGGAGGUGCAAAGCUCAUGUUGUUGGAACUGGUUUGACAAACACGAUUUUUGAGUUUAUUUUGAAACAAAAAAAUUUAAACAACAGAGGUCCUCAAAGACAAGAGGCUCUGAGAAAAAGACAGCAGCAACUAAGCAAAAUUCAAACAGCCAAGACUAAAGCUCAUUAACAGCAAAACAAAACAAAAAGAACAAACUGAAAAUCCAAAGAGAAGCAGCGAGUAACCGAAUGAGAAAGUCCUAGCUUUCAUUUCCAUUUCAAAAUAUAAAGGGAUUACAAAAAUAAUAAUAAUAAGUUAGUUACCUAAACUGUAACUGCUCCUACCAAAUUUGGUAAGUUGCCAACUAAAAUAUUACAAAAGAAAAGCUGAAAAAAUUCAACUGUUACAUCCAUCAAUUUCAAAUCUAAAAAUACUAGUUUUAGAUAUCAAGCAACUUGCCAACUUGUUAAUAUCAAAAAAAUACAAAAUUUAAACAAAAGAAAGUUGCUUCUGGUUCAAUCUUCAAACAGACAUGCUGCUGCUGCUCACGAUGCUGGUAGUUUGUUGCAUUGCAGACCAAUGCUCAACAGUUUCUUCCACUUGCAUCGGAAAGAUCUAGCAGACAUUUUGGUGGUUAUCAACAAAACAGAGAAGGCAUCUGAAGGGUUUCGCUUUCUCAGAUGUCUAGGGAAAAGGAAAGUCUGCCUGGGUGUUUGGAUUAUCCUGCUUUUAUUUAACGUUUGUUUAUUGCAUAUUUUCUGUUUUGUCUAGGCUCUAAAUGAUUUGGAAUUUGUUUUAUUAAUAUAAUCCAGCCAUUCAUAUUUCAAAAAAUAAAAAUAAUAAUGGGUCCAAACCUGAUCAAUUCACUAGACUACACACAAACAUCAAAUCUUGAACUUCUGAUUUUUGAAAGGUUGUACCAAAUUAGUGGAUGUUCAUCCAUCAAUUAGAGUGCUUAGGAACCUUAAACUUUUGAAUUUAAGAGAUUGUAAAAGUCUCAAGAGUCUUCCGACUGAAAUUGGAAUGGAAUCUCUAGAAACAUUAAUUCUUUCGGGUUGCUCAGGUCUUGUAAGGUUUCCGGAGAUUGAUGGGAAAAUGGAACGUCUAAAAACUCUAGAUCUUUCUGGUUGUUAUAGAGUGGAAAAUUGAUCGGAGAAUUUGCAGCAAGCAAAGUUUUUGGAGCUCGACUUGAGUGAAACAGCCAUAGCAGAACCACCAUCCUUUAUUUUUCAAUUUAAAAAUCUUAAAGUUCUUUCUUUCAAUGGGCGCAAGGGACCAUCAUAUAAGUUACUACCAAAUUUGCCUUCUCUUUUCAAGGUAAUCCAAGGAAGAAGGACGAAUCCCAUGGCUCAGAUGUUGCCUUUGUUGUCAGGUUUGAGUUCUUUAAGAGAGCUAAAACUAAGGGACUGCAAUCUUUGUGAAGGAGAUCUUCCACGUGAUAUUUAUGGUCUAUCCUCUUUGUGGCCUCUUGAUCUUAGUGGUAACAAUUUCAUCAGCAUACUUGCAUCUCUUACUCGACUCUCGAAGCUCGGAAAUCUUAUAUUGUCAAAUUGCAACAUGUGCACUCUUGGUGAAGCAGAUAUUCAUGGUGAUAUUUCUGGUAUAUCCUCUUUGAUACGUUUUGAUCUUAGUGGUAAGAAUUUCAUCACCAUUCCUUUGGCUCUUACUCAACUUUCCAGGCUCAAAUUGCUUAAAUUGUCAGGUUGCAAGAUGCUUAAAUCGUUGCCUGAGCUACCAACAAGUAUAGCAGCUGUGCAUAUAGAUGGUUGUUCUUGACUUGAAGUAGUUGCAAGUCCAUCAAAAGUAUGCAAUUUAGUGGGCUGUGAUGACAUUAGUGCCAUUAACUGCUUCAAAUUGGCUGAGAAAAUCAAUGCAUUAACUCAAAGUUGGGAAUUCCGGUAAUUGCAAAAAUGGAAGUGGUGGAAAAAGAGAAAACACUACCAUCUGUGGAGUUCUUGAAUUGGAUUGGAUUCUUGUAGAAGAUGUGACCUUUUGUAUGGGUUGUAAAAUUAGUCAGUUUAAAGAGCCCACUUGAACCUACGCCCGCAAGUUCGCCAACAUUCAAGUAACCAUUGAAACUGAAGUACUGACCCUGAUUGAUAUCUGAAGAUGCAGGAGGAAAAGCAACACACGCAUGAUCAAACACACAAAAAAAUAUAUACAAUAGACAUUUAGAUAACCAAUCAGUUAGGUAAUGAGCAGCCUUGAUUUCAUAAUCAUCAAACCCAACAUUUAGAUCAUACAAAGAGAGAAAUUUUAUAAGGGUACAGUAGAACCUGUCUUUUGUUGACUGAGCUGCAGUGAAAAUGCAUUCGCAAGAACGAUCUUUUCGAUUCUAAGGAGCUCAUAGAGAAGUAUUCCACGAAUAUAUUUGAUUUUCAACCUGGAAAAAAAAAUAAUUACUACUAUAAUUAUAAUUGACAGCAAUAAAUGCACGUACACUUUUUCAACAAAUCAUAAGGCAUGGUACGAGGUAAACUCCAAUUUGAAUUCACAUCCCUUAGAACCCCUUCAAUCACCGUGACACCAAUAUUAAUGUCGGUUGUCUCAUUCGAAUUAAGCUGAACCCAACCUUCCUUGGGAUGUCACCAUUGCUUUGCAGCUCUGGAGAUCAUUGUAACAAAAAUAUUAGAAGACCCUAUGUGAGUUGAACUUUUAGCCCAAGAUAGACUAGACAUAACAACUUCCCCAUUGCUGUUACUUGCAUCUUUAAACACAAAAGCAUUACGACACUUCCAAAGACAUCAACAAAUAAUAGGAAACAAAGUCGACCAGUCUAUUCCCUCAACAUCAAUCUGCCCAAUAUUCUUUAAUUUCCAAAUAAGUUAAUCCUUAAUAUGCAAAAACCUGCUAAGAUCAUCUGGAACAAGAUUAUUCCAAACAUUAAUCUUAGCAAAAGAAAAAUCCCUCAAAACUUGUAUGGUUGCCUCAGCCUGCUCACAUCUUGAGUAACUAGUGUCAGCUGUCACAUGUCAUCAAGCUCUCUCCUCAUUCGCUAACAAAUGUCCCUUAAAAUGAAUUCAAAGAAAAUGUCUUAUUCAUUGAAGACCUUUGCAUUUCCUGACCAUAUUCCAAUCCUCACUUGCCACAUCCCAUUCAUCUCUUGCAACUGAUCUGUAAGUUGUUGCCUCUCAGGAUGUUGGAGUUCGACAAGGACCCAUUGAGGUUCGACCAGAACCUAGGUAUACCCCCACCUUAUAAAACAAUGACAAUCCUUGUAUGUAAUUGUAGAGUGGUGAAGCAUGAUGUACUGUAAUUUGAAAUGUUAAAUUAGGCUUUCCUGUAACAAGCUUGUUCUCAAGUAGUUUAAGAGUAUUUUUAUGUUUUUUUAUCGAUUUUUAACUUUUAGUUUCAAUGCUAACUUUUAUCACAUUUUAUCACUUUUGAAACCCAAAUUGAUAAAACUAUGUCAUUAGAGGUCUAAUGAUUAAUUUGAGCUUGUAUAAGGAGGUGAUUGAGGCUAAACAUCAAGGAGGAAUUCAACUGUUGCGGAGGACGCAACACAAGUGAUUCACAGAGUUUAGAAUUUGAUUUAAAAGAAUUUGGAUGCGUAGAAGAGUAUACGGAAAAAGACAAAUGAAUCAUAUAAUUUUGUUGUUACAGAUUUAAGGCAUGUUCUAAAAACUCUAAAAUUUUUAUUCAAAGUUUUAUAAUGUAGUGAUUAAACAAAGCAUGGAUUAAUUGUAUUUUAAUUAAAUUGUUUUUAAAAAUUAAAUUGUUUUUUAGAUCCUAAUGGAAUUUUUAUUUUUUAUAUUGAAGUCCUUACUAUGUAGAUUUCAAUUGAUUCAAUCUGUUCCUUAAUUUAACAUUCCAAAAUGAAUAGUCGUAUGAAUUUUUAUUUUUCAUAGCUCUACACUAAAGUUUUAAAAAUUUUGCCUUAUAUUAUCACUAAUAGUCGUAGCAAUUUAAAGAAAAUGAAUAUUUUUUAAAAUUUUCCCUAAUAUUAAUUAUAAAAACUAUAAAAAAUAAAAUAAUACAUUUUAAUUAAUACAAACAAUCAACCCGAGCAUCACAUGUAUAAAGAAAACAAGAUGCAUAAUAAAACAUUUAAUUUACCACUCAACUAAAGUUUUAUCUUGAUAACUCUAAACAUUUUAAUUUUAUUAUACACACCUACCUCCAUCAAUUGUAUAUAUCUAUAUAUUAUAAUUUAAGCUCCUGAUUGAGUUGAGCAACAAUUUAGCUAAAAAAAUUAUAAAAAUAUCAUUCUGUAAUUAAAUAAGUUAUCGAGAAUAUUUUAAUCUUUUUAUUUAAAAAUAAUAAAAAUAUGCAUAAAAUAAUUUUUUAAAGUGAGCUUCCUUUCCAAAAUAUAAAUGAGACCUAUCAGUUAUUAUUAUGUAAAUAACACUAUAUUUGAAUUCAUUAUUUAAAUAUCAAUAAUUGAUAUUUAAAUAAUGAUUAAUAUACAAUAUUCGUCAUUGUUGACGUUAAACACCAAUAGUACAUGUAAUUAAGAAAUUAACAUAUGAAGGACUUCGGACAACCAUGCUUUAUAUUGUAAUAAAAAUAGAAAGGUUAUGCAUGUGACCACCUUUCUAUUUAAAUUGGAGCGAAACUUUUGAUGAGCUGUUCAUAUCAGAAUUAAAUAUGUCAAAAUAAUCCAAUAAGGUUAAAUAAAAAUUAAAUCUUUUUGAAUACCGUAUAUAAAAUUAUAUUUUUAUCAAUUAAAUUUUAAUUUUUAAAUAAAAUCUUUAAAUAUUAUUAUGCCACGUAUUCAAAUAUAAUAAAAAUUUAUUAAUAAUGUAAAUUGAGUUAAGAGAUAAAAGAAUAUAGAGAUUGUGCUGGAAAUGAAAACCCAAAUUACAUAAUGAGAAGGAAAGAUGGAACUAUCAAAUUCCUUAUUAUUUAUAGGAAAUUAGGGAGAAUAAGGAAAAGAAAUUGAUUCAUGAAGAGAUAAGGAGAUUGGCGUGGCAUUGGUGACUUACAUGCAUGUCCCUAUUGCCUAUUCAACAUUAGAUUCCUUUAGCUACUAUUCUCCUAAUGCAAACAAUGAAGUCCCCAGCGAUAACAGACAAUUCUACAUCAAUGCAUGCGCCCGUUUUCUUCCCCUUCGCCUAAUUUCCCCUUCCAAUUUCCAUCGCAUGCAUGCUCUUUCAUUUUAUCUUCAAACUUCUUAUCUCCUUAUCUCUUCAUGAAUCAAACUUUUUAUUAUAUUUGAAUACGUGGCAUUAUAAUAUUUAAAGAUUUUAUUUGAAAAUUAAAAUUUAAUUGAUAAAAACAUAAUUUUAUAUAGGGUAUUUAAAAAGAUUUAAUUUUUAUUUAACCUUAUUUGAUUAUUUUGACAUAUUUAAUUCUGAUAUGAACAACUCAUCAAAAAUUUCGCUCUAAUUUAAAUAUUUAUCUAAAGAUUAUUUACAAUAUAAAACAUACAUCAACUACUUUUUUAUUCGAUUAAGCUUUUUAAUUUGUUAUGCAUGUGACCACCUUUCUAUUUUUAUUACAAUAUAAAACAUUAUAAAAAUCUUAAAAUAAAAAGGAAAAACCCUAUUAUACAAAACCCUAUUACUCGAUUCGGAAGGCUUUAAAAUAUAUUCCUAAAUGACAUUGGCAUGAACAGCCACAGUAUGCUACUUAUGAUGCUUAAAUAUAUAUACAAAACCCUAUUACUCGAUUCGGAAGGCUUUAAAAUUUUAUUUAAUUUUACAAUCAUAAUUUUUAAAGAAAAACCCGAUACUUUUCCACUUCACCUACCGCGAGAAACAAAUGUUUCUGUAAUUGUUAUUGAAGGAACGGUGUUUCUCUCGGCUGUCAACUCAUUAGGAGCGCCCACUUCAUUUGAUACUGCUGGGAAUUCUCGAACUUUGAUAACAGAGCUGAUGUCAUCGGGCAAUGAAGCAACACCGUCCAAAUACGAUAUAACGCUGGACAUGCUAGGCCUAGCCGCUGUCACCGGGUGUGAGCAAAGCAACCCAAGCUUCAACACCAACUCCGCUUGUUGUCCCACAAAUGAUCUCUUCCCCAACCUCUUAUCAAUAGUCGCCAAAAUGUCUCCUUUAUCCCAGCAAUCCUUUAUCCAGUCAGCAAGAAAUGCUUCCUCUGGUGCCGUUUGUGGUUCGAUCGGCUUUCUACCACAGGCAACUUCAAGCAUGAAUAUUCCAAAAGCAUAUAUAUCAGUGCUUGUGUUUGCUUGCCCGGUUCUUGCGAGCUCAGGAGCCAUGUAACCGAGCGUGCCUGCUACAUGAGAGGUUUGAGGAUCAUUUCCAAGGUCGCAUAGCUUUGCCAUCCCGAAAUCUCCUAGUCGGGCGUUCAUUUCACUGUCUAUCAGCACAUUGGCAGGCUUGAUAUCUCUGUGAAUGAUGACUUGCACCCAUUGCUGGUGCAGAUACAACAACGCGGAAGCUACGUCCUUGAUGAUCUUAAACCUUUGUGUCCAAUUAAGGCUGCUAUUAGGUUGGUAGUAAAGAAACUUGUCAAGGCUUCCAUUAGGCAUGUAGUCAUAAACCAAAAGCAACUCGUGCUUGCGCUUGCAAUAACCGAGAAGUCGAACCAAAUUCGGAUGCCUGAGGUGACCGAUGGUUGCAAUCUCAGCCACGAAUUCUCUCAUACCUUGCCUUGAAUCAUGAGAGAUCCUUUUAACGGCAAUUUGUAUGUUGGAAGAGGGUAAAACACCCUUAUGCACCUUACCAAAUCCACCUCUCCCUAGAACUUCCUUUUCUUUAAACCCCUUUGUUGCUUUGAAUAGAUCUUUAUAUGAGAAUCUAUGAGGCCGUACUGAACCUCCCAAUCCUCGAGAAUCUCCAUGAAUCUCUUCUUCCUUGAGAUCAACACAAACCCGAAAAUCAAUACGAGGACUAAAGUGAGACCUGUGAAAGAAAGGGUGAUAGCCAAAAUCUUCUUUAAUUGCUUGAUUCCUCCGUUAUCAUGUCGUGGAAUCUUUGGAAGGCGAGACAAGUCUAGCUCAUCAGGUGAGCCAUUCAUCUUGAAACUCCAAGCCAAUAUGUAGUGUGAGGAUGAAGUAGCUGAAACAGAACCGGUGGACGACGAGAAGCCGACAUACAUAGAGUCAUACAUAUAAGGAGACAGAUCCUUUUUGUAGGAUAUAAGUGGGGUUUUUGGCCUUGGUAGAUUGAUGGGAUACAACGUAACAUUGAGUCGCUUCUCAACCCCGUUGUAUUCUAUCCAUAUUUGCAUUGGGUCUCCGCUUACAAGGCUGACAUUGAUGAACUCACCUUCAUCAGUGUAAUACCCCGCAGAAGCAGAUUUCACCGAGUUUACGCUAUUGAUAUCGAUGCCAACAUGGUUGUCAUCACUGUCAUUGAGGUCAAAGCUUUGAACUGUAUCCAGCUCAACCGCAACAAUAUGAUUUGAGCUGUCACCGUUAUUUGUUUCAUUGAAAAGACCAAGAUACUGGACGGCAGAAGCUGCGGGAAUUUCAUUGUUUGGCGAGAUUACAAAGGCCAUUCCAUGGCCGCCGUAUUCCGGUCUAAUUGCAAAAAUGAAUGUGGUAGAAAAGGAGAAAACACUACCAUUUUUGGAGUUCUUGAAUUGGAUUGGAUUCUCGUAGAAUUUGUGACCUUUUAUUAGGCUUGUAGAGUUAGUCAGUUGAAGCAGCCCAUAGCAACUAAACUGACCCUGGUUGAUAUCUGACGAUGCAAGGUUCAGAAGGAAAAGCAGGAGCACAAGCAUGAUCAAACAAGACAUUAUUACACACAAAAUUACAGCAAUAGUGAUUAAGGGCUGUAGUAAGUUUUGUUGUGUAAGCAAGUUAUUCUGCACCAUCAGUCCAAUAUAAAUAAAAAGAAACCAAAACACCAUUGUCUUAAUCGAUUUGAUUAAGACCUCAAAGAAAUUUCCGGAAUUUUACCUGUCAGUAGUAAGGAAAUUGCUCUCCUUUAAAGACGAUAAGAUGAGAUUAUUUGGUAAAGGUGAUGAUAUCUUCUGAUAAUGAAACACUUGACAAUUCUUUACCUCUAAUAUAUGUAUUUAAAAAAUUAAUGAUUAUAAUUCUUGCUUUCCUUUCCUUUCAAUAAAAAACUUGAAACGCAAUGAAAUUUACCAUUUCAGUAAAAAAAAUCAUUUAAUUCUUGCUUUCCUUCACCCUAUUUAGAUAAUUAACUGUUUUUCUACAAUUUUAGUUAAAACAAUAAAAAAUUACUUACAAACAAUGUUUAAGAUACUAAGCGUGCAAAGAAUUUGUCAUAUAUGAUAGUAACAUAUUUGACUUUUACUUGCAAACCAUUACACUAGUAUUUAGUAAACACACUGUCAAUCAUGAGCCCAGGAUUUCCACACUUAUAUUAAUUUAUUAAUUGAUAAUUCUGUAAUUUCAUUUAAUUUAAACCAUAAUUACUAAAAGGUGAUUAAAAAUAUACUGGCUUGUAUAUCAGAUCAUAAUAUAAAAACUUAAAUGAAUCUCAAGACUAUUUACACUCAAUCACUUCAUUAUUGUACACAUUACUAAUUAACAUUACCUCCUUUUAAUUAAAUUCUGACCAAACUAUUUCACCCAAUUACUUGCAUUUGAUUUAACGUAACGUCGUGGAACCAAAUUCAACUCAUAAUUGAAAAGGGUAUUGAUCAAGAAUCAAUUUUAAGGUGAAAGUAUUGACCUCAAUAUUACUAGUAAAAAAAUUAACACAUGUAAUAAUUGGAUCAACAUUGUUAAAUAAUUAUAUAUCGCCUUAAAAUUAUACACUAAAUUGGAGUAUUGUUAUUUAAAAAUAAAUUUAAAAUACUCAAAAAAAAUAAUGUUGGCCAUAAAUCCAUUUAAAAAUUUAACAGUCAAAUAGACAAAAUAUUUCGCUUCAUAACUUGUAUCUUAAUUAACUUGUCACGUCCGGUUAACAUUAUUAAAUCAAAGAAAUACAAGGAUUUAUUAACAUAAAUUAUAAGGUUAAAUUAAAGUUUAAAGGUUCACUUAAAAUAUGAAAGGGAUUAGAUAAUACCAUAAGGCUCCAAAAUGAGUUUGCAAAUAUUAGAACCAUUUAAAAUAUGGACCAAGUUUGAACUCCAAUAUUUAAAGUCAAAGCUUAGCUCAACCCGCAUUAUACUUUUUGUAAUAUAUUUUUAUUUUAAUUUUCACAUAUUAUGCAAUUUAUAUCACAUAAAAUAGAAUAUAUAGUAAUAUAAAUACUAUGUAAAUAUUAAAAAUAUAUAUUAAAUUGUUUAUAUUUUAAUUUUAAUAAAAAACUAAAAUAUUAAUUUAAUUUAAAACAUUUUAAUAUAUAUAUACACACUAAUCUAAACGAAUUUAAAUUAAUUAGUUACAAAUAUAAAUAAAUUUAGAUAAAACUAUAGUUCUAUAUUUAAGUCAAAUUGAGGUACGGCGGACAAAAUAUAUUAAUAUUAUGUAUAAAUUUCAUCUGAACCAAUUUCACUAGGUCUAUAAGCACUAAAUUGAAUAAAUAUUAUUCCAAAAAGGUUAUUUAAUAAUUACUGGGCUUCUAGUUACUGAAAAGCGAGUUCAAUAGUAGGUAAUGGUAUUUCUAUUUCACUUUGGAAGUAGAUUUUUAUAAAAAUAAUCUUAAAAAUUAAUUAAUUAUAAAAAUGAGUUAGGAAAACAAAUAUAUACGAAUAUGAGUUAUAGUAUUUCUCAGUACAACUUGACACACCAAUGAAACUACUCGCAUUUUUCCCCUAAUCAUCAGUGUUUAAAAAAAAGAUUUUUUUUUUGUGUCAACAUUGUGUCAGGCAAUAUCGUAUAUAUUUUUUAAAAUAUUAGUGAAAAAUAUGAGUAUUCACAAUGAAGAAAAAAUACUUUUAUAAUGUAUGUCACCGUUAAUUAGACAGUACCAGUUAAAACUUUUUUUAAAAGAUCUAUAUUUUCAAAUAUGCACAAAAAAAAAAGAGAAAUAUUUUUUUAUUGAUGUUGGACAUCAUCUUAAUUUUAAAAAGUUGACAAAAUAAAUAAAAAAAUCUGCUAUAAAAAGAAAAUUUUAUUGUCUUGUCCAAGAGAAUGGUUCCAAAGCAUGCCUAGUUGCUUAGUUCUAACGGUUAUUUUACUCAAAUGACCCUAAAAAAUAAUUAUUUACGUAAAUGAUUUUAAUUAAAAAAUAAUCAUUUAAAUGACUUAAAAUAAAUAGUAAAAUUGGGUUAGGGGUAAUAAAUUGUCGAGAUCACCUAUUUUUAUGACACAAUCAUUACCGAAUGAUUGUGUCAAGUGUUAAAAAAGAUUUAAAUACUGAAGACUAGAUGAUUGACACCCUUAUAUUUUUUUCAUUUCGCAUCAUACUGGUAUACGUUUAUACCAAUAUUUAAAAAAAGAAUUAUUUUUUUAAAUAUUGGCACACUGAUGGUCGGCACACCUCUUUAUCAGAUUAAAAAAAUAUUUUUAUUGAGUGUUGGCACAUUGAUGACCAGCAUCCCAUUUAUCUGAUUAAAAAGAAAUUUAUGUUUAUCCCUAGACCAAUAGAAGCAUGAAAGUCUACUCAAAGGAUCAUGCAAGUGAGGGACCAACAAAAGUCAUCAAGUUGAAAUGGAAGGGGACGCUUUAGCAAUUAUAGGCUCGGAUGAAUUUAGGGAAUUAGGAUUUUGAGAAAGAAAUUAUGUUAUUAUAUAAUUAGUUGUUUUUUACAUGUAACAUAAAUUAGGCAAGGUUCUUAGCGUUUAUAAAAUUUGACAAUUUAAUCCUUAUUUUCUUUACAGUGAGAAUGUUAUAACCUUAAAAAAAAUCUGAAAUAUUGAGAUUCAAAUAAUUGAUAGGUUUAAAUGUUUUUAAAGACGAUUGGACGAAAUAAUUAGAUCUCAAAUUAUAUUUCGAAUUGAAAUUGUUCAUUUAAUACAUAAUAAUAGAAUGAAUUGUAAUUAAAGUAUUCCUCUACUAGGAAUGUAUAAAAGUCUAUUCAAGCCAAUUUAUGUGUCCGAAACUGAUGUACUCCCUUUAUAAGGUGUUCAAGCCAACGUAAGUGUUAAAUAUAGGUACUUAGGGAAAAUGGAUAGAGGUGAUCAUGGCCGGGCCAGGCCCAGAUAAAAUUUUAGGCCAAUUUUCUAGGCCCAACCCAAAAUAUGAGCCUAAAAAUUUGUCCAAGCCCUGCCUAAAAGAAAAUUAUUAAGCCCGAGCCCAGCCCGGCCCAUAUUAAAUUUUACAACACCAAAAUAGCAUCAAAAACCUGAAAAAUAUAAUCAAUCAACCAGAAUUAGAGGUAUAUUUGAUUAAAAAUAAAAAAUAUAUAUUUAAUAUACUUUGGGCCGGGCCGGGCCUGGGCCAAAAAAGUUUUGCCCGAGCCCGGUCCGUUUUUUAUACGGGACUAUUUUUUUGCCCAAACCCAUAUUUCGGGCCUAUAUUUUUACCCGAACCCUCCCUUUUUCAGGAGGGCCAUCAGGCCGAGCCGGAUAACUCAACCCAUGAUCACCUCUAAAAAUGAAUGAGUUGGUGUAAUAUAGGCUAUGAUAUAAUAGGCUAUGAUAUAACCAACAUUCAUGCAAAAUCGAGAAAGAAAUGAAUAAGAUUAUCGUAUGAAAAAUAAAAUAGAAAGGCUAAAAUCACAUGCAAAAUUUUUUCAAGCUCAAGUGUUCUAGCAUAAAAAAACAAUAUAUAAAAUAGAUGCCUAAACAAAGUAGAACACGGGUGAUUACAUCACAAUCUGCAAACAUUGAAUCAACGGGCAUUACCGAGCUUAGUGGAAGAAAAUGUUGGGAAAAUGAAAUACAGAUGCGAUCCUAAGCAACAAAUACAGCUUUGCAUUGCAUGAGAACCUAAUCCCAUCACCAAACUAUUUUAAAUGCGAUUUUCUACACGCAACACAGUGCAGGCAGCAUAUUUGAGAGCAAAAAACCUGACAAAAAGAAGUCAACAAUUUUAAUUUAUAAAAGAAUCAGAGGUUAAUUUUCGAUGUAAAAGAGAACAGACCUGAGCCAGAAAUAUUUGUAAAUAGCGACUUACUUAGUGACAUGCUUUUAACUGGAUCAUAAUGAAAGAUCACUUUUUUCUUCAUUUUCCUUGGAGGAUAAAUGUGAACCCAAGAAUUUAGUAACAGCAGAUUGCUCGGAUGAAGAAUGCGAUGAGCUUGAGAUAUAUUUUCUAGGUAACUUUAGUUUUAAGACGAAGAAGUGUGGUGUUAGAAUAGUGUAUGUGAAAGAUUUGGAAGAAAUAAAAGAGAUGCAUAGCCAUGCCACUCAUUAUUAUGCUAAUUUCGAAGAUAUCUAUCAACACUCUGCUGAUAGCGAUGGAUCAAUACAUAGUACUUCCCUUUCAGUACGAAAACAUAAUACCAACGAUUAAUUUUUACUCAAUUCGAAUAAUAAGAGUUCUCAACUUGAUUAAUUUUUUUUUACUCAAUUCGACUAGAUUCAAUUGAAUUCUCAUCCCUACGCAAGCAAAGGUUUUAUGAGCCGAGCAAUGUUAAGUCUAUAUGUGAUACUAGCACAUUUUAUAUUUACUCAAGCUAGGUUCAGUCCAAUACAAGCUUCAAAUUUUAUCAAGUCCAUCCAAAUUUGUAAAUGGUUAAUUUAAAUCCAUUUUAAGCUUGUUUAUAUAUUUUUUUUAAAAAUACUUAUUUAAUAUUUAAUAAUCUUAUUUUUUUUUUCUUUUACGAGAACUUUAAACAUCAACAACUGUUAAGACCAAGGCUGUCCAAGCAUUGAAGACUCAAUGUCUGAUCAGUCCAGAUGUUGGGACAGGUUUAGUGUUUUAUUGACUUAUUAGAAUUUUUUUGAACCUUGUACUUUUAUCCAAAUCUUCCCAUAUUUAGAUUGAGCCUUUAAGAUUAAACAAGUAAACUGACCCUUAAAUAAGUUUAUUUCCAAAUUAAUCAUAAUGUUGGAUUUUAACUUUGAGAUAUAACUCCACUGAGUAAAAAAAAAAGUGAACAAGUCACACAAAACUAUUGGUCAAAUGAUAAAAGAUUUGAUGCAAAGUCUUUAAUUAACACUAGUCUCGAGUAAAUGUACAAAAAAAUCAGGUCAGAUUUAAGCCUAUGUAAAGUAUUAGCAGAACUUAUGCUUGCUCAAAUAUUAAACACAAAAUAAUUCAAGUCACGUUUAUAUUUUAAAUGAGACUGUUUUUAUUUAAACCUUUUAAAAAAAAUUAAAUAUAUUUUAUAUGUAGAUCCAUAUAAUAUAUAAAAACAACUCCUAUAAAAGCAUUAGGGAAAUAAAUAGUACGAUAACAUAUUUUAUUCUGAGGCAUGUUUUAAAAACUAAAAAUUUUAUUAAGUGUUUUAAAAUUUGGCGAUUAAAUAUAACAUGGAAUGGUUGCAUUUUAAUUAAUCAAUAAAAAUAUGUAUAAAAUGAGAUUUGAAUCUUCGUCAAUUAGGUUAGUAAAACAUAAAAUUGAUCACUUCACCAAAGCUUUAUUUUAAUAUUUAUUACAUAUUUUAGUUUUAUUAUACACAUUUUAUUACUUUCAUCAAUCGUAUAUAUUUAUACUAUUAUUUAAUCUUCUAAUUAAGUUGGUGCCACAAGUAAAUUGGGCACCAACUCAAUUAGAAAAUUACAAAAAUGUCCUUUCAUAAUUAAAAUAAAUUAAAUUAUUUGAGAGUACUUUAGUCUUUUUACUUAAAAAAACAAUAAAAACAUGCUUAUGGUGGGAUUUGAUUUAAAGAUACGUUAAUUGCAUUAGUAAAAAUUUUAAUUUACCACUCAACUAAAAUUUUAUUUUGAUAUUCUUAUAUAUUUCAACUUUAUUAUCCAUACGUUAUUACUUCUAUCAAUUAUUUAAAUUUUUUAUUAAAAUUAUGUCAUGAAUCAAUCCAACAACCACACCAAGAAGCGAAAUGUGCUAAAGCAUAAUAGAAUUAUGGAUUUUGUUCAAAAGGAAUUUUAAUUAUUACAUUUGGGAUAUAAAAAAUUGAUAAUGAAUUUGCCAAGUACCCCAAAUUCAGUUUUCUUUUUCCAUUUGAUGCACAAACAAAAACUCUGAAUUUGCACAUAUAAAUCCAAAUUAUUUUAUUCAAAUUCAUGUUCAGAAAAGUCGUGAUAUUAUUGUGGAAUAUUCAAUGAACCUUAGCAACAAAAAUUGAAUUCCACAGUGACUUCGUUUUCAGUGGAAAAUUCAAACAUACUAUCUAUAAUGGCCUUUCCACAAUAUAAAUGAGAUUAGAUAGAAUUCAAAAUAUAAACUUAACCUUGUUUGCCAACAUGAUAUACUUCUCCAUUUCAAAGUCUUCCCAGUCUUCGUGAUAGAAAUUAUUAAUUAAAUUAUGGGUAAAUUUUUGCGUACGUUGUUAUUGAACAAAACCCCAUUCGAUACUUGUUAUAUCAAACGGUUCAUGAUCCAAUCUAAAUUUUAAAGUUGAAAUAUUAUUUCCAAUAAAAUUCGUAAAAACAUAAGAUUGGAGAAAAUAUUCAGAAAAUGAUUUUUGAAAUUGAAUUAUCUGUUGGUUACAGAUAGUUCUAUUGAUUUUGUUGAAUAUUUCUACUGGUAAAAUCUGUUUAGAUUUGUUAUAUAAACAAAUUCUAAAUAUUUUAUUCAUAAUAGGGGUAUUUUUCCCUUUGUAAAUAAAAUAUUGGAAAAUAUCAAGAAAAUUGUUUAUCUCCUUAAUUUCCAUGAAUUCCAUUUGGAAUUCAUCCCAUUCUCUGUAUAAAAUAGAAUUUAAUAAUAAAUCUUUAGCUUCAUUUUCCUUAGUUGUUUUUUCAACUAAAAAUAAUGAAAAUCUGGUAAGAGCUCUUCGGAAAUUAGCUCUCUGAUUUGAAAUAUGGGUUUUCCAUAUCUCGUUUAUAAAAUCAUAAAAUUCUGGUGAUAAACCAGGAUUAUAAAAAUCUUUUAUUUUUAAAAUUUCUUUUUCAUCUUCUAUUUGUUGUUCUUUCAACAAAUUUUCGGAUCUUUUGAUCAUAUCAGCAUAAUUGGUUUGUGAUGCUAAAUAUGGAUCUUGGGACAUUGGUGAUUGAUACACCAUGUUAGAAAAACUGCUUCCAAGUGGUUGGUUUACCAUUGGAUAUUUUAAAACAUUUGGUCCAAGUGGUUGAUUUACCAUUGGAUAAGACACAUAAUAUCCUUGGUUAGGAUAAAAUGGUAUUUGUGCAGGUACAAAUCCUUUUUUGGAGUUUGAUUCUGCUUUUCCUUUGUUGGGCUUUUUGCGAACGGUAGUCGAUUCACCUACAGUUUCUUGUAGAGGCUUUUUACCUCUAUCCAUUAAAAGGCCUGCUCAAAAAAUCAGCAAAUAUUAGUAAUAAAUUACAAAUAUUAACUGAUUAAUUUUAAUAGGUGUAAAUAUUUUAUUACACACAAUUUUAUUAUUUUCUUCAAGUGGAAUUUCCACAAAAUCUUCUUUUACUGAUAGCCAAAUAGAAUGUUUAUCAAUAGUAAAAGGUAAGUACUUACAAAUAAAAUUAUUACCUAAUAAUAUAUCUCCUUUCAUGUUAGGAAAACAUACUAUUUUAGGAAUCACAAAUCUAACAUUGUUUAUAUAGAUUGAUAUAUUUUUAGCUUUAUAUUUUAUAAUAGUUUUACUACCUUCUAUUCCCAUUAUUUUUAUGGGUUUCUUCAUUAAUUCGCAUUUUUCUACAGGAAUCGCAUUUUCUCUACAACUACAUAUUGUAGCUCCAGUAUCUAUCAAGGCAUUUAGAGAAUAUUUUUUAUAUUUUUUAAACUGAAAUGUAACUUUUAUAAUUAUUCCAAGUUUUGACUUUUUAUCAAUUGUUGAAGUUUGAAUUUCUUCCAUUCUAGUUUUUCUAGAAUUAUUACUAGGUUCAGUAGGAAAUAUAGGAAUUUGAACUGUAACAGGUUUCCACCCUGCAAUUAAAGACAUUUCAAAGUCUUCCCAGUCUACGUGAUAGAAAUUAUUAAUUAAAUUAUGGGUAAAUUUUUGCCUACAUUGUUAUUGAACUAUAAAUUAAUUUUUAUUCAAGGUAUUAGAUUGUUAAGUUUUUCCUUUUUAAAGUUCCACCAAUAAGUUUCAAGUGACAAUUCGAUAAUCGGUAUGAUAGAUGAACACUCAUCAACGAGUAAAAUAACACACCUUAUAUUUAAAUCGGUCUAAUAGUCAGUGUCGAAGAUCGAAGAAAAAAUUUUGUUUGAAUUUUGGUUUACAGAUUCAUGUCCAAAGUUGUUUCAUAAAAAAAAAUUGAAUUAUGUAAGAGAAGGGGAAAGAAAACUUUCGAUUGGUGUUAAUAGUGUGAAUAGAGAAAGUCAUAUAGCAUUGAUUUUAAUACCAAUGAAUUAAAAGAGAACUUUUAAAUAGUUCAAUGACCAAAUUGUAAUUUUUUUAGUUAAGUGACCAAAAAGAAAACUUACCCAUAAUUUAGUGACUAAUGAUAUAGUUUACCUAAAAUUUUCAUGGUAGGAAAUACGAAAAUUUUCAAAAUUUCUCCACUUUUAUUUCAUUUAGAACACAUGGUCUCUCUCACUAUAAGAUAAGAAACCUAAACUUCAAAAAAAAAUUUAUUUAAUUCUAAUAUGUAUUUUAAAAUUUAUUUUAUUAAAACCAUUAAUAGUUUUUUUUCUAAAAAUACAAUGAUAUUCAUAAUUAAUAUUUUAUAUUAUUUAUUUUUAAUAUAAUUAUUCUUUUUUAUAAUUAAUUUUUUAAACUAUAAAAUGCUAGCAACUAACUUUUUUUCUAAAUAAAUUAUUUAUCCAAACAAAAUAUUUACGAAUACUACCAUUUUGAAUUUAUAUGAAUUCUAAAAUGCUAGCAUUUUAAAUAUAUAAAAAAUUUAAUAUUCUUCAUCCAAAUACACUUUAAAUAUUUUAAUAAAAAAACACAAGUUCAUCUUGACCUAUUGGAUUUUAAAAAUAAAACUAAAUAUUAUAUAAAACUUGAAAUAUAAAAAUUAAUAAAUUCAAAAAAUUAAUUAUCCAUUUCAAAAAAUAUAUAAAAAAUGAAAAUUAUUACAAAAUUUAAAUGUUUCAGAAAAAUACAAUAAAUUAUAAAUAUUUGAAAAAUUAUUAAAAGUUUAAAAAUGUUAAAAUAAAAAUACAUGCAAUAGUAAUAAAAUGCUCUAAAAAAUUAAAACAAUUAUAAAAAGUAAAUAAAAAUUUCAAAAUUUUGAAAAUCACAAAAAAACUGUAUAAAACCCUAUUAGCAUGGUCGGCCACACUAUGCUACUUAUGAUGCUUAAAUAUAUACAAAAUCCUAGUAGCAUUAACUUAUUGUAAACAGUGGGGUACAAACCCUACUACUCUAUUUGGAAGCCUUUAAAACUUUAUUUAAUUUUACAAUCAUAAUUCUUAAUGAAAAACCCUAUAUUUUUCCACUUCACCUACCGUGAGAAACAAAUGCUUAUGUAAUUGUUAAUGAAGGAACGAUGUUUCUCUUCGGCUAGUGUCAACUCAUUAGGAGUGUCCACUUCAUUUGAUCCUGCUGGGAAUUCUCCGGCUUUGAUAACAGAGCUCAAGUCAUCGGGCAAUGAAGCAACACCGUCCAAAUACGAUAUAACGCUGGACAUGCUAGGCCUAGCCGCUGCCACCGGGUAUGAGCAAAGCAACCCAAGCUUCAACACCAACUCCGCUUGUUGUUCCACAAAUCUCUUCUCCAAACUCUUAUCAAUAGUCGCCAAAAUGUCUCCUUUAUCCCAGCAAUCCUUUAUCCAGUCAGCAAGAAAUGCUUCCUCUGGUGGCGCUCGUGGUUCGAUCGGCUUUCCACCACAUGCAACUUCAAGCAUGAAUGCUCCAAAUGCAUAUAUAUAUAUAUAUAUAUAUAUAUAUAUAUAUAUAUAUAUAUAUAUAUANNNNNNNNNNNNNNNNNNNNNNNNNNNNNNNNNNNNNNNNNNNNNNNNNNNNNNNNNNNNNNNNNNNNNNNNNNNNNNNNNNNNNNNNNNNNNNNNNNNNCCUGCUACGUACAUGCGAGCCAUGAACAUUCAUCAUGUUCUCUUGGCUUGCAUAUUGAAAUGCAAAAUUUAGAAACGUCUGUACUCCAUUUCGAUAACCGUUGCUUACCCUUGACAAAUUCAUCCAAGACCGGUCCAUUUCUUAAUUAUUGAAGUCUGACCUUGACAAUAAUUUGCACGGGUAAGUUAAAACGCCAGAUAUAACUAUAAAUGAGUUAUGUAAGUUAUGAUAUGAUAUAUUUUUAUGUAUUAUGUACUAAGUUAUGUAAGUUGUGUAUUAUGUGAGUUAUGUGAGUUAUGUAAGUUAUUUAAUAUAUGUAAGUUAUGUAAGUUAUGUAGGCUAUGUAUUAUCUAAAUAAUGUAAGUUAGGGAGGUUAUGUAUUAUGUAAGUUAUUUAAGUUAUGUAAGUUAUUUAAUUUAUGUAAGUUAUGUAAGUUAUGUAAGUUAUGUAAGUUAUUUAAUUUAUGUAAGUUAUUUAGAAAAAAUUAUGUAAGUUAUGUACUAAGUUAUGUAUUAUGUAAAUAAUGUAAGUUAGGAAGGUUAUUUAAGUUAUGUAUUAUGUAAGUUUAUAUAUAAGUUAUGAUAUAUAUUAUUGAUAAAUUUAAGUUAUAUAUUGUAUGUUAUUUAAGUUAUGUAUUAUGUAAGUUUAUAUAUAAGUUAUGAUAUAUAUUAUUGAUAAAUUUGAGUUAUGUAAGUUUUGAUAUGAUCGAUAAAUUUUGAAAAAAUUAUAGAUUUUAAAAAUAUAUAUAUUAAAAAUGUACAUACCAAUAUUUAUAAGUUAUGUAGGUUAUAUAUUUAAAAAUUUGGUUAUAUAAAUAUUUAUAAUUGUUUUUAAAAUUUAAAAAUUGUUUACUAAUAAAUUUGAAAUAUAGGUUAUAUAUCCAAUUUACAUUUAUUCGAUAAAUUAUAAUAUUUAUUAUUAAUAAAAUUGGAAUAUAGGUUAUAUGUUAUAUAUUAAUAUAUAUUAAUAAAAUUAUAUGUCCAUAUUAAUAUAUGUUAUAUAUUAAAAAGAUUUUGUCUUAUAAUAUAUGAGUAAUAUUUGUGUCCCAAAUUGAUUGUGUUUUCUGCACGAAAGGUUGCGUACAUGGUUCAAAUUCAAGUAAAGGAAAAUAUUUUCAGCAAAGAAAACCGAACACAUGAAGUACAAUUUGAGAUUUAAGCAAAGACUAAAUUCAGUAUCCGUACAUGGUUGAUUUAGCAGCAAAAAACAAUAAAAUGUACCAUCUUAGCAGCAAAAACAGAUGAGACAUUUAAAUUAUGUUUUGUAAACUUAUGAAUUAUUUAAUCAUUUGAAAUAUAUAAUUACAACGAACAAAAAUCAAAUCUGAACAUGAAACAAAUUUACAUGAACUAAAAACUUUAAAUCAAUUCAGUUCACAAUUGCAAUUAUAUUUGAUUUCAAUUUGGAUCUUUACAAACCAUGAGAAUACUGUAUAAUAUUUGCAAUUAUAUUCCAUAACCGAAAUUAAUUCAAACACUUAGGAGAAAGAUGGAGCAAAAAACAUCUUGAAGACCAGAACAAUAACCAGAAAUAAAUACAAUAAGCAACAACAUUAACCACAACGUGCAGCAAAAAAAGAACUUGCAACAACAUUAACCCCUAACAUUAACCAGCAACAUUAAGCAGAACUUCCAGCAAAAAAGAACUUGCAGCAGCAUUAACCAAAUACCAAAUUAAAACAGUCCCAACUACAAAUAUAUCAAAUAUAAAAACAGGCCAAAAUCACAUGUAAAUUUAUAAAACGAAAAAACAAAUAAAAUAAAGGAUAAACUAACCUUCUGGUUGUAACAACCCUAUACCAGUCUAAUCGUACAGAUCCAGUAUAAGGCUAUUACAUUUGGUGCCAAAACAGUCAUAGCUAGAUAUUGUUUAAUUAAAUCAAUUAUACAUAGUACUUUAACUUACCAACCAUAUUUGCAAACAUACGUAUAGUUUCACUAAUCCAUUUCAUAUAUAUAUACCAAAAUAUUUCAAGUACCUCAAAUUAGAUAGAAAUUCAAGAGUUUACAUUUUAGUUCCUAAUAUGUGGAAAUAUAACUGACUGCCUAUGUACAUGCCAUUUUAAUUCAAAAUAUGGUACCUACUUUUGAAACUCUUGAGGAUGUGAUGAGAUGAGAGAUCUUCUAUCCUGACUUUAUCUCUUCAAGUCAAACUGUACCUACGCGUUAAAAUUAAACGCGUUAAGCCGGUGAAGACUUAGUAAGCACUACAAGAAUAAACAAAUAAAUAAAUGUAAAUAAAAUAUUUCGAACUCAUUCUGUUGUUGCGUAUUUACGUACGUAUAAGCUUCAUAAAACUUACCUUAGCAUAUUAAUGAUUCGCUUUUAUCCACAAAUCAUAAUCUUAGCCCAAAAUAGAUUUUCAUAGAACACACCGGAUAUACGGAACAAAUACAGAGGUGCAUUAUUAUGCACUAAUGAACAGAGAGCACUAAAGUGCUAUACAGAGAGCACAGAUGUGCUAAACAGAGAGCACUGACGUGCUAAAUAUCAGAGAGCACCAACGUGCUAAUAGUCAGAGAGCACUAACGUGCUAAUAAUCAGAGAGCACUAACGUGCUAAUAAUCAGAGAGCGCGCUAAAGUUCCUUAAUGGCAUGCCACUAAUAUCCUGGUAGUUCUAAAUUCCAUCUACUUGGGCACUAAAACUGAAUCUCAUUCAUUUAAAUACUUUAUAGAAUUAUUUUGAAAAAGAUUUCUCAUUUCUCCAUCAUUACAAUUCAAUGCUUAUUUCACAAUUCACAAUUAUCACACCAUUUUCACACACACACACACAUAUAUAUACACUUUUGUCACAACAUUACUUAUUGUUCAAACAUUAUACCAUCUUAUAUUUUCCAUAUAUAAUUUUUCUUUACAAAUUUCAUAGUUCCAUAAUCUUUUAUUUUACUUUAUUUUAUUUUAUUUCUAAAUAGUUCUAUACUAUAAUAUAGGCAUUUAAAAUAAAUAAUUUCUAAAAAAAAUAAUCUUGUAGUACUUACAACAAAAAGGUUGAGAUGAUGUCUUCCUUCACUCCUUAGCCUUCUCUUUUCCUUUUUCUUCAAUAAGGUCCUUUCCUUUCCUUUCUUUCUCUUCAAUUUCAUAUAAAACACAUAAUAUUUAUAUAUUAGAAAAACAAUCAAAUAACUUUCCUAUAUCAUUUAAUAAAAAUAAACAUAUAUGAUAUAAUAAUUUCAUAAUUUCUUACCUUAGCUAAUAUUUCAAUUUAAUUCAUAACUAAAAUUAUUUCUAUUUCUAUCACAACCUAUACCUUAUUUCUACUUAAAUUCAACUUACACCUUAACUUAACUCUCAAAUUUUCACUAAUAAACCUUAAUUUCGAAUUUCUUACAAUUUUACAUUAAACUUAUAACUUAUUUCUCAAUUUCAUCCUUUUCCCAAUCCUAGUUUGAAUUUCCAUCAAUUCAACCUCUAAUUCAUCCACUAAUUCAAUAUAAACUACAUAAAAAAAUUCUACUAACUUUCAAAAUUUCAACAUAUACCUACUAGUAUUUUGAUCUAGAAUCAUAAAAACUCAAAAAUUUCAAGAAAAUGACUUAAUUUGACUUACCGAUUUGAAAUUGAACCUUAAAACCCUAAAUUCCUUCUUUACUUUUUCUUUCUUUCUUUCUCCCCUGUUUCUCCCCUGUUUCGUUUCAAAUGCUAUUCUGUUUCUUUCUCUUUAUUUCUUUUCUUUUGUUUUAUAUAUAUUUAUAUAAUAAUAUAAUAUUAUAAUAAUAUAAUAUAAUAACUUACUUAUUAAUUAAAUAACAUAAUAUAUAAUAUAUAUAUUUAAAUAAAAAAAAUAUCUUAGAUAUUUCAUUUGUUAUGCCGCCUCAAUUUUAGAAAAAGGCAUAAUUGCCUAUUUGGUCCUUUUAACUUUCUUUAAUUUAUAAUUAAACUUUCACACUUAUUUCAAUCUAAUCCCUUUUUCCUAAUUACUUCUAAUUAAAUCAAUUUCACCUAGUCAAAACAUAAUUAGACACACAACUAACUUCGUAAAUAUUUAUAAUAAAUAUUUACGAAUCCGAUUUACCGGAACGGAGUCCCGGAAAUGCAUUUUUUUAUUUAAUCUAUUUAAAUAAAUUUUACCAUAUAAUCAAUAAAAUUUUAUUAUCAAAAUUUUCAUGCAACCUUCCUAUCAUAAUAUAGACCAUACCACAAUAUUAAAAUAAAUUUUCUUUCUAGCUCGGAUUUGUGGUUACGAAACCACUAUUCCGAUUUACUGAAAAUGGGUCAUUACACUAGUUAUCUACCCUUUCUAUGUAUUGCUUCAAACCAGUGACAGGUAGCAAAUUUGCAGACUAGAUUGCUAAAACUAAAUUGCUGCAACCAAAGGAAAGAAAAAAUUAACUAAGAAAAAACUAAACUUGUUCAACUUCAUCACUAAAACAAAUUUACAUGAACUUAAGUGAAUAAUCAAUUGUCAAAUUAUCUAAAUCAAAAUAUUAAAAUAGCGUAUUUUAUAUAUAAAAUUUUCUUAAAUUUUAUACUGAUUAAACCUAAAUAGAAAGACAAAACAAACGUCCUGACUCCUUUAAACAAAAAUAAUUAGAAAUAAAAAACAAGGUUUAGAAUAUGCUGCAAAAUUGUUUUUAAUUUCGAAAUUAACUUUAACCACAAACAAAUUAAAAAUAUAUAUCAAUACAAAAAUUACUUAGGAAUUCGAAAGCAUACAAGUUAUUGUCAAAAUGUAAGACAGUUACUGCCUAAAACCCUAAACAAAAUAAAUUGGUAAAGCUAAAAUUAAGAGAAAAGAAUUUCAUACCUUUACGAAGACGGAGAGAAAGUAAAUCGGACAGGAUGUGAUUCCACAAUACUCAAAAAUGAGAUUGUUUUAUGAGCUUCGGAAACCCUUAAACCAUGGACGAAAUGGAAUGUUAACAAUAUUGAACCCUAAACAUGAAAAAUAAGAGGGAAAUCAAACCGGUUCGUGCUUACCCAAAAAACUAUUCCACUGUUCGUCUUCCUCUAAAUGCUGUGAAGAAUUAAACGCACUAAACCGACUAAAUGAAGAACCGAAUAAAGUAAAAGACUCCAUGAAUGUCUGGAAUUAGGGAAGUGGAGGAGAUUUCGAAAGGAAAAUAGGGAUUUGGAAGGGGAAGGGGAAGGAAACCGAGUUUAGGGGCUGCGUACGGGUUUUAGGGUUCGAAAGGGGAAAUAUGUGACGCCAAGCAGAGCGACGACGUUCAGAAUAUCUGAACUGUUCCUCAAAUGAAACGGCGACGUUCUGAACAUUUUGUAAUACACAGUUGCGGCGUUUUCAGAAAAAAUGCCGCUAAAGCUUACAAUUUGCGGCGUUUUAAAUAAAAACGCCACUAAAGAGUUAAAACCAUUUAAGAAAACGACGCCGUUUUCAUACACACAAUAAUUUAUGGAUUUGCGAUGUUUUUAUAAAAAACGCCACUAUCGUAUACCUACAGUGGCGUUUUUCAUAAAAACACCACUAAAAAUCAAAUUCAUGUAUCCAAACAGCACCAUUUUACAUAAUUUUAAACACAUUUUUGCGGCGUUUCUGGCCCAAACGCCACUACUGUAAAAAAUUUCCAAGUAUUUAAUAAUUUAAAAAAUUUAAAAUAUCAUACAACAAUAUGACAAUAUUAUUUUUAAUUCUAUUAAAUGGGAAAUUUGAUUUUUAGUGAUGGUAUUUUUCUUAAAAUUUAAGGUAGGAACUUAAUCCGUAUAUAGUGUUUGUAUUUUUCUAAAACUUCAAUUUAAAAAUUUAAUUCGGUGAAGUCAGGUUGUAUUUUUCAAAAAUACUAAAUAACCUAAACCCUAAAUCACAACCCCUAUAUAUCCUGAAAACCAUCAACCGUAAACUUUUUACCCUAAACCCUUAAACCCUAAACCCUUAACCCUUAACCCUUAAUCCUAAACCCUUAACCCUAAAUUGAUAUAGACCCUCUUAUCCCUUAAACCCUAAAUCUUAAACCUAUAAAUCAUAAACCAUGACCCUUAACCCCUAACACCUACACCCUAAGCCCCAACCUCAAAUGAUAAACCACAAACCAUAAUACGUAACCCUUAACCAUAUCCCCUAAACCUUCAAUCAUAUAACAUUAACUAUAAACCCCUAACCCUUAACCCUAAACACUUCAACCUUAGACCCCAACUAUUGCACCAUAAUCCCUAAACCCCUAACUCAACCAUAUUCCUUAAACCCUGAAUCAUAGAACAUAUAUAAACCCUAAAUCUUAAACCCUAAAUCAUAAAACAUUUAUAAACUAUAAACCUUAAACCUCAACCCUUAAAUAAUAAACAAUAAACAAUAAACCGUAAGGCCUAAAUCCAUAAUCCCUAAACCGCCAAUGUGUUGAAAGCUCAACAAAAAAAAAUAUUGUUUUGCUUAACGAUUUUGCGGCGUUUUUCUAAACGCGCCACUAAUGUCUCUAAACCUCCACAAGAAAACGACAACGUUUUGCUUAAAUAUUUUUGAGGCGCUUAACAUAAAGCGCCACUAAUGCUUGACUUCUACGGCGUUUUUAAAGCUGCGCCGCUAGUGUACCUAAACCUUAACAACAAAACGGUGCCGUUUGCAUAGCAAUUCUUGCGGCGUUAGCGUAAAACCGCCGCUAAUUAUUGAAUUUUGCGGCGUUUUAGCAAGGCGCCACUAAUAUCUCUAAAAGUAAACGUUGCGUUUUGGAUAAGAUCUUCGUGGCAUUUUCGCGUAAGCGCCACUAAUUCUAGUAUACAUCAAGACCAAACUCUGUGUUUUGGUUAAGAUACUUUGCGGCGCUUUUCACCAAAUGCCGCUAAUACUAUGCUUUAGCGGCAUUUCCCUUAAGCGCCACUAAUGCUAGUAUACAUAAAGACUAACACGCUGCGUUUUGGUUAAGAUACUUUGCGGUGCUUUACAAUAAGCGCCACUAAUUCUAGUGUACCUCAAGACCGAACUCCGCGUAUUGGUUAAGAUAUGUUGCGGCGCUUUUCAAAGCACGCCGCUAAUACUGUACUUUAGUGGCGUUUUGUCGUCGACGCCACUAAUUCUAGUAUACAUCAAGACUAAAACGCUGCGUUUUGGUUAAGGUAUUUUGCGGCGCUUCCCACUACACGCCGCUAAGACUAUGCUUUAGCGGCGUUUUGUCAUAAACGCCACUAAUUCUAAUAUACAUCAAGAUUAAAACGAUGCGUUUUCGUUAAGAUUGUUUGCGGCGCUUUUCACCGAGCGCCGCUAAUACUUGCUUUAGUGGCGUUUUGUCAUAAACGCCACUAAUUCUAAUAUACAUCAAGAUCAAAACGAUGCGUUUUCGUUAAGAUUGUUUGCGGCGCUUUUAACCGAGCACCGCUAAUACUUGCUUUAGUGGCGUAUUCCAAUAAUCGCCACUAAUUUUGGUAUACAUCAAGACCAAAACGCUGUGUUUUGGUUAAGAGAUUUUGCGGCGCUUGAAGGUAACGGUCAAAAAAAUGAUUGUUGCACUGUUCACGCACGGGGCAAAUCGCGUCCCCAAGAGCGCGCUACACAUCAGCAAAUCGUGUCCACGUCAGCGCGCUUUGCUUACGUGGAUGCGAUUUGCUGAUACGUUUCCUGACUUCGCGCUGACGUGGACGCGAUUUAGGGGAAAGGGCCCAUUCUGGUAAAUAAUGGAAUACCGUGCCCAUUUCGGUAAAUUUAAAAAAAUUAGGCUUUUAAUGGUAAAUUGUCCUAACAUAUCAUCAUUUAAUUAAUUUUUUAAAAUUUAAAAAAAUAAAAAAAUAUUUAAAAAUUAAUUAAAUACUGACAUGUUAUUCACAUGGGAAUCUACAUAUAUACUACAUCAGCAAAGUGAAUAAAUAUUAAUUUUCCUAUUUAUUUUAAAGUGAUUUGACAAAAAAUUUAAAGUAAAACACAAACUUAAGAACAGUUGCAAUUAUUGUAGGCUCCAUUUUAUCAACACCCACCUUGUUGGAUUCAUAUGCAUCACUCAUUUAUGGCCCCCCAAUUUCCACAACUACGCGCAUUCAUUUGGAAAGUGAAAAGGUUAUAGAGAAAUUGCUUAGAAACCACCUUUAUUCUUCCCUGGAAAUUUGAUCUGUUUCUAGUUUCUUUCAGACGUAUUGAGCUAUCAGUUUUCUGAUUUUCAACACUACAUCCACAUUUUUUUUUUCUCGCACAUCGUCAUGUCGUCAUUACCUUCAACUUCUUCGUCCAAUUCUAGAAAGAAAUAUGAUGUUUUCUUGAGUUUUAGAGGUGAAGAUACCCGCACCAACUUUACCGAUCAUCUCUAUGAUGCUUUAAGUAGGAGUGGGAUCGUCACUUUCAGGGAUGAUCCAAAGCUGGAGGCCGGCGAAGAGAUCGCGCCAGAACUCUUUACAGCAAUUCAGCAAUCAUGGUGUUCGGUAAUCGUUUUUUCACAAACUUAUGCCUUUUCAAGUUGGUGCUUGGAGGAGCUUGCUGAGAUUGUUAAACAACAUAACAACGACGGUCAUAAAGUGUUUCCAAUUUUUUACGAUGUUGAUCCAUCUGAUUUAAGAAAACGAAAAGAGAAAGUGGAAGAAGUCUUUGCUAGACAUAAAGAUAGUGAGAAGAUCCAAAGGUGGCGAAAUGCUUUAAUUCAAGUGGCUGGAAUCAAGGGAUGGUAUUUAAAUAACAGGUAACUCUUUCUUUUCUUCUCUCUAUUUUCUAUUUUUUGGGAUAUAUAUGUAUAACUUUGUUUUUUUCUUUCUAAUCCUAUGUGUUUAAUUGAAAAAUGUCUUGGUUCUUGUUUGCUUCCAAACUAUAUUAUGUUUCAUGAUUCAUUGAAAAAGAAAGUGCAUUUGAUAAUAUGAAAAAAAAAAAUUAUUCAAAAGAUUAAAAUUUAUUUUCUUGUAGGCAUGAAUCAGAAUUUAUUAGAGAGAUUAUUAAGAAGAUAUCAGCAAAACUAUGUCACCCAGUUACUCAUAGUGACUUGGUUGGAAUGACUGAACGCUUGGAGGAUUUAUAUUUGAAAAUAAACAUUGGGGAAAAUGAUGUCCGCAUUAUAGGGAUUUGCGGAAUGGGUGGUAUCGGUAAAACAACACUCGCAAGACUUGCUUAUAAUCAAAUGUCACGUCAUUUUGAAAGUAAAAGCUUUAUUGCUGAUAUUCGAGAAGUUUCAGACAGAUGUGGAUUAGUUUCUUUACAGAAACAACUUCUUUCUGAGAUUUUUCAUGAUGAAUGCUUCAAAUUUUUCAAUGUUCAUGAAGGGAACGAUAUAAUUAGUCAUAUGUUGUCUCGCAAAAAGGUUCUUGUUGUUCUUGAUGAUGUUGAUAACAUACAACACUUAAAAUGCUUGGUUGGAAGGCACGAUUGGUUCGGAUUAGGGAGUAGAAUCAUUGUAACAACAAGAGAAGAACAUUUGCUUCGAUCUUGGCCAGUUAAUGAUAUGUAUGAGCCCACAACAUUGAAUCCCAAAGAUGCGCUUCAGCUUUUCAGUCUGAAAGCUUUUCAUAGUGAUACAGUGCCGAAAGAUGAUUUCAUUGAGCUUUCUUACCAUGUUGUAAAAUAUGCUGGUGGGCUGCCGUUAGCUCUUGAAAUUUUGGGUUGCUUUUUAUGCGGUAGAGAUGCUACUCAAUGGAGAAGUGCAAUUGAAAGACUUAAAAGAGAUUCUAACAAAGAAAUUCUUGAUAAACUUCGAAUCAGUUUUGAUGGAUUGGAAGAAAGGGAGAAGAAUAUAUUUCUAGAUAUAGCAUGCUUCUUCAAUGGGGAGGAGAAAGAUUGUGUAAAGAAAGUAUUGGAUGGUUGUGAGUUNNNNNNNNNNNNNNNNNNNNNNNNNNNNNNNNNNNNNNNNNNNNNNNNNNNNNNNNNNNNNNNNNNNNNNNNNNNNNNNNNNNNNNNNNNNNNNNNNNNNUGUUCUCAUUAAAAAAUCUCUCAUAAAAGUCGAUGAACACAAAUAUUUGUGGAUGCAUAACUUGUUGCAAGAAAUGGGAAGAAAAAUUGUUAGAGAAAAAUGUGUUGAUAAACCUGGAAAACGUUGCAGAUUAUGGGAGGAAAGAGACGUCUAUCAUGUCCUAACAAAAAACACUGUAAGUCAUUUAACAAAAGUUACAUACUAUUUCUAUUUUGUUAUAUAAUAUCAAAUCAAUAUAUGAUAUAAACCCAAAGCUUAGUCUAAUUGGUUGAUACAACUAUUCUUAAAAAGUGAUCUUUAGUAAUUUUGAGAUUACAAAUAUUAAAAAGGAUUUGUAGAAAUAAAUAUUUAAUUUCAUUGCAUUACCCUCUUUAGAGCAUAAUAUUUGUAGAAAUUGUUUUAUUUAAAUUUAAAAUGCUUUAUUUAUUAUAAUUAGAAUAUAAUAAUGCUAAAAAAAAGUAAGUUUUUAAAAGUUUUAUCCUACAUUAUACACCAUUUAAUUUAAUUUAUUUUCUAUUUUUGAUUUUUCUUAGGGUACAAAAAUAAUUGAAGGUAUAAUCAUCGAUAAUAAAAGGUAAGAAAACAUAAACUUAUAUUUACGUGUAAUAUGAUAAAAAAAUAUAGCAAAACCUUUGACACCCAAUAUUUCAAUGUUUAAUUAAAAAAUUUAUCUACUAGCGUAUUACUCUUCCAAAAGAUUCAAUAGAGAAAUGUAUGUCUUUUUGAAAUAUUAAUAGUAUAUCAAUGAAAUAGACUAUAACAUAACUUUUAGAUAUUGAAUGUUUUAGUAUAUUUUGAAGCUCAUUUUUGCUUUGCUCACUUAUAUUAGGGAAUCGGGCAAGAUGCUCAACUUGAGUGUCGAUGCCUUCUCAAAAAUGAAAAAAUUGAGAUUGCUCAAAGUGCUUUGCCUAUUAAAUUGUGAUGAUCUCAAAUUUCUUUCUAAUGAGCUACGGCUUUUAGAUUGGAAAGGAUGCCCUUUAAGAUCGUUACCUUCAAGCUUUCAACCGGACAACCUUGUUGCACUUCUUUUAUCAUAUAGUCGCAUUCAACAACUAUGGAAGGGAAACAGAGUAAGAAUUAACUCAUGUCAUCCUUGAAUUUUAGCUUAUUUUAAUAUAAAUGAUUAAACUUUGAUUAAGAUAAAAAAAACAAAAAUAAGCAUUAUUAUGUUUUCUCAUUUGUUUCUAAUUUAUUGUGAUCUUCAACAGCCCUUGUGUAAGCUGAAAAUGAUGAACCUUGAAGGGUCCCAAAACCUGAUCAAGACACCAGAUUUCACAACGGCAUCAAAUCUUGAAGUUCUAAUAUUGAAAGGUUGUACCAAAUUAGUGGAUAUUCAUCCAUCAAUCGCAGUACUUAAGAGCCUUCAAGUUUUGAAUUUAAGAGAUUGCAAAAGUCUUAGUAGUCUUCCGACCAUAACUGGAAUGGAAUCUCUUGAAACAUUAAUUCUUUCGGGUUGCUCAAGUCUUGUAAGGUUUCCGGAGAUUGAUGGGAAAAUGGAACGUCUAAAAACUCUAGAUCUUUCCGGUUGUUAUAGAGUUGAAAAUUUAUCAGAGAAUUUGCAGCAUGCAAAGUUUUUGGAAGAGCUCGACUUGAGAGAAACAGCCAUAACAGAACUACCAUCCUUCAUUUUUCAAUUUAAAAAUCUUAAAGUUCUGUCUUUCAAUGGAUUCAAAAGAGGAAGAAAAAAUUCCAUGGCUCCGAUGUUACCUUCAUUGUCAGGUUUGAGUUCAUUAAGAGAGUUGAAUCUAAGGGACUGCAAUCUUUGUGAAGGAGAUAUUCCACGUGAUAUUUCUGGUCUAUCCUCUUUGGAAGAACUUAAUCUUAGUGGUAACAAUUUCACCAGCAUACCUGCAUCUCUUACUCGACUCUCCAAGCUUGAAGAGCUUAUAUUGUCAAAUUGCAACAUGUGCACUCUUGGUGAAGUAGAUAUUCAUGGUCUAUCCUCUUUGGAACGGCUUUUUCUUAACGGUAACAAUUUCAUCACCGUUCCUUUGGCUCUGGCUCAACUUUCCAAGCUUAAAUUGCUUGGAUUAUCAAAUUGCAUGAAGCUUAACUCGUUGCCUGAGCUACCAACAAGUAUAGAAGAAGUGUGGCUAGAUGGUUGUUCUUCACUUGAAGUAGUUGCAAGUCCAUCAAAAGUAUGCAAGUUAGUGGAUUCGGCUGCUAUUAUAGCCUUUAACUGCUUCAAAUUGGCUGAGAAUAUCAACGCAUUAACACUGCUGAGAAAACAUCUUAAGGUCGAUUAAUCUCUCUUUUUCUCCCUUACAAAAUCUCAUACUUGAGAAUUUAUGGUUUUAGUUAUCAAACGACUUAUGUUUUAUUUUGCAGGCAUUUGCAAAUUCAAGAAAAAUGUUUGAUAUUAUCAUGCCAGGAAGUGAAAUCGCAGAAUGGUUUAGCCAACAAAAAGGUGACUUCUUUAUUAAGAUUCCCUUACCUAUCAACCUUCAAGAGGAUAGUGAAUGGAUUGGAGUUGCUUGUUGCUGCAUUUUUGUCAAUAGUGAUGCUUCAAGGGAUGCGGGCUUUAUCGACUGUCGAGCGUUAAUGUAUGGUAGAAAUCAUCGACGGAUUGAGGGUGGAGGCUAUUUGGUGGGUAAACGAUUCAACAUGCCCAUAAUGAAAGAUCACAUUUUUCUUCGUUAUUGGUCGCGUGAUAAAUUAUAUCCAUUUUCCUUGAAGGAUAAAUAUGGUGGCUGUGAAACCAAUAAUUUACGGGCAACAGGCUUAGAUCAUAAAUGUGAUGGGCUUUGUGUGUUUUUCAAUGGUCAUAGCCUUAAGGUGAAGAAGUGUGGUGUUAGAAUAGUGUAUGAGAAAGAUUUGGAAGAAAUAGAAGAGUUGCAGUGCCAUAUCACUCAAUCUUCACCAGAUUUUGAACACAUCCACCAACACUCUGCUCAAAACGAUGGAUCAGUAGGUAGCACUUCUGACAUAAAACAAAAACGAAAUAUCUCCGAGGAAGCGGAGGAAGAGGGGCUGCAACCAAAAUUGAUGCAAAAAUUUUUCAAAUUUAUAAUGGGCCAAUCAGGGAAGAAGCAUUAACUGUGGUAAACUACUUAACCAAUCUUUUAUUUAAAGUGAUCAAUCUAGACUUAUUUACGAUCCUUCUUACAUACCAAAAACUUAUAAAUCUUUUACUUAUAUUCAACAGGAGCUCAUAUCAUAGUUUAUAUAUAUCAUUUAAAAUUUUAGUGGCUUAAUUCAUUCCGUUUUACAUAACUGAAAUGUGAAAAUUUUUAUUGGUUUCAAUUUUUAUUAAAUUUUAUUUUCAUUAUAUAUACACUUAUAUCUAUAUUUUAUUUGUAGGUUGAAAUAAAUAUAAUCAACUUGACAUAGAAAUGUAGAGAAAAAUGGAUAGCUUCCGUGACAAAACAGGUAACAAUAAGGUGAAAUCCUUUAAUAAAGAUCAGAUUAUAAUUUGGACCGAGUUAAAAACUAUUUUUUUUAUUUGAGACUAACUUAUGUGUUCAAUUUAAUCACUCAAAAUUGUUUUUAUAUAUUUAGAAGAUUAAAAAUAAGUCCUUUACUAAUACUUGAAUAGGUUUAAUUACUCCUAAUAAAAAUAAGUCCAAAUUAUGUGUCAUUGUUUGGUUCAUUAACUUGUAAAUUAUGCAUUGUUCGCGAACCAAACAUAAAUCAACAUAUUAAUUCAAUUUUUUAGGAUUAGGUAAUUUAACAUUGGGUGUGAUUGUUAGAUAUAAGUAUCUCUUUAAUAUGGGUAUAUUCAAAAAAAAAUUUAAAAACUGUUUUUUUUCACGUAAUUAAAAAGUUAUUAAAGGAUCAUAUCUUAAUUAAUACCCAUAUACGAAUGUGUAUUAGAUAUAAGUAUUGGAUACGAGUACUUUAAAAAAUAAAUUGAUGCAACAUUUCUUUUAAAUAUUGAAUGUUUUAGUAUAUUUUGAAGCUCAUUUUUGCUUUGCUCAUUGAUAUUAGGGAAUCAGGCAAGAUGCUCAACUUGAGUGUCGAUGCCUUCUCAAAAAUGAAAAAUUUGAGAUUGCUCAAAGUGCUUUGCCUAUUAAAUUGUGAUGAUCUCAAAUUUCUUUCUAAUGAGCUACGGCUUUUAGAUUGGAAAGGAUGCCCUUUAAGAUCAUUACCUUCAAGCUUCCAACCGGACAACCUUGUUGCACUUCUUUUACCAUAUAGUCGCAUUCAACAACUAUAGAAGGGGAACAGAGUAAGAAUUAACUCAUGUCAUCCUUGUAUUUUAGCUUAUUUUAAUAUAAAUGAUUAAACUUUGCUUAAGGUAAAAAAACAAAAAUAAGCAUUAUUAUUAUUAUGUUUUCUCAUUUGUUUCUAAUUUAUUAUGAUCUUCAACAGCCCUUGUGUAAGUUGAAAAUGAUAAGCCUUGGAGGGUCCCAAAACCUGAUCAAGACACGAAACUUCACAACGGCAUCAAAUCUUGAAGUUUUAGUGUUGAAAGGUUGUACCAAAUUAGUGGAUAUUCAUCCAUCAAUCGCAGUACUUAAAAGCCUUAAAGUUUUGAAUUUAAGAGAUUGCAAAAGUCUUAGGACUCUUCCAACCAAAAUUGGAAUGGAAUCUCUUGAAGCAUUAAUUCUUUGGGGUUGCUCAAGUCUUGUAAGGUUUUCAGAGAUUGAUAGGAAAAUGGAACGUCUAAAAACUCUUGAUCUUUCAGGUUGUUAUAGAGUGGAAACUUUAUUGGAGAAUUUACAGCAAGCAAAGUUUUUGGAAGAGCUCGACUUGAGAGAAACAGCCAUAACAGAACUACCAUCCUUCAUUUUUCAAUUUAAAAAUCUUAAAGUUCUGUCUUUCAAUGAGUGCAAGGGACCAUCAUAUAAGUUACUACCAAAUUUGCCUUCUUUUUUCAAGGUAAUCCAAGGAAGAAGGACAAAUCCCAUGGCUCGGAUGUUGCCUUUGUUGUCAGGUUUGAGUUCUUUAAGAGUGCUAAGAGUGCUAAAACUAAAGGACUGCAAUCUUUGUGAAGGAGAUAUUCCACCAUAUAUUUUUGGUCUAUCCUUUUUGGAAUAACUUAAUGUUAGUGGUAACAAUUUCAUCAGCAUACCAGCAUCUCUUACUCGACUCUCCAAGCUUGCAAAUCUUAUAUUGUCAAAUUGCAAUAUGUGCACUUUUGGUGAAGCAGAUAUUCAUUAUGAUAUUUCUGGUCUAUCCUCUUUGAGUUAUCUUGAUUUUAGUGGUAACAAUUUAAUCAGCAUACUUGCAUCUUUUACUCGACUCUCAAAACUUCAUGUUCUUGACUUGUCAAAUUGCAACGUGUGCACUCUUGGUGAAGCACUCUUUGAUAUGUCUUGAUCUUAGUGGUAAGAAUUUCAUCACCAUUCUUUUGGAUCUUAUUGAAAAAUAGAAUGUCGGUAAUGACAAUAUAUCAUAAAGAAAAAAGAGAAAUAAAAAUAAAUAACAUAUAGAUUUUACGUGGAAAUCUUUUUUGUGAAAAAAACCACGGGUAAAUGAGAAGAAAAUUCAUUAUGUCGAAUUCGAAUAAUUACAAGAGAAGUAGACUAUGUCUAUUUAUAGGCUUGUAAAACCAUCUUCUAGUAAGAUUGAAACAUCUUAUUUUAAUUAAUUUCAAAUAGAUGGAGUUUAAUAAGGUUUAAAAAACCUUAUUCUAAAAAUAAAAUAAAUGAAGAAUAAUUCUAUAGGGAUUUUACUUUUUAUUUUAUUUUAGCACUAUAUUUGAUUUAAAUAAGGAUUCAGUCACUUAAUUCUAACAAUUUCUAUCUUGACACGAAUUCUUAAUGAACAAGUUCUUCAUCGUGAACUCUUAACGAAUAAGUUCUACACCUCUUCCAUAAAACCCCUUAAGGGUUUAAUUUCAACAAUGAACAUCAACUAAGUCUAAGCAAUGCUCAAACUUGGUUAUAGGAAGUGACUUAGUCAUUAUAUCUAUAGGAUUUUCAUGAGUACUAAUUUUGCUCACAACAAUAUCGCCACGAGUAAUAAUAUCACGAACAAAAUGAUACUGAACAUCAAUUUGUUUUGUUCUCUCAUGAAACAUUUGAUAUUUUGUAAGGAAGAUGGUACUCUGACUAUCACAAAAUACUGUAUUUAUUUGAAAGUUUUAAUUGAGUUCACUUAAGAAUCCCUUUAACCAAAUAGCUUAUUUACAAGCUUUAGUAAUCGCCAUAUACUUAACUUCAGUGGUAGACAAAGCGACUACAGUUUGUAAAGUGGCUUUCUAACUGAUUGCAAAACCCCCGAUUGUAAAGAAAUAACCUGUGAGAGAUCUUCUUAUAUCGAGGACUUCAGCAAAAUCAGCAUAAAAAAACCCAAUGACUCUAUCUCUAGUUCUUCCAAACUGUAAGCAAACAUCAGUAGUACCUUGCAAGUAUCUUAAAACCUACUGAACUGCUUUCCAAUGUUAUUUACCAGGAUUCAACAUGUAUCUGCUAACUGCACUGACUGCAUAUGAUAAAUCUGGACGUGAAUAAACCAUAGCAUACAUGAGAGAUCUCACUGCACUAGACUAUGGAACAUGUGACAUGUACUCAAUCUUAUCAUCUAAUUGUGGAGAUAAAGCCAAUUAAAGUUUGAAAUGGGCUACUAAAUGAGUACUAACAAGCUUAGCAUUCUACAUAUUGAAUCUGCAAAGAAUUAAUGUACCCCUUCUAACUUAGGUAUAAUUUACUUGCUUUUCUAUUUCUAAGAAUCUCUAUACUAAGUAUCUUAUUUGCUGGUAUCAAAUCUUUCAUCUCAAAUUCUUCACUUAGUUGGACUUUAACCUUUCUUAUCUCUCAUUUAUCUUUCGCUGCUAUCAACAUGUUAUCAACAUAAAGGAGUAGAUACACAAAAAGAGUAUCACAGUUUUUCUUAAAGUAAACACAACUUUUAAAACCAUGAGAAGUUAUAAAAGAAUCAAACCUCUUAUACCACUGUAUUGGUGACUGUUUCAAACCGUAAAGGGACUUUUUUAGCAAGCAAACAUAGUUUUCUUUUUCUAAGACUGUAAAACCCUCUGGUUGUUACAUGUAAAUAUCCUCCUCAAGUUCUUUAUGCAAAAAUUCAGUUUUUUCAUCUAACUGCUUAAGUUUUAAAUCAUGCAUUACCACAAUACCAAGCAAAGCUCGAAUCGAACUAUGCUUCACAACUGGAGAGAACACAUCUGUGAAGUCCACUUUUGGAAUUUGACUGUAACCCUUUGCAACAAGUCUUGCUUUAUAUCUUGGUUAUUCAACUCUUGGAGUCCCCUCUUUCUUCUUAAACACCCAUUUACAACGAACAACUUUUUUACCUUUAGGAAGUUUUAUAAGAUCUCAUGUUUUAUUUUUGUGUAGUGAUUUAAUCUCCUCUUACAUAGCAAACAUCCAAUUUUCUAAGUCUUCACAACAAACCGCCUCAAAAUAAUUAGAUAGUUCUUGAUUUUCAUCUAUAUCUUCAGCCUUAUUUAAAGCAUAAAUAAUUAGAUUAGCUUUCCUGUCUAUUUUUCAAUCAUGGUUUUUCAAGACUUAAAUGCGAAAAACACAUUGCUUUUUUGCUUCAAGAAGAACGCCCACACUUUUCUAGAAAAAUCAUAAAUAAAGGUUAGUAUAUAAUUAGCUCCACCUCUCAAAGACACUCUAGAUGGCCCCCACAGAUCAGAAUGAAUAUACUCUAACGUUCCCUUCGUGUUAUGAAUUCCUCUGGUGAAUCAACUCUCUUUUGAUUCCCAAAAAUGCAAUGCUCGUAGAACUUCAGUUUGCAAAUUUCUUACCCAUCAAAAAGUAAUCUUUUGUUCAAUUCUUCCAUGCCAUUCUCACUUAUAUGCCUUAGGCGUAUAUGCCAAAAUUUAGUAAUAUCAUCAUUAGUCAAGGAAGAGGAUGCGACAGCUGGAUCACCAGUAACUGUAGAACCCUACAAAACAUAUAACUUGACAGUCUUUCUCUGCCCUUUCAUCACAAUGAGGGAACCUUUGGAAAUAUUAAAAACCCCACUUUCAGUUGUGUAUUUGUACCCUUUUGAAUUAAGAAGACUUAACGAAAUUAAAUUUCUCUUCAAUUCUGGAACAUGUCGUACGUCACUAAGUGUUCUGACAACUCCGUCAAACAUCUUAACUUUAAUUGUUCCAACAUCUGUAAUUCUAUAUGAAGAAUUAUUUCCCAUCAAUACAACACCUUCAGACACUUUUUCGUAAGCUGUAAACCAAUCUCAACUAGAACUCAAGUAAAGAAAGCUGCCCGAAUCAAGGAUCCAUUCCUCGCUCACUUUAGAAUUGUUGACAGAAGCAAAAAGAAGUUCACCAUCGUUGUAGUCUUCUACAAUAUCAACGUUACCAAUUUUUUUUUAUUUUUUCCAUUUUGAUUCGCAAUCUUCCUUUUGAUCUUGUUCUAUAGCUUAUAACACUCAGAUUUAAUGUGUCCUUUCUUCUUACAGAAGUUACAAGUUUUACCUUUAUUUGAAGACUUCGAUCUACCCUUUGAUUUACCAUGAAGAUUUCGUUCCUGUGUCCUUCCACGAUCAUCAUUAACAUUCUGAUAUUGUCUUCCACAAACAAUAAGACCCUCUCUCUGAAUUCAGUUUUAACCAUAAAAUGCUUUAUCUUAUAAUACGAGGUUAAAGAAUCAUAAAUCUCAUCAAGUGUGAAAGACUCGCGACUAUAUAAAAUCGUAUCUCUAAAGGUUGAAUAAGAUGGGGGCAACGAAUAAAUUAGAAUUAACCCUAGUUCUUUCUUGUCAUAUUGAACCUUAAUGGCCUCUAAGUUUAAGAGAAUUUCUUUAAACAAUAUUAAGAGUUCGUGCACAGAUGCACCUUCCUCCAAACGAUGAGCAUAAAGAUGCUACUUCAUAUGCAACUUGCUAGUUACAGUUUUCGACAUAUAUAUUUGUUUCAACCUCUUCCAUAAUCCAGUAGCGAUCUUCUCUUUCAUCAUAUCUUGCAAAUUUUUUGUUAGAAAAAUGUAAAUGUAAUUGUGUUAACGCCUUUCGAUCCUUAUGCUUCUUCUUUUGCUCCGUCAAUGUUGAAGGCAUCUUAUCUACCCCUAGUAGGGCUUCCUCUAAGUCUAUUUAUGCAAGAAUUGCCUACAUCUUUAUUUGCCACAACGCAAAUCUGAUGUUGCGAUCCAACAAUGAAAUUUCAUACUUUAAAGACAUUAUUAUCGUGAUUGAGAUGAAAACUUAAAAGCUCAGAUACCAAUUUGAAAAAUAGAUUGUCGAUAAUGACAAUAUAUCUCAAAGAAAAAAGAGAAAUAAAAAUAAAUAACACACAGAUUUUACGUGAAAAUCCUUUCAGGAAAAAAAACCACAGGCAGAGAAGAAGAAAAUUCACUAUGUCGAAUUCAAUAAUUACAAGAGGAGUAGAUUAUGUCUAUUUAUAAGCUUGUAAAACCAUCUUCUAGUAAGAUUGAAACACCUUAUUCUAAUCAAUUUCAAAUAGAUAGAGUUUAAUAAGGUUUAAAAAACUUAUUCUAAAAAUAAAAUAAAUGAAGUAUAAUUCUAUAGGGAUUUUACUUUUAUUUUAUUUUACCACUAUAUUUGAUUUAAAUAAUGAUUCGGGUCACUUAAUUCUAACACUUACUCAACUUUCCAGGCUCAAAUUGCUUAAAUUGUCAGGUUGCAAGAUGCUUAAAUCGUUGCCUGAGCUACUAAGAAGUAUAACAGUUGUGAGUAUAGAUAGUUGUUCUUCACUUGAAGUAGUUGCAAGUCCAUCAAUAGUUUGCAAUUUAAUGCAUUCAGGUGCCGUUAAAGCCAUUAACUGCUUCAAAUUGGCUGAGAAUAUCAAUGCAUUAACACUGCUGAAAAACAUCUUAAGGUUGAUUAUCUCUUUUUUCUCCCUUACAAAAUCUCAUACAUUUUACCAAACGACUUGUGUUCUAUUUUGCAAGCAUUGGCAAAUUCAAAAGAAAAGUUUGAUAUUAUGAUGCCCGGAAGUGAAAUCCCAGAAUGGUUUAGCCAACAAAAAAGUGACUCUUCAAUUAAGAUACCCCUACCUAUCAACCUUCGGAAAGAUAGUCAAUGGAUUGGAGUUGCUUGUUGCUGCAUUUUUGUCAAUAAUGAUCCUUCAAUGGAUGACGAGAUUUUACGUUGUGUAGCAUUUACCUGUUGUAGAAAUUCUUGAAAACCUUCUAUGAAAGAUAAGUAGAGAGACCAACAUGCUAAGAAAGCACAAGUGUCUGGUUGUCCCUAAUGAAAAUUGACAGGUUUCGGCCGUCAAAACAAAUAUGCACCCUUAAAUCCUGACCUCCGGCUGAAAUGUUAACAUCGUAGUUGCUUAAAGAAACUUGCUUGGUUGAUUGGAUCCUGUUUAUGUUUAACCCAAUAUGGUUGUCAUCCAUAUCUUGCUCGUUGCUCUUUCUGACAUCAAAUUCCACCGCCACCACACUGGCUUGAUUGAGAAGAACCAUUUGUGUUCUCAUUUACCAUCCCCAGCCACUGUCCUUGGCUGUUGUCCAGUAGGCUGGAGUUGUUUAUUAAAAAGGCAACACCUUCGCCACCACAAGAGGUUUGAUUGAGGCUAUUGAGGACGAACUCACAUGGAAAGAAGCAAUAGUGGUGUGGUUGCCUUUCUAAAGCUGAAAUGGUUUCUUAUACAGAGCUCGUCUAGACAAAUUUUCCAUGGAACCUCCAUAACAUCUCCAGUAGCUUGGAUGGUUCCAAGAACUAUGUAAGAAUUCCUACUCAAGAUAAGUUGGCUUUAACCAUAUUUCUGGAAAGUUGAAAAUUUGAACUGAAAAGGCCUUCUAUUAUAUAUCAAAAAAUUUAAAAUUUUUUAUUCAUAUAACAUAGUUUUUAAAACAUUUAAAAUUUUAGUCACUCAUUUUUACAAAAUGUGUACGUUUUAAUUGGGUUUACAUUUUUUUUAAUUUUAUUUUCAUUAUAUGUAUUCACUUACAUCUAUAUUUUAUUGUAGGUUGAAGUAAAUUUAAUUAAAUUAAUACCGAAAUGUGGAAUAAAAUGAAUAUAUUUUGUGACGAAACAGGUAAUAAUAAAGUGAAUCCUUUAAUAAGGAUUGAUCAUAAUUUCAGCUGUGAAAUGGUAAAAUUAACAUAUUUUAAUCUCAUUCUUAAUGCGUUUUUGGAUGAAUAUUUAUGCAAAUUGGUGAAUUUGAUGCUCCUAAUCCUUUGAAUUAAUGUUUUUAUAUUUAGGUGAACAUUAGGGAGCAGAAGAAGCGAAAAACGAGUGAAAAUCAGAGAAAAAGAGUAAAUUUCAGGAGCCACACGGGUUGGGCACACGCCCUUAUGAGCCACACUGGCUGGACACACGCCUAUGUGCCAGCCCGUGUCGAUUUCGCACUUUGCUUCCCAAACACACGGAAAAACAUAAUUUUUAGGCUUUCUAAACAUUCUAAAGUCUAUAAAUACCAAAUAGAAGAAGAAAUAGGGGAGCCAUUAGAGAAGGUCAAAGAAAACCCUCAAGGAACACCAUUGGAGUUAAUUCCCUAGAUACCUAGGGAGGAUGAAACCUAUGACGAAUUCUAUUAUCUAAUAUCUAAUUUACAUGAUAAAUACUUUAUUCUUAUUUUCAAUUAUGCGUGUUUAUUUCUUAUUUUAAUAUUUUCGGGAUAUUAAUUCAUGUUUAAUGUGCUUAAUUCAAUGGAGCAAAAGUCCCUGUGUAAGAGUAAAUUUAGCAUAACUGAGUGGACUUGCAUGCAAUCCUAUAAAUAGGACGACAGAAAUCUACCUGAUUAGAGUCAAAUCUAAUGGGGGAAUCCAUAGAUCGAGUUACUGUGACAAUAGGAGUUUUAAUUAGAAAGAGAUUUCAAUUAAUUAACCUCAAGUCCGUUGUUCUUACUCUCGAAAUAGAUAUUAACAUAAUUUAAGAAUUUCUACGAAUCAAGACACCAAGUGAAUAAAUCGUUUAAAUCAAAUUAAUAAAAUUAAUAAUACUAGAAGGAAUCUAGAUAGAUUGCGCAUUUUUACUUGUAAGGUUAUUAUAUAAUUUAUUAUAUAAUUAUGUUAUUAUACUAUUUUAAAUAGGGUUUUUGAAUUUUUUUUUGUAAAAUAUAAAUUUACAUAGUAAUUUAAUUGUAAUGUAAAUAAAUCCUUUUAAAUAAGGUAUAAUGAUAAAAAAAAUUUUCUUAUUGUUUAUAAAAUUUUAUUUUGAGUCAAAUUAUAAAUUUUUUUAAUGCAAAAUGCUGAUUAAACCAUUGACGUGAUAUGAAUAGUGAACUAUUAAACUUUUCAAGGGUAGUCUUAAUUGGAUCAUCUUUCCACAAUAGCCUUAUUUAAGUUUAUUAUGUUUUCUCAUUUGCUUCUCAUUUAUGAUGGUCUUCAACAGCUCUUGUAUAAGGUGAAAUGCGGCUGAGAUGGGAUUGCAUGUGGGAUUCUCGAGGGUGGAGAUCGAAGGAGACUCCUUAUCUGUGAUUCGGAAGCUGCAAACAAAGGGAGUUGAAAGGUCAGUGAUAGGAGCCUAUAUCUCAAAUACAGGGGUAUCAAAUCUGUGUCUUUAAACAUGUGCCAAAACAAGCAAACGGAGUUGCACAUCUAUUGGGUACAGAGGGAUUAAAGAGAGAUGAAGAAACUUAUCUUGUUGGCGCGGUUCCUUCAUACGCGAAAGUGGCAGCGGAAGAGGACCGUCAACAGUUGGGCUCACUUUGUCCCGCAGGUUGAAGAUCCACUGCUUAGAAAGAAGAUAAAAUGGGAUUUUACUGUGGGCAAACAGAUCGGAGAAUAGAUGGACUACUGGGUUUCUAAGUUUCGACGGAAGAUUGGUGUUUUGAAGUGAUGAAAUGCAGAGUUUAGCCAGACCUGAAGGGUUUCUUCCAGUUGCAUCGGAAAGAUCUAGAGCAGACAUUUUGGUGGUUAUCAACGAAACAAAGAAGGCAUCUGAAGGGUUUCGCUUUCUCAGAUGUUUAGGGAAAAGGAAAGUCUGCCUGGG